rnacentral:lncRNA from 1 species
UUACGCUCUAAAAUGGCUAGGUAUAUAUAUAAAUCAAUCGCACCAAUCAAUAUCACACAAUCAUAAUAUUUAUUUAUUAUAAUCUGGUGUCACAAAGCACACAAACACACACACAGUUGCCAAGUAGGAGAGUACAUAUUACUAUAGAAAACAAACAGCUUGGUAACUAGGACCACUUAUUCAGUACAUAUACAUUUCAUAACUCUCAUUUCAUAGUUUAGAAAUGAGUGUUAUCUUCUUUUGGAGGGUGGUGAGGAUGUGGUUUGGGUAAGUUGGUAGGAAGUAUAGGAUGAGGUUUAGAACCUUGAUGAGGAAAUUCUUGAGUAGACGGUGGAUGUUUUGGAUGAUGAUGACGAGGAACUUCUUGAGUAGACGGUGGAUGGUUUGGAUGAUGAUGAGGUUGAGAAGCAAAGCCUUGAGGGAUGAGAAUAAGAGAUGCAAGGAAAAACACAAGCAAGUAUGAGGAAAAAGAAGUCAUCUUAAUCUUAAUUAGUGUGAUUUUAGUAUUGGUGCAUAAAACAUAAGAAAUAAUAUAAUGUUUUAUACUAGUUAGAUUAGAGACAUUGGUGAGUGGGAGGUGCAAUUAUUGAUCAAAUACGUCAGGCUAUUGCCAUAUGCUUACGGAUUAACCUACACGUCACAAAGCAUAUCAAAUUAACUUUUUAAAAGCCUAAUUUAUCGGAAUUAUUGAUUCUGGAUUAGGAUUAAAAAAUCUGCAAUUUUUUAAUUAGGUUUUUCUUGUGGAGGUAGAUGUGUGUCUGUUAACCUGCAUAUAUUAUAUAUAGAGGUUGAAGUUUAAAUUUAGAACAUCCCAUUUAUUUAUUUUGUAAAAAGUAAUAUUUCUAUAAAAGUGUAAAUAACAAAUAAAUACAUUUUUGAAAUAAACGAGAAAGAAGAAACUUAACAAGAACAAAUAAUGUUAUUUUAUAAAAAUUUCUAUGAGUAUUAGUCAAAGUGAGAUAUGUUUAAUUAGUGUUUUUCUUAUGUUGGGCUAGGUUUGGUUAGUAGAAUAAAAACUGCAAAUCAAAACAAAUCAUGUUGUUGAGUAAGAAAAUGAUAUGAAUACAUCCGAAUCAAAGUGUUGUUUUUAAAAUUACAGUGAGUAAGAAACUAAGCUAUGAUAGUGUUGUUUUUAAAAUGCACUACAGUGAGUUGAAGAAAGUGCGAGUGUGUGUUUCUGUUGCAAAAACAUAAAAGUAUUUGUAUAUUUAUUAUUUUAUUUAUUUUGAUAGCAGAGAAAUAUUUAUUCACAAUGAGACCCAUCAGUACAUAAAAUAAAAACCCCGCUCAAACCAAAGUACUCGAAAAUUAAAUUGUUGUUGUUGGCUAUCAGGUAUGUUUCAUCGAGUUAGAAUCCUCUUCAUUUAGUGUACUCUUCAAUCUCCAUUUAUUCUAUUUAGAUUAUCCACAAUGGAGCACUUUAUUUGGGUGUUUAAACGGACUCCGGCUGUACACGUCAUUUGUUUUAUAAUUAAUACUAAAUAAGCAAUCAAUCUCUCCAAUCCAGCACCACAAAAUAAUUACUAAUUGGGUCCCUGCAAAACACUAUAUAAUUUAAUUUUAACAAUAAUUUAUAUAUUCAUUCAUAAUUAUAUAAUUUAAAAAUAUUGAAGUAAUUUAAUUAUAAAUAAUAAAAAAGUUAAAACUUGAAAAAACAAUAUAAAAUAAAUGAUGGUAAAUUAUUUGUUGUUUUGUUAAAAUCCAAUCAUUGUAUGCUUGUUUUUUUUUUUUUUUUUCCAUUCAAAUCGGUAAAUUAUUUUUGUUUUAAAAAAAGUUUUUGUUCAAAAUUUAACGUUGAUCGAUUAAAUAUUACUCUUACAACUUAUAAUUUACUUUUCAAUAUUGAAAUAAUACAACAAUUGAAUUGAGAAAAAAAAUAUAAUUAAUUGUAUAUGUGGGACCCAUGAGUAAUAAGAGAGAGUGCCUAUAAAAGCAUUUAUCUUUAUAAGUGACGUAUUAAUUUGUUUUACAAUGGGGUGCUUAUUUAGCGUGAUGCUAGAAAAAGGACUCCUAUUGUAGAUGGUCUAAAAAUUGUAGUCUUCACAAUUAGAACACGUAAACAAAAGACUUUUUGACUUUAGAAUACCGCUUUUAACUUUAAGUUUUUUUUUUUUUUUUUUUGUCAAGUAGCCUAGUGAUUAGAGCUCACACAAUUUAAUUGUGAAGAAGUGGAGUGUUCGAGGUUCGAACCCCAGCUCCUGCAUAUAAUAUGCAAUAUCCCUACCAACUGAGCUAAGCUAAGUUUUUAAAUUUAACUUUUAGAUUAAACUAAAAAAAUACAUGUGAUCACGCGUUGUUGGUUAAAAUACUAGGAAAUUUCACCCAAAAAAAAUAUUAAGGUAAUGUAAUCAUUAUAAUAUCACGAGUAAUAAUUUAAUCAUUGUCAAAAAAGAGUAAAGUAUUUAAAAAAAGAAUGAGGUAAAGUAUGAUUUUAGUCUCUGAAAUUAUUAACUUUUGCGUCAUUGCCAUAAAAAAAAAUUGGCACUUCUGUUCUUACACAACUUUCUUGCAUGCAAUUUUAGUCAUUACUAAAACAAUUUUUUAAAUUAUUCUUAAACUUUUUAAAAUCUUAAAUGAUUUUGUUCAAGUAUGAUUAGAAUAAUAUAAAAAAUAUUUUCAAAAACUUAGAUUUUUUAAUAUGGGAUUAAUAAAAUAUAAAUUUAUAAUAUAAAAAAAAAAUCAAUAUAAGGUACUGAAAGUUUGGAAUAAUACAACGUGCUAUGAAAGUUUUAUAGGGAGAUUAAAGUGCCAUAAUUUAUUAGGACGAAAAAAAAAAUCGGUAAUUUUGUAGGGACCAAAAAUUUAAUAAACCAAAAUAUAAAACUUCAAGCGAAAUUAUUCAAAUAUAUCAUUUUCUUUCACUUUCUCAAAAUAAAAACAUUUUCUUUCACAUUUACAAAUAAAAUAUUAAUAAAUAUAUACUUCCAUUUAUAUGUAAAAAUAUUAUAUUAUUAUAGAACUACUACGUCGUUCAUUCUGGAUAGCUUCGUGCCAGCUCAUUUUGACAAUAUGUUUUAUGUUGAGUAUUCCUUCAUGAGGGGAUUGAGAAAUGAAAAUUGUAAAUGUUCCAUGCACAUUAUAUCCGUAAAUAUGAAGUUAGGGUUUAAUUGGAAAAAAGUGGGAAAGGAUAAAAUUCCUAUGAGUUGAGGAAAGUAAAUUAAGUUGUUACUAGGUCAUGCAUGUAUCCGUAAUUCUAGAAACGAUAUUGAGUAAUAGUGCUUGCAUGUUUCAUUUUGAAUUGUAUUGACGAAUUUUAAGUUUAUUGUGUGUUUUGUUAAUCAUUCAUGUGUUUCGUUAAUUUAUGGUUUAAGUUAUGAUUUGUGCAUAAAAAUCCCAUAUUCCCACCCUAACUUUCGAUAGUACUGAACCCACUUAGGUUGAUUUGGUGGAUAUGUUUUAGAUCCUUAAUGAAUGAAUGUGGGUUCGAUGCCCAAUGCCAAUAUAGACUCUUAAUAAAUCUUCGAUGCCCUAAGCCUUUGGUUUCGAUUACGGGGCACGUGCUUUCCAUUUUUCACCAUUUUGACUUUCAAACAUUUGGUUUAUUUAAAAUGACCAGUUAAUCGUAGGAAGACCUCAAACUAAUUAUUAUUAAUUUCACAUGACCAUUUAAUUAUUUGAAGAUUUUUUUUUUUUUUUGGUAGAUCAUUUGAAGAUUUUUUAAUAGUCUAUAUUUUGGAUGAGAAAGGUAAUAAAUAUAUGGUCAAUAUCGCCAUAAUUCUUAACUUGGAUGAAUAGAGUUCCAUCUUUAAUAUCUUAGUGCUAAUCCUUUUUUUUUUAAGAAGCUAAAUUAUGCAACCUAAAUUGGCAUUGGAGAGAAUCAAACAUGAAACUUUUAGGAGGAGCACACUCUUAGUAAUAAUUUUUUUAUUAUCAUUAGAACCAAUAAUUUACACUUAGAAGAGAAAAAUGAGCUGGUGAACUCUUCGUUCGAAAAAAACAUAAAUGACAUUGUUUGAAAAUUCGUAAGUGUGAUAAUAUUAUGAUAUAAAAUUGAAGUUAUAUGCGGUAGGUCUGUAAGUAUAAUAUCAUAUUCUUAAAUUAAAGGUCAUGGUGAUAAAGAAAAAUACAACUAUUGGAAUCCAGGACAAUAACUAAAUAGUAACUAUAAAAUAUUUUAGCAAAAUAUAUAUUCCAUAUUUCUUGUUGCUAGUGUAAGAACUCACUCUUUCAUGCUUGGUGUAAUUGUAAUAUCUUGAGUAUGAAACUCAUGCUAUCAUAGAUGUAAAUGAGUGUACAAGAAGUAUUUAUAGGAAAUAUGCAGAUUACAGUUAGCCUAAUUACAAGCUAAAACGAACGUGCUUAAGUAAGCUAACUAGUUAACUUGUAUCUCAAGUAAACUAGGAGCCUUUACUUUAUUAUGACCUUCUUUCUCUAAUAUCCCCUCACAAGCUGGUGAAUGGUAAAUAUCUAACAUUCCAAGCUUGAAUAAAAGAAUGUUGAAUGGUUGAGGAAGAAGAGGUUUAGUACAGAAGUCUGCAAGUUGGCCAUAUGAAGAGACAGGAAGAAGCUUCAUGAUGUCUGCUUGUAGCUUUUCUCUAACCAAGUGACAAUCAAUCUCAAGGUGCUUGGUUCUUUCAUGAAAUACUCGGUUGGCUGCAAUGUGCAAAGCACUUUGGUUAUCACAGUAAAGCACUUUGGCUGCAAUACUGGGUUUCCUUAAGAAGAUAAAGAAGACAUUGAAAUUCACAAGUAGCUUCGCCUAAAGCACGAUAUUCAACUUCUGAAGAAGAUCUGGAGACAGUCAACUGUUUCUUAGUCCUCCAAGAGAUCAGUGAUGGGCCAAGAAAGAAGCAUUGGCCUGAGAUGGAUCUUCUUGAAUCCAAACAACCAGCCCAGUCUGCAUCUGAGUAUCCUGAUAAAUGUAAAGAUGAAUCUCUAGGGAACAUCAAACCCUGCGCAGGACAUUUCUUCAGGUACCUUAAGAUUCUAGUGGCAGCAGUGAAAUGUUGUUCAGUGGGAGAAGUGAGAAACUGGCUCAAUUGUUGAGUAGCAAAAGUGAUGUAUGGCCUUGUAUUAGUGAGAUAUAUGAGCCUGCCAAUCAAUCUUCUAUAGGAGGGCACAUCAUCAUAAGGAGCACUAGAAUCAUUGUGUAGUUUGCAUGAUGGAUCAGAAGGAACGGAGACUGGUUUGUAAGCAAGAUAGCCAGUAUGUGAUAACUGCUAGAAAGUGUUAAAUCCAUGAUGUAUUUUAAGCACUUUUUGUUACUUGUUUCACAAGUUAUUUGAGGAAAAGCCAUGAAAAAGUAAGAAAAUGCCUUAUUAGGCUUUUUAUAUCUUACUUAACCCAUUUGUGCAGAAAAGAAGUGAUCAAGACUUGAACAAAUGAAAGAAACACAAAAAGGAGCAAAAACCAGCAAUUUGUCGCCAUGGCCAGAACCUGUCGCCAGGGCCACAUCCUGUCGCCAUAGCGGGAAACGGGAAAUGACAAAACAUAACCUAUUUCUUUGUGCCUAAAUGUCGUUGUCGCGAAAAAUGUUCUGCCUGGCAAGAAAAGGCGGUUUGGGUUAAGUGAUGAUGUGGCAGAAACCCACUGGCAAAGAAAGUUGAUGUCGUCGUGGCGACAAAUGUCCUGCUGGGCCAGAAUGUCAAAUUGUGCAUAAAGUAUAAAAACCCAUUUCAUUCAUUUCAGACAUGAUCUUUUUACAUUUAUAGAGGGAGAAUAGGGUGAAAUUCUUAUGUUUUCAUAGAGAAAGGAUGUUUGAGUGUGGAUUCGUCAAGAUUCUUGGAGAAAUCAAGUUCUUGGCAUGGAUCUUCAAAUUUCUUUCCACUUUUGUAAUGUUCUCAUGACAGUGAUGAACAAAAUCUCCUUUGUUGGGAUUAGAGGUACUUGAUUAAGUUGAUAAUGUAAACUUUUGAUCUUUCAAUAUAUGAUUCUAGCAAUUUACAUGAUAUUGAAGUUAUUCUUGCAAUUCAUUUCCUAUCUUUGAUUUAAUUGUUAUUGAAAAGUAAUUUUGAAUCUAUGUUUAGAAUAUUCAUCUAUCAAAACAAUGGAUUGUUUAAUAGUUAGGGGAAUCAACGAUUGAACAAUACAAUUGAUUUCACAAGAUUAUUUGGACACGAAUAGUCUUGUUGAACGAUACGUGAUAAUAUCGGUAAAACGCUAGAAUCCAUAUAUGUGAUUAUUAUGUUAUGUUUGACGCUUAACCAAGGAACUCUAAUUCCAACGUUUUUACGCCUUAUUACUCUCUGUUUUUAUCUUCGCAAUUUAGUUUCCAUCGUUUUAAACAAACAACCAAUCAAACUAUAGCCUAGAGUAUCACAGAAGUCCUUGUGGAGACGAUAACAAAAAUACUUACUUUUGAUACUACAUCAGUAUCUAUAAGUAAAUCAAUGCAAUAUUUUCUCUGACAUAGAGAUAUGCCUUGAGAAGAAUCAGAAACCUCUAAACCAAGAAAAUACUUCAAUUAACCAAGAUAAUAAAUCACCAGCAAUUAUCACAUCAUCUACAUAAACAAGUAAUGAUGUGAAAGAAGUAGCAGUCUUUUUGGUGAAUAAGGAAUGAUCACUGAUAGACUGUGUAUAGUUGUGAUGUAGAAGUAGAGAGGUGAGCUUCUCAUACCACUUUCUACUUGCUUGUUUCAAUCCAUACAGUGAUUUUACUAGUUUGCAAACCUGAUUUGGUUUGCAAGUAGUGAUACCUUGAGGAACAAUCAUGUAAACAUCUUCCUGCAAAUCUCCAUCUAAAAAUUCAUUAUUAACAUCCAGCUGAUGAAUGUGCCAAUGAUUGAUGGAUUCCAAAGCAAUAACAGUUCUGACAGUUGUAAAUUUGGCAACUUGAGAGUAAGUAUCAAAGUAAUCCAAUCCUUCAAUUUGAUUAUAACCUUUGGCAACCAAUCUAGCUUUGUAUCUCUCUACUGAGCCUUCUGCAUGAUAUUUGAUUUUGAAAAUCCAUUUACAACCAAUAGGCUUGACAUUUGGUAUUAAAUCAACUAGUUUCCAUGUCCCAGUAUUUUCAAGAGCAAUGAUCUAAGCUUGCAUAACCUGAUUCCAACAACUGAAUUUGCUUGCCUCAGCAUAUGUAGUGGGCUCAGUCUGGGAGUCAAGAGACAAAGAAUAAGCAAAAUGAGAAGGUGACAAAUUGGUAAAAGAAAUGUAAUAAUGAAUAGGAUAUUAGACAUCAGAAGAAAGAGAAGCAGAAGCAAUAGUGAAAUUACAAACACAAUCUUGUAAGUGUGUAGGUGGGUUAGUAUUCCUGGACGACCUUCUCAAUGGAGGUGGAUCAAUAGGUGAUGUGGUGGGUGAAGGGGAGUGAUUAAUAUCAAUAGGAGGUGAGUCAGUAUCGAUAAAAGGAGGUGGAAAUGGAGGUGAAGGAAGAAUAGUAGGGUUGCUUGUUGAACAAGCAUCAGAAGGAAAAUAAUUCUAAUCAGUAGUAAUUGAUGAUGAGGAUGGAGGAUAAGGCGGUAUAUGCUCAUGAAAACUGACAUGUGUAGAGAUAUGAAUUUCUAUAGUGUGGAUAUCUAACAAAACAAAACCUUUGAAACCAAUGAAGUAUCCUAGAAACACAAACUUUCUGGCUCUAGCAGCUAGUUUGGUUAUAUGGGAAUGAAGGGAAGUGGAGAAGCACAAGGAACCAAAAACUUUAAAUGAAUCAAUGUCAGGAAAUUUAUCAUGAAGAAGUUUGUAAGGUGAUUUGUUAUGAAGUGUAGGGGAAGUAACCCUGUUGAUGAUAAAAGUGGCAUGUAGGAGAGCAUAAGACCAAUAAGAUGCAGGAAGUUUAGAUUGAUAUAGAAGGGCUCUGCCUACAUUAAGGAUAUGUUGGUACUUUCUCUUAACCCUAACAUGUUGUUGAGGGGUCUCAACACAAGACUUAUGAUGAAAAAUACCCUUAGAAGCAUAAAAUGAAUUGAGCAAAAACUCAGGACCAUUAUCACUUCUGACAAUUUUAGGAGUAAUAUGAUAUUGGUUUUCUAUAAGAGUGAUGAAGUUUUUAACAUGUUGUGAAACUUUAGACUUAUUUUUAAGUAAAACAAUCCAGACAAAUAUACUAUAAUCAUCAAGUAUAGUGAGAAAAUAUCUAUGAUUAUGGACAAAAGUAAUGGACAAAGGGCCCCAAAUAUAAAAAUGCAAUAGUUCAAACUUGCUACAAGCAACAUACAAACUAUUUGUAAAAGGUAACUUCUUUUGUCUAACAAAAUGGCAUAUAUCACAAGUGGCUUGAUGAUCAAAAGAUAAUGAAGGAUAAAGUUUGGACAUAUGAGAGAGUCUCUUAUGAGAAACAUGCCAUAACUUAAAGUGCCAUAAAGUAGAAGAAGGAAUGGUCAUGUUUUUAUUGGUGGAAACAUGAUAAAUAAAAGAAUUAUUGUGUAAAGGAAAAGCAGAAAAAUCUAAAACAAGUCUAUAGAGACCUUCAAACUGUUCACCCAAACCAAUCAUCUUAUGGGAGUCAAGAUCCUGUAACAAACACUUGUUGUCAUGAAAGGUGACAAAGCAUUGUAAAGAAUCACAUAGUUUAGAAAUGGAAAUUAAGUUGAAGUUGAAUGAAGGUGAAUAUAGAACAUUGUCAAGGUAAAAAUGAGGUGUAAAGUGUAUGGUGCCAACAUAUUCAGCUAAAAUAGAUGAACCAUUAGGUAAAUUGAUAGGUUUAGGUGAAAUUUUGUGAAAGGAGUUGAACCAAUUUGAAGAAGAAACAAUCUGUUCAUUUGCACCAGAAUCUAACAAUCAUAUAUCAGAUUUUGAAGAUAUGGAACAAGUAAAUAUGGAAGAAGAUAUACCUGAUUGUAUAGUGGAGAUAGAAUUAGAAGCAGGGGAAGUAUGAACAUGAUUGACACUAGUUUGAGGUGAAGCUACAGAUGAAGCAUGAAGCAAAUUCACUUGUUGUAACAGGCUAAGAAUUCGAUCAUACUUCUCUUGAGAAAUAUUAGAACUAGAGGAUGAAGAAGCAUCAUUGCAACUUCUUGAUUGAGCCUCAAUUUCUUCAAAGCUACUUAAGGCAUUCACAGAAGAAUUAUGCUUAUGAAAGUUUGGAUUUGGAUGUCCAUGCUUUUGAUCACAAUAUUCAAUAGUGUGAUUGUUCUUUCCACAAAAUGAACAAUGUCUAGGAGGCUUGGAUCCACUAAAGUAUCCUCUUCCUCUUCCUUGUGGCUUGCGUGAAUCAACAACAUUGAUAAUGGAUGAAGGUUCACCAAUGGAGGAAGAAAGUGAAUGAUUGUUACUUUCCUCUUGGAUAACCACAAAAUAUACUUUGUUGAUAGAAGGAAGUGGAUCAAUCAUCAGUACUUGAGUUUUGAUAACUUUGAAUUGAUCAUUCAAACUAGUCAAAAACUAGAUUACUUGAUCUUUAAGUCUGCAAUUAUGUGCCUCUCUCAUAGCUGCACAACAACAGGGAUGAGGAUAAGUGCAAGGUGGCAUUGGACGGUGUGAAUUCAACUCUUCCCAAAGAGUUUUCAUUUCAGUAAAGUAAUCCAAAACUAACUUAGAACCUUGCUUCAAAUUGUUGAUCUUAGAACGAAGCGUAGCAAUACGAAUGUGAUCUACCUUGGAAAAACGUUCUUUUAGAUCUAACCAAGCAUCAAUGGUGUUUUCAUGGAAAACCAGAGUUUGUUCAAUUUGAGGAGUAACUGAAUUGAUAAUCCAUGACUGAAUUAGGUGAUUGCAAUGUUCCCAGGCACUGCGAUUGAAAUCUUCCUCAUCUGGAAGUUCCAUGGAUCCAUCGACAAACUUCAAUUUGUUCUUCGCACCAAAAGCGAGAAUCAUGGAACGACUCCAUGCGAGGUAGUUAGAACCAUCCAAGAGUUAAGUGACAAUAACUUAAUUCGGUCCUUCAAUUGAUUGCACGUAAAAAAAUUAUUCAGUGCCAGGUUGAUUCUGACGAGGCAUGAUGAACAAAGAAGCAAAUGACGAAGAAGAGAAGAAAAACUUGCUGCAAAACGCAAGAACAACAAGAGAUUCACAAAGGAAGAAGAAAUUCGUGAGGAAUCAAUGGAGAAAUGUGAAGUUUUCAGCAAAAAACGAAGAAGGUGAAGAAAAGGAUCUUAACUUUUGUAAUAAACUUCCACCAUGGAAAUGAGAGAAAAAAGCUCCGAUACCAUGUUAUGGGAAGCAAAUAAUGAAAUGAAUCUCAUUUCUCAUAGAUGUAAAUGAGUGUUUCUCAUAGAUGUAAAUGAGUGUACAAGAAGUAUUUGUAGGCAAUAUGCAUAUUACAAUUAGCCUAAUUACAAGCUAAAAUGAACAUGCUUAAGUAAGCUAAACUAGUUAACUUGUGUAUCAAGUAAACUAGGAGCCUUUACUUUAUUAUGACCUUCUUUAUAUAAUACUAUAUGAUACACAUUUGCGAUUACGGCACUUAUACAAUAUAAGCCGAGUUCUUGGUGGGCAAUCAUUAUUAGUUAUACAAACAACAUAUCCUGCAGUGAAAGAAUAUAAUAAACAAAUGUUAUAAAAAUGAAAUAAAGAUUAUAUAUGAACUACAAACUAAAGAAUGAAAUUUUAAAAGGAUGGAAAAAAACAUUACCCUUAACAUUAUUUGCAAGAAAAAAUAGGAAGAUAAAUAAAAUUAUAGCAUACACAAACAUAUGAGUCAUAUCUUUGUCUCUAUACAUACAACAAAUAUAAUUUAUUUGAUCACUUUAUAGUGUAUAAUCUUUACAUUCAACAAAUACAAUUUAAUUGAUUACUUUAUAGGGUAUAAACCUCACGCUGUGUUGAGAAAAAUAUAAUUAUUUUUACCUCUUAAGAACUUUUAAAAGUCUCUCCCUAAAUUUAGAAUUAUUAUUAAGUGUCUCUUAAGAAGAUGAAUGUGUAAUAUUAUUCAUUUACCACACUUAAUAAAGGCAUAAAAUAAAAAACUUGCUAAUCAUUACAAUUUAAUAUUUUGGUAGUUAACCUUAUUACUUUUGAUGAUUGAAAGGGGAACUUUAAAAAAUAAUAAUGCAUAAAUUAAUCGUAUUGUAGUAUUUUUAUAUAUAAAAUCAUUUAAUCAUAUGGAAAAGUAUAAAAUUAUGAUUAUACAAAUCCAACGAGAUAAAAAUCGUUAUUUUUCGUUGUUGGUAUAGAUAGAAUUUCGAAUAAAAUCAAAUAAGAAUUCAAAACAAGUGAUAAACAGGGUUCUAAAUCAUAUAAUAUUGGCUUUGAUACCACAUGUGAGAAGAUAUUGAAUAUUAUACGAGAUAGAACAUACUUACUUGUUGGUAGCAAUGUCAUGGAUGAGUCUUCCUUUGCCUUUCACGGUGCUCCAGUUCUCGAUGUGGUAAACCACUGAUGAGCAGAAACAUCAGAGUGAUGGAAAAUGGAACCUAGCCUUUCUAUUUAUUAUUGUGCAAUCCUAGUUACCACCCAUCAUGGAUCCUAGUGUUUGGACCUACAAUUUAUUUCUACACAAAUCAUAUUAAGUGCCCAAAUCACAUUAUAUAUUGAUCACUUUUAUUAGAGCCUAAGCAUCAUCAAAUAGAUCAUAACAUCAGUCCACUUUUAUUAAACCAAAACGAAUAAUUGAUUGCAACCCACAAAAUAUUAGAAGAAAUUCUAACAUUCUCCAACACAUGUAAAAUCAAUUGUGUAUUUUUAAUUAAAAAAAUUGAAAACGACUCUCGGACUGAUAAUAAACUUCCUAACAUGGCCACUAAAUGAUCCCAUGAUGCAACACUUUAGUAAUACUUCAUCCAAAAUAUAAAAAAAAUUGAAUGAUAUCGAAUCAUGGCGGUAGUUAUAUCCUUAUUGAUAGAACACCUUCCAUGGUUACAAAUAUCACAAAUUUCGUCGACUAGUCAUUUGUGUAGAGUGUAGCAAGAAAUGAUAUGUCAACGUGAUCAUCGACCAUAUUUUCCUUUUUAUUUUCGGUCCUCAAUUUCUCUCUAAUGUCUUAAAGCCAGAGAAAUUAUGUGAUUCCUCUCAAAUGCCUUAAAGCCAAAGAAAUUAUGUGGUUCACACAAAACAACAUUGUGUCAACUAUAUAAAAUAGUGUUGAUCAUUGAUGCACGAUCGGACUAAUGGCAAGUGUACCAAUCAUUUACCAAGUAAUAAAGUGAUGAGUAAAGUAUCGUAUCCACAGGGAUUGUCCUUUCGCCCAAACAAUUCGCGUUACUUAUUAAGUUGACGAUACAAAAGUUAAGGGUUAAAAAGACUUGCAAUUUUUAUCUGUUUGCAACGGAGCAAGUUUACCUGUUUUGGUUGCAGAAAAGUAAGCAACGGUUAGGAUUCUUCGAAUCCCCUAUGUAUAUUCAUUGUUGGAUUAUAAGUAAAAUAUAUGUCGCGUUAAUUUAUCUUAGGUAGACUAUACGAGUGAUGAGGCCAUUGGAAUGUUCCUAACUGGAUAAGGCAUCACCUGACCCAAUGGGAUUUAAUACUGAGUAUCUAAUUAGGCUUUUACCACUGAUGGCUAACUGCACCUGUUGAUCGCACGGUGAUCCUUACGUGCGGGGUCUUGGUAAUUCAAAGGUAAUUGAAACAUAAACUUUAUAUUGGCUUCCCAAGGCGAUAAAACACGCGAAUAUUACAAAUAUUCAAGAAAUAGACGUCACGUCUUCAAUAAUUCUCAAAACAUGCAUAAAAAUUUCUCAAAAACAUCGCAGCGGAUAAAUAGCAUACAUAUCCAUGUAGCCAUGUCAUAUGCAUGAUAAAUACACCACCAAAUAAAUCAGCAGUCUUAACAUAUGAGUAAAAGUCAGAACAAUAUAUAAAAUAGUCAACACCAAAGAAAAAGCAAGACCGACACCCUAAAUCAGAGCCUAAUACUAAGACUCCAAAGCAGAUAAACGGGGGAAGUGAUGAGUCAUUUAUUAUAUAUUUUUAUAUGUUAUUUAGUUUAGUUUUAAUUAGAUUUAAGUUUAUUUUAUAUUAGUAUUAUUUCCUUUUCGAGCUAUUUUACUACAAUUGCAUAUUGUUAUAUUUCAUAAACGAAUAUUUGAUGGAUUGAGUCUUGGAGCAAAAGAAAGGGGUUUUGGAGCUGAUUCGGUACGAAAAUAUGAAGAUUCGGAGACAAAAAUAUAUCUCCCUAAAGUCAGAAGCUUGGCACGGCCGUGCCACCUCCCAGAACAACUUUUGCUGCUUUUGCUUAGAGUAGCUAGCCAUCAGAAAUAUUCAUCUUUUCUUGGAAUGCAAUAUGUGACAAUUGUCUUUCUAAUAAAAGUUCAUUUACUUUCUUGUUUUUUACUUUUAUGCUUUCUCUCUUCUUCUCCUUGUCUACGAUGAACAUUAGUGAGUAGACUUCUUCUUGUCUUGGGAUUGUUGGAUAAGUCUAAAUGACAUAAUCCUAAUCAAACCAAGCUCUAAGCCUUAAUCUUAUGUAACCCUAAUUUCUUAUCUAAAUUCACCGCUUUAACAUGGAUCAACCAUUAUCUAACUGUGGAAACGAAAGUGGAGGUGUUAUACCUUGAUUUUGGACCUAAAAAUACUCGUUCAAAUUUCUUUUCUAACACUGAUAUUUGUCAAUUCGCUGUUGUUUUACUCUGAACCUUUACUCUCUUUUCAUCUGCAUAUUUUACUGUCUCUGUCUCAAAGUACGUUCAAGCAUGAUUUUCUUGCAUAAAACUAUCCAAAGUGUUUUUCUUGCAUUACAAGUCAUUUGAAAACUCUCUGAAUCAUUGCAUUACUUUUCUUACAUUUUAUUUCAAAAAUCAUACAAAAAGGGUAUUUUGGUCAUUUCCUGCAGUGGAACCCAUUUUAGUCCCUGUGUUUGUCUCUGAGUCUUUUCAACCUGUCUGUACAAAUCAUUGUUGAGUCUUUGUUUAAAAAAAAACCAUUUCAAAAAAUCGCAUCUGAGUCAGUUUGAGUCAGUUUAGUCCCUAGGGGCAUUUUGGUCUUUUCCUAUCAAAAUUUCGGCAGAGAGGUAUUUUGAAAUACCUCAUUUUUGUAAUUGGUUCAUUUUAGUCCUUUUGUUGAUUUUAUUUUAGGUUUCACUUUACUUUUUUUUCCAAUUUACCAAUUUUAAUUCAAUUUUAUUUUUAAUUGCAUUCUGGUCCCUCAAACAAGUUUCCAGAAUUGCACUUUAGUCCAAAACUUUUUAAAAUUGCAUUUUUAGUCCAUUAUUAUUAAUUGAAGUUUAGUCCUCAAUUUUACUUUUUUGCAGAAAGGCCCCUAAGUCCAAAACAGGUGUCAUCAUCUCAUUAAUCCAGAAUCACACAUGGCAGCCUAUAAAAGGUACACAGUGCCACACAGACCCACAGAUCACACGCCACAUCACAAACAGAUUCAGAUUUUCUCUCUCUUUUCUAUUAGAUCAAAACUCAGAGAACACCAAGAACACAAGAACAUUCAUAAAACCCUAAAUCUCCAUAAUCACAAUGGAAUACCAAAUUCAGUGAAUUUUUCUUGCAAUUCUCAGAGAUUCAUCACUGAAUCUUCAUCAUCGAAUUGGUUUCCUUCGCAAUUCAAGGUGCGAAUUCGCCAUUGGCAAACUCAAGCAUCGAUCACGAAGGAAUCAGUGAGAAGAAGAAGAGAAAGAAGACGAAGAAGAUUGAACCAGCGAAGAAGAAGAAGAACCGAUUUAUUUUCGGAUUCAAAUCCAAAAAAUCAACAAACAGAAUCAAGUUCAAGUGUUUCCGGAGAUCUUCGCUCAAAACCUCCAAUCGAAAUCACAGGUAAACACUCAAACUUCCUCUUUCUUGCUCAAAAACAGCAACGAGGACAAAUCAAUGUAGAUCUAUGAAGUUUCAAAGAGUUUCAUUCAAAAAAACUAAAAACCUAAAAAAUAUUUUCAAAACCGUAAUAAAAAAAUGUAGAUCUACAAAGAUUUAAGCCUUGCAUGCAAAAACCAAUGCCAGAUUCGUGCUUAGAAUAAGAAAACGAAGAGAUUGAUGCAUGAUUUGUGUUUUUCUGGUGAGGAUCUAGGUUACCGGAACCUGGAGAUCUCGCCGGAGAAGAUGAAGUUUCCAGCGGAUCUAUGAAGAUUCCGGCCGAACUUCAUCAUCUUCGGCCGCUCAAUCCAGAAGCCGACGGAGGGAGAGAGGAGAGAGGCGAGAGCUUCUCUCACUAGGUGAGAGUUAGAGAGAGAAAGAAAUUAGAGGAAUGAUUGAACCGGCGCUAACAUGCUUUUGUAGACCCCUAGACCGGACCGGUUCAAGACCGGUCCAAUCCCUUGCAAUCCUGGGCGUUGGAUCUAGGGUUUCCCUCCCUGGAUCAAUCCAACGCUCCCUGUGUGUUCGGACCUUAGAUUUUGGGCUUGGGCCUCCUCCUGCGCAGAUUCUUUGUUUUUUUGUUAAUUUCUUGCUAUUUGCACCCUACCUCUUGCUAUGUGAACCUCCUGUUGUCUAAAUUUUUCUUGCAAAAAUUCCUAAAAAUUCCUAUAUGUUUCUUGAUGUAUUUUAAUACUUUUGUGAUGUUUUUUUACAUGUUAAAAAAUGAUAAAAAUAUAUGUAAUAUUUUCUUGUUGAUUUGUUCAUUUUUUUUAUUAAACUUGUGAAUUUUCUUGCCAUAAUUUGUUCAUGAGGUCUUGACAUGAUAUGAGUGAUUAAUAUACAAUUUCAUGUUGAAUAUGCUGCUGAUUGUGUGAUUGUUCUACUGUUUUAAUGUGAUUUGUUAAUUUCUUUUGUUACAAGUAACGUGUAUAUUUUGCAUUUUGGUUAUUGUUGUUAUUUUUACCGUUUCGCCUCGUAAUUCUUUGCUUGUUUUCUUACCAUUUUACACCUUGUUUUACUAACCAUUUCAUUUCAUGUUUCAUCCAUCUCAUGAGCAUCUUGCCAUUGUCAUCUCAAUUUCUCAUAGUUUAGGCAUUUUUACCUUUUAAAUUCUAUGUUAAAAUGUCAUGUAAUAUUUUAGGUAGUUUAAGUUUCCUUUUAAUUUCUUGCAAGACCAUAGAAUGUAAACUAGGGCAAACGUAACGGACAAUGGACUCUCUAUAGUGAUGUACACACGUUGUAUGCUUACCGCUUUAGAUGUAUGCUUAGGAAACGCGAUACUUAGAAAAAUACUAAUUUUUUUCAAAAACAAGCAAAUUCCAUCACUUGAAAUUUUUUCCAAAUAAACCUUGGAGUCAAAACUCCAUUGAAUUUUCUUUUCUUAAUCAAACUCAAAUGAACUCUAAUUCCAGCUUACACCUUUUUUUUUUAAUAAUAAUUGAACCAACUAUUCACCAUUUUUUCUCUCAUGCCUUUACGGCCUCUUUCUCUUCUUCAAAACCAUUUUCCAACACUUAAAAUCAAUUGAAACACACAAAAACAUUUUUUGAAAGAGAACUACAUGGAAUUUUGAUCCCUUAAAAGGGUAUGUAGGCAAGAGGUCAAAACCUCUCCAAGUCCAAUAAAAUCAAACGUCAAACAUUUUCUCCCUCCAUUCUUAACCUAAAUAGACAACUUCUUUUUUAUAAAUAGCAUUAAAAAUAAAGCGUAGACAUAAAACUAGGAAAACGGUUCCUAUAGAGUACUAUAGUCAUUGCGGGUGCCUAACACCUUCCCGUAACGAAAACGACCCCCGAACUUAGAAUUUCUAAGGGUUUUCUCAAUUUUGCCCUUCCCAAGAAAAAAUAGAGAAUAUCAAAUAUUGAAAGGUUCCAGCCUAAUUAAUGACUUGAUACCCCGAAAUCGUGAUAACAUGAGGGUUUGAUAAUUGUUUAUCCAUCAUCUCAAAUAUCAAUUCAUAAAACGAAAGUGGAGCUUUGAUAUUCGAACAAGUGAAUUUAUACAAGGGUUUCAAAGGCAGCGAAAUAGUCUUUGAAAUCUUUGAGACAUAUAGUUUCGAUCUUCAAGGAAACUAAUAAUGAUCAAGUCAGCGAAAUAGGCUUGGUUGUUAGAGGAACCAAAAUCUAAUAGUAAUCAAGUCAGCGAAAUAGGCUUGGUUGCUAGAGGAACAAAAGAGAAAUUGUCUUGAGAAAUUAGGUCUAACAUAAAGUUAUAAGCUUAUAGUUUGGUUUGUGAAGGACUUGUCAUUUAGAGGAACCAAUAAUCCCAAGGCUUUUAUCUUUUCUUUUAUUAUUUUCUUUUAAUUAAAAAUACAAACUUUUCUACCUUCUAAACCUUCAGUCUAAUCAUUAUUUAAAGUUAAUUGAAUUCCUAACUCCCUGUCGGAACGAUACUUUAUUUUUACUACUUCGGUAAGACCGUGCACUUGCGGUUUUAUCCCAUCAGGAAGCUCCUGCUAUCCUCAUGCAACUCACCAAACAAGCAACAAGCUUCUCUUUCACACCGUCUACACCAUAUUUAAAUAUACUGAGGCGGUCACCCGAACGACCACUAGGGGGUUAGUCUACAAUCCACAAUUAAUGCAUAAUCAAACAUAAGCAUUCAAGGAUUUCAUGCAUAACACAUACACAUACUCAACAUUCUUAGAAUAUUAACUCCACAUGGAUAUUAUCCCUCAUUCCUUACACAUCAUAUUGUUACAAUUCUAUCAUAGCACAUCAAGCAUAUUCCUCCAAUAAUCAAAUCGUCAACAAAGUACAUCACUUAACAGCAUCAAUCCAUAUAAGAAUUACUCACCUUAUUCCUCAUUUAACAUAGUUAACUCAACAUAAUACCAUUCAUCAUUUAAAAAGUAUAAACAAGGAAAUUACCGUCACCAAAGACAUUAUCAAAUCACAUAUAAUUCACACUUCAUUAUUUUCACCAAAAUAAACAUCAUCAAUUAAAAUCACCAAGUGUACAAGUAUGGCACAACAUCAUCAAGUACACAAUUCACCAAGUUAACUGAUGCACAUAUUCAACUAAUUCACAUAAUUCACCAAUGCACAUAAGCAAGUAUGACACCUGUCAAGUUAUGCAAUGCGCCUAGACAGGACUUCUAUAUGCAUGUGGUACCAAGUCAACACCGAGGUCGUCACCUCAAGAUACAUAUGUAUCAUAAUCAUUGCCAAUAUAAAUGCAAAGCAAUCAGUCUCAUUUUUAUCAUAUUGCAAAGCCAAUUCAUUAUCAACAAAAAAACUAAGUCUGAUCCAUCAUUGCAUAGGUUAAAUACUCUUCACUUCCUAAUACUCAUGUUUUGAGUUUUGGGUUGACUGAAAAAUACUUAAGUUGAAUUUUCGUAAAAUUUUAUCAAGACAUACUUGGAGUAUUGUCAUCAUAACCCAAAAUAUAGACAUCAUUUUCAAGCCAAACCAAAGUCAUGGGAAAGCUAACACAUAUCUAAAACUUUCAUGUUUAAACCUAAAGCCAAUUCAAAACAUAAAUGUGUGAAAAAGACACAAGAAUGCGAAACAAGGAAUGAUGUCACUGAGUAGCUCGCUUCGAGCGAGUUUCCUCCAGACAGAACUCGCUCCAAGCUAGCUUCAAGCGAGUCCCCCCUAUACUUACGAGUUUUACACCACUUUUCACCAAAAAUCCUCAAUUUUGACCUCCCUUAACCCAAAACUCGAUCCCAAAUCUUAAACACUUGAUUACAAACAUCGAAGGGCAUUCAAAACAACAACAACAUCAGAUUACAACACAGAUUCAUCUCAAAAUCAUCAUCUAGUUCAUUUUCACCAAAAACGACCAAAACUCAACACACACAACAACAACACACCCAACAUGAAUAAAAUCAUGGAAUCUCUAACACCCAUAGCAUAAUUCAUCACCAUUAUCAUAACACAACGUCAUUCAAGACAUAAUUCUACAAUUCCAUCAACAAACAACAACAACUUCAUUUUCACCCAAUUAAGCAAAAAUCAAUUAAGUGACUUAACGACACACUUUUCUCAUACAAAAUCAACAACAACAACAAGUUUAGCAUAAAUUUUUCACACACAAACUUAUCAUCAAAGAAGGAGCACGAAAAUCAUCAUUAAAAUUCACAAAAAUCACAUUUCACAAAUAAGCACUUAUGAAACUAAGUAGAAAAAGUGAUUUGGCUUCACUUUUUCUCCUUAAGUCUCUAGCCUCUUCUUCCUCUCCAAGCUCUUCUUCUCCAAAAACCCUUUUCUCCUCUUCUCUAGCUAUUUCUCUCUCUACCUCCCUCAAUAUUUUGUGAAAAUGAGUGAAUGAGUAUAAAAGACCUAAUUUCUCUUAAGACUAGAGUUUAUAUAGGCUCUUCACAAAUGAACUUAACCCUCAAUUGUCUUAAUGGGAUUAAAGUUCGUACUAACUAAUUCACCAAGUUUCUACUCAUUUACGGAUAAAAAUAACGAAUAAUUUCUGUCUCUUAUUUAAUUACCCAAACUCACUAGUAACUUAGUAAAAAUAUUUAUUGUCACCCAAAACAUUAAAAAUAAUUCUCAUAACCAAAAAACUAUUUUACCCAGAGUUUGAAAUUACUAAAAUACCCUCAUUAAGUCAAAAUCUACUAAUCCUGGAUAAAAUACACAUGGAGACAAUUAAUCACAUACAAGCACAUAUAAACACACAUAAUAAAUAAUUAAAAUAAUUUCUAGCGAAAAUUGAGCUGUUACAAGGUUCCCUUAGGUCUGUACAUCUAUGAAUCUUAGGACACACAUAGCACACUCUCUCUACACUUUCUUAGUAGUUCUACAAACGGGCAGCCCUAAUCUACGUCUACCUUACUAAGGGUUUCAAUAGAAUGGUUAUAUUAGGUUGUAGCUCUAAGUCGGACAGCUAGGUGAUUGUUUCCCUAAUUACUAACAAGUUAAUUCAUAGGUUCAGUAAGGCACCACCCGAUUUAAUGAGAUUUAACACUGAGUACCUACACCUACGAUCAACAAUUCUUAUGGCAUCUUUCGCUAAUUAAUAAUCACGUACUUCCUAGACAGAUAGUUAUAAGUAAAAGGAUAUAACUAUCAAGAUAUAAGCAUCCGGUUAGUGAUAGUAAUAUUAGGCCCUAUCGCAACCUAGGUACCUAGUCUAGGGUUGCCCUCUCACAGAAAUAAAACUACAUCCUAAUAAAAUGGAUUAGUCCGAAAAAUAAUGUAUUCAAUUUUUUUAAAAGUUGAAAAUAUCCUUAAGACUGUAUUUUUUAUAUUAUAUUUCCUUUAAGAUAGUGUUUCACUAUAUAUAAAAAAAGUCAUGCUAAAUAACUACAAAAAGAAAUGAAAAAUAAAUUCAGCAUUGAAAUAAUUAACUUUUAGAUUUGUUAGAUGUUAAAAGCACAAUUUCCAAUACUAUAUUUUUAUGUUGGGUUUUCUUAACAUGUACCCUUAAGGGCACAAACUAAUUUUUCCCAUAAAAAAAAUGUUUAAAUGUUGUUCACGCCACAAAUUUGUUGUACUAUUUUUCACUUAUUGUCUGCUUCAAUUUGAGUUUGAUGUAUGAUAGUGUUGUUUUUAGGGUUAAUAAUGCUUACCCCUGUGAUAUAGGUUAUUUUCGAUUCUCCCCUCUGUAAUUUUUUUAUUUAUUUACCCCUGUAAUUUUUUUGUUUUGGAAUACCCCCUAAUAGGUCAUAAAAAAAAACCAACUUUUUUUUUGGGUUAAUGAUGUUUUACCCCCUGUAAUAUUAGCUCAUUUCCAGUUUUCAACCCUCAAAAAAAUUUUGUUUAGUUUUCGUCCUUAUAAUUUGAGGUUUUUUUUUGUUUUGGACCUUCAUGGCAAAUUUUGCACCCUCUAAUUUGUGAAAAAUUCGGUUUACACCCCUGUAAUUUAAGAAAAUUUUGGUUUAGCUCCUACAAAAUCGUCUAUUUUGUACUGUCAAAAUUCAUGAAGGUUCAAACCUAGAAAUCUUCAAAUUACAAGGACAAAAACAAAACUAAAAAAUUUACGUGGUGAAAAAUUGGAAAUGAUCUUUAUUACGUGGGAUAAAGCACUAUUAACCCUAUUUUUUUAUUUUUAUUUUUGCAAAAAUUUUCGUUUUUCUAUGACCUAUUAGGAGGUAUUUCAAAACAAAUUUACAGGAGAAAAACCGGAAAUGACCUAUAUUACAUGGAUAAAGUAUCAUUAACCCUUAUUUUAAAAAUGCACUACAGUGAGUUGAACAAACUGCAAGUGUGUGUGCUUUUGUUGCAAAAAAAAAAAAAAAAGUAUUUGUUUAUUUAUUUAUUUUGAUAGUAGAGAAAUAUUUAUUCCCAACGAGACCCAUCAAUACAGAAAAUAAAGACCCCGCUCAAACCAAAGUACUUGAAAUUAAAUUUUUGUUCGUGGCUAUUAGGUAUGUUUCAUCGAGUUAGAAUCCACUUCAUUUAGUGUACUCUUCAAUCUCCAUUUCUUUUUAUUUGAAGAGAUAAAGAAAUAAUGAAUUUUGAAAAAAAUACAAAUUAUUAAUAAUGGUGGGACUCAUUUAAUAAUAUGACCUAUUAUCUACUAUUUUGUGUCUAUCUCUCACAGAAUGAUAUUUUCUGUUUAUUUGAAACAAAUGGAGAUGAUCAUCUUCCACGAUACAAAUGGGUAAACAAAUUUAUUUAGCUAUCAAAUGAGAAAAAUAUGUUUGCACAACUUAAACUCAGCGGUAACUACAAACUUAUAUGCUUUAACUUGUCUUGAUAUGGAUAAUAUAUGUUUUAUCUUGUCUCAUAAGUCAUAGCUCAACUGACAAAAAUGCUGAAAUUAAUAGGCCGGAUGUCUUGAUCGGUGUUCGAACCCUGAUACCUCCACUUUAUGUGUGUGAGUUUAUAAUGACUUUUUCAUCUCGUCUAUCUACCAAAAAAGAAUAUAUGCUUUAACUUUUGUUGAUUCAAUUUAAUUCCUUAAGGUAAUCAUUAUAAUAUUACGAAUGAAGUAUUUAAUAAAGCAAAUUCUAUAGUAUACCAAAAAAUUUAAGGGUAUUGGUACAACAAAUCUUUAAAUUAAUAGUUAAAUGAAUUACGUUUUUUAGGAAAAAAUUAUUUUCUAUCACCUAUAAUUAUAAUAAUUAAAUCUUAUUUACCAAAAUCUUCAACGCAAUAAAAUUUAAUUUUUCUGAAUUUUUAUUACUCAUAAUAGAGAAUUUUGAUUAUUUUUAUAAUAAAAUGUAAAAAAAUUUAGGAUGAUUUUUAUAAUUAAUAAAAUGAUAUUUUCUCUUAUGAAAUUAUAUUUUUUAAAAUAUAUAUGUCAACAAACAGCUAUUUUUUUCAUAAAAAAUGAUAGUUAAUUUUAAAAAAAAAUUAAGUAGGUGUACCGUAUAAAUUCUCAAUUAAUAAUUGUCAAAAGAGAAUACAACAACAACAACAACCAAGCCUUAUUCCACUAAUUGGAGUCGGCUACAUAGGUAAAGUAUGAUUUUAGUCUCUAUGAAAUUAUUAAAUUUUACGUUUCAUCACCAUAAAAAAGGGGCACUUAUUGUUCUUACACGACUUUCCUCCAUGCAAUUUUAGUCCUUACUAAAAUCAAUUUUUUUAAUUAUUCAUAAGCUUUCUAAAUUCUUAAAUGAUUUUAUUCAAGUGUGUUUAGAAUAUUUUAAUAAAACAUUUAAAAAUUUAGAUUUUUUAAUAUGGGAUGAAUAAAAUAUAAAUUUAUAAUAUAAAAAAAUUAAGAUAAGGUACUGGAAGUUUGGACUAAUAGAACGUACUAUGAAAAUUUUAUAAGAAUAUCAAAGUUCCUUUUUUUUAUUGUGAUGAAAAGAAAGAUCGGAAAUUUUAAAGGUACGAAAAAUAAAAAAACCGAAAUAUGAUCAAAUUUCAAGCGAAAUUAUUCAAAUAUAACAUUUUCUUUCACAUUUAAAUUGUAAAUGUCACAUGCACAUCAGGUGUUUGAUAUUUUUGAGUGAUAUAAAAUGAAGUUAGGGUUUAAUUGAAAAAAAGUGGGAAAGGAUAAAUUCCUAUGAGGUGAGGAAAGUAAGUUAAUUGCUAUCCAUGCAUGUAUUAUUUUGAAUUGUGUUGAGGAAUUAUAAGUUCAUUGUGUAUUUUGUUAAUUCUUCGUGUGUUUGGUAUGUUUGUGGUUGAAGUUGUGAUUGAUGCAUGAAACAUUUGGUUUAUUUAAAAUGACCCGUCCAUUAUUUGAAGUUUUUUUAAGAGUCUAUGUUUUCGUUGAGAAAGGUGAUAAAUAUAUGGUCAAUAUUGCGAAUAAUCCUAACUCGGAUGAAUAGAGUUCCAUCUUUAAUAUAUUGUCAAUGAUCCUUUUAUUAAUUAUCAAUAGAACCAAUAAUUUACACCUAUAAGAAAGAAAUGAACUAGUGAACUCUUUGUUCAAAAGAAACAUAAAUGGCAUUGUUUGAAAAUUCAUAAGUGUGACAAACUUUUUUUAUAACAGCAGCCAAUAUAUAAUAAUACUUUUUUUUAUAACUUUUUUUAUAAGUGCAAAUUGCUGUCAAACAAACCAAGUAGUAACUAUAAAAUAUUUUAGCAAAAUAUAUAUUCGUUAUUUCUUUUUGCUAGUGUAAGAAAUCACUUUUCCAUGCAUGGUGUAACUGUAAUAUCUUGAGCAUGGGACUCAUAUUAUCUGUAGGAUAGAAAAACUGAUUCACAUUUGCCAUCAAUGCACCUAUAACCUUGAACUAGAGUAUUUGGUGGGCAAUCAUUAUCAGUUAUACAAACGAUAUCUCCUGUAGAGAAAGAAUAUAAUAAACUAAUGUUAUAAAAAUGAAGUAAAGAUUAUAUAUGAACUACAAACUAAAGAAGAAAAUUUGAAAAGGUUGAAAAAAAAACAUUACCCUCAACAUUAUUUGCAACAAGGAAUAGGAAAAUAAAUAAAAUUAUAGUAUACACAAGUUUAUGAGCCAUAUCUUUUCUCUUUACAUACAACAAAUAUAAUUUAUUUGAUCACUUUAUAGGGUACAAACCUCAUGUUGUGUUAAGAAAAAUGUAAAUAUUUUUACCUCUUAAUAACUUUUAAAAGUCACUCCCUAAAUUUAAAAUUAUUAUUAAGUGUCUCUUAAGAAGAUCAAUGUGUUAUAUUUGUCAAUUUACCAUACUUAAUAUAUGUGCACCGUAAAAAACUUGCUAAUCAUUAGAAUUUAAUAUUUUGGUAAUUAAAUUUAUUACUUUUGAUGAUCGAAAGGGGAAAUUUUUGAAAAUAAUAAUGCAUAAGUUAUUAGUAUAACCUUAUUGUAGGAUUUUUUUAGUACUUAUAAUUGCAUGAAUUCAUCAACAUUCUCAUUCAGAUAAAGUCUUUCAUUGUUAUGUAUAUCUGAUGAGCGGAUCACGCAAGUCUACCAAAUCAUUUUCCAAGUAAUAAACUGUUGGAAUAAUAGUCAAAAUUAGUUAAAAAUAUUUUUUUUGUCACCGAAGAGAUUACCACGCUGAGUCGUGGACUAGGUCGCUCUCUCUAAGACGUUUAGUGGAAAUGCCCAAAAUUAUGCAAGCAGACUAUCAACCAUGACGUCCCCAGGAUAAAACAGUCCAGCUAUAGGAUCUGUUCUAUGAAUACACCUUCAAAUAUGGUGUUAGCUAAGACCACUCUCAUAUGGUAUUGAUAUAUACCACACUAUUAUGAUACUAAGACCAUUCUUAUAUGGUUCUAAGACCAUUCUAAUAUGGUGUUUCCACCACUCUAACCUUUAACAUCUCCAAUGGCGUAAAACAUAAAAAAUGAACUAUAUUCUUAAGAUCUUUCUUAUUUUCCGAAGGGACACUUUAUCUCGAAAGAGACUAUGAUCUUAAGAAUACUCUUAUUUUUUAAGGGACGAAUUUUAUCGAAGGGACUAUGUUCUUAAGACCAUUCUUAAUUCCGAAGGGACAUUUUAAACCGAAGGGACUAUGGCCUUAAGAACACUCUUUAAAUCCGAAGGGACAGAAAGAGAGGGAGACAAAAAGAAUAGCUCGUCAACACAAGCUAAAACAGGGAUAACAAAGAAAAGUUCUUUGAAAACUCAAGAGAACUUUUGGGGUAAUUACAAGUGAGAAAUGAGAGUUCUAUUUAUAGGUAAGGAGCCAGAGAUAAGUUACAAAUCCAAUGCCUAGGAUUAGUUGACCGCUACAAAAUCAAUGACAUAAUUUCUCCUCAUAAAUGAGCACUCAAUGAGAUAGUUGACAUGAGAAUAUUUUAAUUCAAAUUAACAUACAUAGUGGAUCAAACUUGAGACCUUUAGAAGUAGCACGCUCUUAGUAAUAAUCAUUAGAACUAAUAAUUUACACUUACAAGAAAGAAAUGAACUGGUGAACUCUUCAUUCAAAAGAAAAAUAAAUGUCAUUGUUUGAAAAUUCAUAAGCGUGACAAUAUUAUGAUAUAAAAUUGAAGUAAUAUGUGUUAGCUCUUUAAAUAUAGGGAACUUCUACGGUACAUCCGCAAAUUAAGGUGUACCGGUACUCAUGCUUUAAAAAAAUUUAAAUUAACUAUUAUUUUUAUAGAAUAUAGUGCUAUUUGUUGAUAUUUAUAUUUUAAAAAAUGUCAUUUUAUAGGAAAAAAAACAUCAUUUCAUUGUUUAUAAAAAUCAUACUAUUUUUUUUUACAUUUUAUUGUAAAAAAUAAUCAAAAUUCUCUAUUAUGAGUACUAAAAAUUUAGAAUAAUUUAAUUUUAUUUCGUCGACGUUUUUGGUAAAUAAGAUUUAAUUAUAGAUGAUAGAAAAUAAAAAUUUUCUUCAAAAAAUAACACAUUUAACUAUUAAUUUAUUGAUUUGAUGUACCAAUACACUCAAAAUUUUGAGUGUACCAUAGAACUUGCCUUAAAUAUAAUGUUAUAUUUUUAAAUUAAAGGACAUGGUGAUAAAAUAAGGAAAAUGCUAGUUGUCCCAUAUAUAAGGAAAAUGCUAGUUGUCCCAUAUAUUUGUUUCACGAUAUCAUCGCGAAGCACGUGGUAACUGGCAAACCAGUUGUGUUGUUUAUUUUUGCCUGUUUCUCUCUCCAAUUGUUAUUUUGGAGUUCGUUGGUUGAUUUAUGGAGUUCGGUGGCCGAUUUUUACAGUAGAAAAUAAAACAGAAACGUAUUUUCAGGCUUAGAUUUGUUCUAGUUUUAUUGAAGAUUCUUUUACUAUAAAUAUAGACAUUGUAUCAGAGUAAACCAUCACUACAAGAAUUUUUCAUUUUACUGGCAGAACUAAACCCUCACUAAUGCAAAACAUCCCUCAGUAAUGCCCAUUACUGGCGGAUUGAUGUCCCUCAGUAAUACUGGAGUCAAUAUUGUUACUGACGGAUUUUUUCCUGAGUAAUGGGGAGAUAGUCUUGACAAAGCUUUACUGAGGGAUUAUUCCGUCCGUCAGAAAUUACUGAUAGAAUAAUCCGCCAGUAAUUACUGACGGAAUAAUCCCUCACUAAUGUUCCAACCUAAUCCGUCCAAGUAUUAUUGACGGAUUUAUCCGCCAGCAAUGUUUAUGCAUAUCUACAUUACUGACAGAAAUUUCCCUCAGUAAAAUACUUCAUACUUUUUUUGUUGAUCCCUUCCCACAUUUUUAUUUUAAUUAAAGAAUUAUAAUCAAUUAAACAUAACUAAAUUAAAGUGUAAUUUAUUAAGACACAAACUAAUUAAACGACAUAUCAUCAAAAUAUUCGUACAAUGCAUAAAUAGUUUUCGUACAAAAUUAUAAAUAUUUCAAUAAUAUUCGUACAAUCUAGAGAAUUAACAGAAUAAACUAAUUAUCAUAAUAUUUGGGCAAAUUCAAUCCCAAUCUCCCUCUGGAUGAUCUCUCGCUCAUAUUUUAUCCUCUCCGGGUAUUUUGGAGAUUUUCUUGCGCAGUAUGAUCCAUAUAAUUAAAGUUUCCACAAAAGUAUCAUACUGACUUUCAAAAGUUUCAAUAAAUGCUCUCAUGGUGGUAUGCACGUAUAUUCAAAAUUCAAAAAUAUAAGUAAGUUAUCUUAUGCCAAACAUUAUUAAGGUUAAGCUUGUGAAAGAAACACACAACUCACGUAAAAAAUAAGAAUCACAUGGUACCUGUUCCAUUGAUGGCAUGGUAUGUCCGGCCUUCUUCCACAACAACUCUGCAUAACUCUGUCGUGUCCAUGUAAAAAACACGGACACAUCACUAAACAAUCUGCAAUUUUGCACUUGUUAACAAAUAGGUUGAUCUUCAAACACUUUUUCCUAGUAUCCCAAGCUAUACUUUCCAAACUUCCUCUCACUAUAUCAUUGUCUCAGUCUUCUUCACAACCUUAUCCCUUCAUGCAACAUAUUAGCAUUAUAGCAAUCUGCAACACUUUAUUCUGCUGACACACAAUCUGCAUCACUUAACCAUGUAUGAGAAAAAAUGACAUCUUUAAAGAAACUUGUUAAAAUGAUGGAACAAUUCACAAAUAGUCUUAAGAAUAAAAUCCAAAAGGGGUCAUGAACUUAACUAUAUAUAAGUAUAAAAAGUUCAUUUACAUGUGAAUAUGUGAUGGAACAAGUGUAACACUUCCUUUCCUACGUAUAUACCAGAUAAGCAUAUUAAACAAAAGGCCCCAGAAACAAUAAGAGUUAGUGAAAGAAAAACCAAUUAUAAGACAAAUAGAGAACUACAAAGACAUCUUCUGAUUAAACUAGUUAUGUCUGUACAGAAACUCAGAAACAAAUCAUAUAUGAUCCCAAAUUCACUUGAUUUUCUUUUUCUUUUUCCUUAUGGGUUAAGAAUUGAACCAUUCAUUUGAUUCCAAGUUCUUGAAUUCUCUAAUCUCUGAUCCCGAAUUCACUUAGUUUAUUUAAAAAUGAAGGAAAUAAGAUGGGUAUAAAUAAGUAAAACAACUUUGAGUAACCCAUUUAAACAAAUCCUUACAGAUCCAAUAGUAACAUCUCAUAUCUACAAAUAACAAACAAAUUAAAUAAAAUGGAAACUUUAAAUAACACAAAAUCAAAUGAAAAAUGAAAACUUUUAAGUAACCCAAAUCAAGUAAAAAUCAAAACUUUAAGGGAGAAUUAGGUGAAUCAAAGGUGCCCAUGAACCUGGUUUAGUGAUAACAACUAAUAAAAUUUAAAUUAAUUAAGGGUAAGAUGAUUUGUUACUCACCCGAAUCUUCUUCAACAUUCUCCUCGAUGCCUCUGAAAAAUUGGUCAAUCAAUGGAAAAAGCUUAACAAACGAAAUAUCAAAAUCGAACUAAAAUAAAAAUAAAAAUUCCAUAAAUUUGGAGCUUUUUUACAAUACCUUUUAGAACUUGAAAUCUUGGAGUCAAAACUAAGAGAAGCAAGUAAUGAUCCUUCUUAUAAGUGUUCUUCAAGGUAGGAGAGAAGCUUUUGAGUUAGCAAUGGGUUGGGGGAGUUCGGGUAGCCGACGGAGAAUGAGAGAGAGAGACGAACAUGAGAUGAAUUUAUCUUCUUUUGUUACAAUUUUAAUGUCUAAGUACCUUUCGUUUACUUGCGGAAAUGAAAGGGUAUUGGCGGAUAUUAGAACAUUAUUGACGGAUUUAAAUCGGCCAGUAAUACAAACAUUACUGUUAUUGAGGAAAAAAAUCCGCCACUAAUUCAAUGCAGAUUGGUUAUUGACAUUAUUGACGGAUUUUUCUGCCAAUAAUACUAACAUAAUUAUUAUUUAUUUUUUUGCGUGUAAUUUUCUGAAUUAUUGAAGGUUUUUUCUGCUAGUAAUGUUAUUGAGGGUUUUUCUUGUGUUACUGAGGAUUUAGAUCGCCAGUAAUUACUGAGGGUUAAAAUCCGUCAGUAAUGAGAUUUUCAAUUGGUUAGUAAUUAAGGGUAUUCUUGUAGUUCAUGAGAUAGAGGGGGCUGAAAGAAGGGUCUAGUAAGACAACAACAAAAAUAGGGUUUGUCUCUUGACAACAGACACUAGGGUUUGAGGGUUGAUUCAUCUUGGGAAACACUAUUAUGAUUGAGUCUCUAGGUUACGGGAAGAGAUUGAGACUUUGGGUAGAAUUAGGCGGGAGAUCCUUAUUCUUGUAAUCCAUUGAUAUCUCUUUUGUAAGGUUACUCAUCAUUAUAGUGAAACGGAGGGCUGCUCUCCCCAGACUAGGUCAAUUUGGACCGAACUGGAUCAACAAAUUCUUUUGUGUUCUCUCUUCUUUUCUCUCUCGCUGUUUUAUACUUUUGGUUUGUUUUUAUAAUUGUUUCAUACACUUUAUUUUGGUUGCAUGAUAAUCACUUACUCCACACAUCAAAUUUAUUAUUGGUGUGAUUUUUCUUCAAAUUCACAAGAGAUUGAUGGCCCAUUAUUCUAGUUAUUCUAUUGAAGAUGACACUGAUAGAGGUGAUGGUUUCUAUUCUCAAAUACUUUAGAGCAUGUGAAAGAUAUUUUGAUUUUGUUUUUUAUUAAAGAAAUAACCUAUAAAUAUAAAUUGUGGCUGUAUGAUUAAAAAAAGUAGCCGCUGUAAGCACUUUCGUGAGACUUCGUGAGGAUAUCUUUCGCAUUAUAUAACACGGCUCGACAAAAUAAAAUACAAUAUUUGGAAUCCAAGACAAUGAUUAAAUGGCAACUAUAAAAUAUUUUAGUAAAAUAUAUAUUUCAUAUUUAUUUUUGCUAGCGUAAGAACUCACUCUUCAAUGCAUGGUGUAAUUGUAAUAUCUUGAGUAUGAGACUCAUCCCAUUCAUAUAACACUCUAUGUGAUUUACAUUUGCCAUCAAUGCACCUAUACCUUAGAUUCCGAGUAUUUGGUGGGCAAUCAUUAACAGUUUUGCAAAGAAUAUACCCUAUAGUGAAAGAAUAUAUAUAAUAAACUAAUGUUAUAAAAAUGAAUUAAGAUUAUAUAUGAACUACAAAUGAAAGAAGGAAAUUUGAAAAGGAUGGAAAAAAAACAUUACCCUCAACAUUAUUUGCAACAAGAAAUAGAAAAAUAAAUAAAAUUAUAGCAUACACAAGCUUAUGAGUCAUAUCUUUCUCUUUACAUACAACAAAUAUAAUUUAUUUGAUCACUUUAUAGGGUAUAAAUUUAACCUCAUGUUUAAGAAAAAUGUAACUAUUUUUACGUCCUAAUAACUUUUAAAAAGCAUUCCCUAAAUUUAAAAUUAUUAUUAAGUGUCUCUUAAGAAGAUCAAUGUGUUAUAUUUGUCCAUUUAUCACACUUAAUAAAGGCGCACCAUAAAAAACUUGCUAAUCAUUAGAAUUUAAUAUUUCGGUAAUUAACCUUAUUGUUUAACCUUACUGUAGAGUUUUUUAUAUAUAAAAAUCAGUUAAUCAUUUGGAAUAGUAUAUAAUUUUAUAAUUGAAUGAAUUCAUCAACAUUCUCAUUCACAUAAAGUCCUUGAUUGGCAUGUACAUACAAAAUAAAUUAGAAUUGAAGACUGAUUAUUCGCGUGAUACAUGAGGGAGAAAUACAACGGACUUCUAGGGUUUCCCCUUGCACUAUCGCCCUACUGAAUUCUGAUUAAUUUGUUCCUUGCUAACUCUCAAGUGGUUUCAUAUGCCGUUGAACCAAAGUAUUAAUGAUAACAUUGUAUAAAAGAACAGUUGGAUACUUUAAUGUAUCUUUAAAUAUGCAAAACCAUAAAAUUAAAUUCUGAUUUAAAGGUCGAGUUUUGGCUCUGAUACAUCAUGCUCUGACCAUAAAAGAAAUCAUUUUGAUGCUAAAGAGAACAAAAGCCUUGAGGAAUGAGAAUCAGAGAUGCAAGGAAAAACACAAGCAAGUAUGAGGAAAAAGAAGUCAUCUUAAUCUUAAUUAGUGUGAUUUUAGUAUUGGAGCAUAAAACAUAGGGGAUAAUAUCAUGUUUUAUACUAGUUAGAUUAGAGACAUUGGUGAGUGGGAGGUGCAAUUAUUGAUGAAAUACGUCAGGCUAUUGCAUAUGCUUACGGAUUAACCUGCACGUCACAAAGCAAAUCAAACUUUUUAAAAGCCUAAUAUAUCGGAAUUAUUGAUUGUGGAUUAGGAUUAAAAAAUCUGCAAUUUUUCAAUUAGGUUUUACACAAUACAAGUGGAGGUCGAGGUCUGCCCAUUAACUUAGUUCGGUUGGGUCCUCGUGAGUUUAACUCGGUUAGUUUGAACAAUGCAUAAUAUAUGUAAAGUUUGGAGUUCAAACCCUGACGACCACAAAAAAACUUAGCUCAAUUGGUAGGGAAUAACAUAUACAGAGAAUGUGCGCAGUUCAAACUUCAGACAUCCCAUUGUUUAUUUUUUAAAGAUUAAUUUUUAACAACUUGACUAACUAGAAAAACUGGAGGUGGAUUCAGCAAUUUUUUCAUGUGUUUUCAAUUUUAUCCAACAUUACAAUUUCAUUUUUAUUUAACAAUGUUUCCAACGACAUAAACCAAUUUUAAAACGUGGGCAAAAAGUAAUCUUAUUACGUUAGAAAUGUAAAAUACUAAUAUUUUAUCAUUCUCUAAAAGUUCAAGUAGCACAUAAAUACAUUUUUGAAAUAAAAGUUGUUGACCUUCUACAUAGAGUUCAGAAGAUCAUGCAUAACAAUAGGGGUGUUCAAAACCGAACCAACCCAAUAGAAAAACCGCAAACCGAACCAACCCAAACCGAAACUGCAAAAAACCGCACUUGGUUCGGAUGAGUUCGGAUGACUUUUAGACUGAACCGCGCGGUUCGGUUCGGUUUGCGAUUUGCAUCUCAGCAACCAAACCAAACCAAACUAAACCGCAAAAAUACUCAAUGUUAUUAAACUAAGUAAGUACUGUACUAGCCCAAUACCAAAGUGAACCCAAGCCCAAGCCCAACCCUAUCCAGCUAUUUUUUGGUUCUUAAAUAUUAUUUUGGUACUGUAAUGUUAUUUUAGAUAAAUAACUUUCAUUGGUAUUGUAAUGCUAUUUUUGAACUUCAAGUUAAAAAAUAAAAAAAUAAAAAAAAAUAAAAAAAAAAAAAACUUCAAGUUCUUUUUUUGAAUAAUUAAAAUUGCUUGGUACUAGUUGGCAAUAUUAGAGUUAAUGUAAUUUUUUUAUUUAUCUCGCGAUUAACCGCAUCAACUGAACCAAUCCAAACCGCAUUGGUUUGGUUUGGUUUGGUUCGGAUGACUUUUUAAAAAUCAACCGAACCAAACCAAACCGCAUGCUUUUUUCUCUCGCGGUUUGGAUGAUUAUUAUGCUUGAAACCGAACCAAACCGCACCGCAAACACUCCUACAUAACAAUGUCAUGUCUCCUUGGUCCAUGAAUGUUGUGUUUACGAUGAUUGAUUUUGUUAUCCAAAAAGGUUUGGCGGCGCAGCUUGUUGCCCGCUUGCCUUUGAUUAAAGUGUAAAUAAUUAAUGGUUUAUAUAUUUGAGAAUAAUUUUGGAACAAGAAACUUAUCAAGAGAAAAAUAUAUGUCAUUUUAUAAAAGUUUAUAUGAGUAUUAGUUUAAGUGACAUAAGUUUAAUUAUUGUUUUUCUUAUGUUGCGGUUUGAUUUGGUUAAUAAAAUAAAAACCGCAAAUCAAAACAAACCAUGCAGUGGAGUAAGAAAAUAAUCUUAAUACAUCUGAACUAAAUGCAUUUUUUACAAUUUCGGUUUUGAUUGAUUCAGUUGGCAGCUUUUCUAUUAGGUUGAUUGGUUUUUAACACCCUAAUCAAUAUCAAAAACGAAGUUUUUGAACUAGCCUUAUCCACCGGCUAACUUGUCUUUACACACGAUUAAAAAACCCACACUUAUCUUUGCAACUAUAGAGCAUAUUCUUUCGAUCAAUCAAACUAGUCCAGAGAAAGCAAUCAUAUUGCAUGAAAGCAUUUACGGGAUUCUUUUAUAAAAGAAUGAAGACAAUCAAGGACACUUCUAGAUAAAAGGACAAUUAAGAAAUAAAUUAUUAUUUGAAUUCUCUUUAAAAUUAUAUCCACUUAUGCAUCUAGUUUAAUAUGAGUCGUUGAUUUCUCGUAUGGACCACUAAGGAAGGUUACAAAUCCCACAAAUUAGAAGGUCUAUAAACCUUCACUAACCAACAAGAUAUAAGCGUGACAAAAAUCAUGCACAUCAGUUUAUAGUGAUUUGAUUAGACAAAAACUAAAAUCGUCACAAAAUUAUUUUAAAUCUCAUAAAAUGGAUCUCUGAUUUUUAAUUUUUUUCAGAUGGAUCGUGGCAGAGUCAUUGAUGGGCUCCACCACUGCCAAUUGGGCAUUAAACAAAUUAUCUUUAACGAUUUUAAGACCCAUGAAGGGCUCUUCCACUACCUAGAAGCCGCCCUACCUCCUUAAUUAUGAGAUAAGAGCUUAUACCAUAAACCUUCUUAAUCUACCUUAAGCUUCCAAUACCAUUUUCGUAAAAUUGAAAAAUUAACUUUCAUUUCUCUCUGAACACAUAAACCUCUUUUACUUCUAUCUAAACAAAUAGUGCACCCCAAUGAACUCUACGAGCUUCCUCACUCGCCUCCUCAAAGAAAUUUUAUAAAAAGGUAAUCAAUUUAAAAAAACUAUCUGAGGGAGUCUUGAAGAAGGAAAUAUAGUAAAUCGAAAGAGACAAUGGACAUUUAAGAAGAACAAGACGACUAUCCAUAGAUAGAUUACAACUUUUCUAUCCAAAGAGACAUUUCUUACCCAAACUUGGAAGGUGAAUGUAUUUAAAGGGAGCCCUCUUGAUUUUGCAAUUAAGAACUAUAGAUACAUCUUCUAACCAGAUAGGAGAUAUAUUAACACCAAAUAAUAGACGGUUAUGGAAGUUAAUUAACUUUAAGGCCUAAAAUUUUUUAUUUAUUUUUGACAAAUGGCCUAAUUUUUUUUUAAAAAGGACAAUCUUGGCUUGUCGUAGCAAUUCCAUAACUUAUUAAAAAAUAACCAUAACUUAUCAUAGCAAUUUCGCAACAAAUCUACGACAACAUAACUUAGACUUGUCGUAGCAAUUCCAUAGCAAAUCUACAGCAGAAAUUUAACAAAAUUUUCUUUAGUGGAUCCUAGCAAUUAGGACCUUUUAACCUUAUUAAAAAAAACAUUUAAAUCACUCCCAAUCAAUUAAUAAGAAACUUUAGUUGAACACCACAAAAAAUACAAAAUAGUAUUGAUAACAAAUUAGGUCUCAUACAAUGCUAAUUUAUGAAGCUAUUUCAAACAAACUAACAUGCACUUAUGGUAGUCCUCGCACAUCACAACGUGCAGAAAAGUUUACCACAUCCCAUUUCUCUAUUUUAACAGGUUGCACAUUUUUCUGGAACAAAGUUUAAAACAUUAGAAAAUAAAUAUUAUAGAUGAAACAUACCAGUAAAUUAAAAUUGGAGCUCAGAUUUGACAUAAAUACCUUGUUAUUGAAGUUCCAUCUCCCAUUCCUGGGAUUGAAGUCUUCGCCAUUCCCAUACUUCAACUGUAAGUCAAAAUAAAUAAACAGGAACAAAAAAAAUUCUUCAAAAAGUAAUUUCGAAAAUCUUUCUUAGGUGAGUGCUUGAGAAUGUUUCCAGGAACAACACCUGUCUUCUUCAGAGUAAACUUACAAUGCCAACAUUUUCAUUAAUAACAACGUCCAUCAUGAAGAACAGCAACUACAAAUAACAGUUUCCAAACCUUAAAAAUGGAUACACAUCAACAGAAAUGGGAUAGAAAAAUCAACAAUUCAAUAAACAUACACAUUGAUAUAUCACUAUCAAGCUGUUUUGAAUAAAUGCCCCCACUCAAGGACUGACAGGCCCUUUGGCCCCCGACUAAGGGGCUACUGUUUCGAUACAUAAAAAAGUCUCACAUUGCUAAAGAACGUGGUAAGAGUAACAACAAUAUUCAUCUCUUCAACUCACAAACACCUAUUUCAAUGACUCAACAAACACCUCUUACAAUGAAUAAAACCUCCUUAAAGGCUUUAGCAAUGAAGAAGGCAUAACACCAAGUAAUGUGUUCUGAGUGCCUCUUGUACUCACCUUAAUACAUUUCAUUAUAGAGUCAAAAAUGUAUUAAAUUUUUUUAAAAGUUGAAAAUAUCCUUAAGACUGUAUUUUUAUAUUAUAUUUCCUUUAAGACAAUGUUUGACUAUAUAUAAUAAAAAAAUGUCAUGCUAACUUGUGCCUUAAACACAAAAGUUAAGAUUUAAAAAAGGAAAUGAAAAAUAAAUUCAGCAUUGAAAAAAUUAACUUUUAAACUUCUUAGAUGUUAAAAGCACAAUUUCAAUACAAUAUUUUUAUGUUCAAUAUUAUAUUUUUAUGUCUAGUUUUCUUAACAUGUGCCCUUAAUUAGCUUUUCGCAUAAAAAAAUGUUAAAAUGUUAUUCUUGCCACAAAUUUGUUGGAUUGUUUUUAACUUAUUGUCUGCUUCAAUUUGAGUAUGAUGUAAGCUAUGAUAGUGUUGUUUUUAAAAUGCACUACAGUGAGUUGAACAAAGUGCCAGUGUGUGUGUGUUUUUGUUUCAAAAACAGAAAAGUAGUUGUUUAUUUAUUUAUUUUGAUAGCAGAGAAAUAUAUAUUCACAAUGAGAUCCAUCAGUAUAAAAAAUAAAGACCCUGCUCAAACCAAAGUACUCGAAAAUUGAAUUGUUGUUAGUAAGCUAUCAGGUGCGUUUCAUCGAGUUAGAAUCCUCUUCAUCUAGUGUACUCUUCCAUCUCCAUUUCUUCUAUUUGGAGAAAUAAAGACACAAUGAAGUUUGAAAAAAAUAUAAAUAAAUUAAUAGUGGCAGGAACCACUUAAUAGUAUGACCCACUAUCUACUUUUUUGUAUAUAUCUCUCCGCAAAUGAUAUUCUCUAUUUAUUUGAAACAAAUGGAGAAGAUGCUUACUCGAAUUUCAUCUUCCACGAUACAAAUGGGUAAACAGUUCUAUCUAGCUAUCAAAUGAGUAAAAAACAUUUGCAUAACUUAAAUUCAGCUGUAUCUACAACUUUUAUAUGGAUAAUAUAUGUUUUACUUUUGAUGAUUCAAUAUUUUUCCUAGUAUUUAAGAUCGGAAAGAGUAUUAAAAAUUGUAGUCUUCAUAAUUAGAACACGGAAACAUAGACUUUUUGACUUUUGGGGAUCGCUUUUAACUUUAAGUUUUAGAUUAAACUAACAAAAUACACUUGAUCACACGUUGUUGAUUAAUAUACGAAGGUAAUUUCACCAAAAAAUAUACUAAGGUAAUGAUUAUAACAUUACACGUAAAGUAUUUAAUCAUUGUCAAAAAAGAGUCAAGUAUUUAAAAAAAAAGGGUAAAGUAUGAUUUUAGUCUCUAUGAAAUUAUUAACUUUUGCGUUUCAUAACAUAAAAAAAGGGGAGCUUUUUGUUCUUAUACAACUUUCCUCCAUGCGAUUUUAGUCCUUACUAAAAUCAAUUUUUCAAUAUUAUUCUCAAACUUUCUAAACUCUUAAAUGAUUUUGUUCAAGUAUGUUUAGAUUUUUUAAUAUGGGAUAAAUACAAUAUAAAUUUAUAAUAUAAAAAAAUCAAGAUAAGGUACUGGAAGUUUGGAAUAAUAAAACAUGAUAUGAAAAUUUUAUAGGGAGCUCAUAGUGCCAUUUUAUUUAGUGUGAUGAAAAAUAAAAAUUGGUAAUUUCGUAGGGGCAAAAAAUAUAAUAAAAUGAAAUAUCAAAUUUCACUCGAAAUUAUUCAAAUAUAAAAUUUUCUAUCACAUUUACAAAUAAAAUAUUAAUAAAUAUAUACUUUCAUUUACAUGUAAAAAUAUUAUAUUACUAUAGAACUAUUACGUCGUUCAUUAAGGAUAGCUUCGUGCCAACUCAUUUUAACAAUAUGUUUUAUGUUGAGUAUUCCUUCAUGAGGGGAUUGAGAAAUGAAAUUUGUAAAUGUCAGAUGCACAUUAGGUGUUUGAUGUUUUUGAGUGAUAUAAAUAUGAAGUUAGGGUUUAAUUGGAAAAAGGUGGGAAAGGAUAAAUUCCUAUGAGUUGAGGAAAGUAAAUAAAUUGCUAAUUCAUGCAUGUAUCGUUAAUUCUAGAAAAGAUCUGAAGUAAUAGUUUCUCAAAGUUUCAACCAGAGAAGAAAGAGAAAAAAUGAAGUGAAAAAGAUUAUUGAUUAGUUCAACUGAAUUCUGUUACAAUGAAUGUAGAAGUUGGUUAUGACAGCUAUGUCUAACUAACUUCUAUCUAUCUAAAUGUAAAAGAAAUACAAAUGAAAUUACAUGUAAAUAAGGUAAUUUCCACCCACAAGCUGGAGGUUGGUAGAUAUCCACCAUCCCAAGCUUGGUGAUGCAUUCAUAGAAUUGCCUUGGCCCUGCUGCUUUUGUGAACACAUCUGCAGUUUGAUUACGAGAAGAAAUAGGUAACAGUCUCAUUACUCCUGCUUGCACUUUCUCACGUACCAAGUGACAGUCUAUGUCCAGAUGUUUUGUGCGUUCUGAUGUAGUAUUUUUGCAUCAAACAAUUGUAAGUAUUUGUAUCGUCUCCACAGGGACUGGUGCGAUAUUCUAAGCCGUUCAACAAUUCAUACUAUUCUGAGCUAGGGUUUCGAAGUUGUUUUUGUUCAUAAACUAUAGAACUAAAGAAAGGUAAAUGGGACGAAAGUUAACAGGGAAAUGAUUAUGUUGGGAUUAAACUUCAUCAACCUAUUCAUACGUAUUCUCGGAUUAGUGUUGCAGAUCUUAAUUAUCAAUUGAUAUUAUCACAUAUCGCUCGACAACAUCAUUCGUGUCCAAAUGAUGUCGUGAAUUCUAUUGAGUCGUUCAAUCGUUGAUUUCCCAAACUACUAAACGAUCCACUAGUCGAUUGUAUCGUUGUAUAGUUGAUUUCCCAAACUAUUCAAUGAUGCAAAAGCUUUAAGUUCCAAUAGUCAAAGUGAUUACCAAAACCUAAUUCAAUGUCUAGAACAAGAGAUUUGAUAGAAGAUUAUUCUAACCUAGAUUCAAAAGGUAUUUUUCAAUCACGAUUCAAAUCCAUAAGAUCAAAAUGGAAAACAAGAAUAACCUCAACAUCAAAAGAUAACUAAGAACAAACAACAUCAUAAUCAAAGGGAAUACAUACUAAUAGAGUUGAUUACAUUCAAUCCCAACAAAAAGAGUUUAGCUACACAUUGUCAUGGUAACCUUACAAGGAGAAAAGAAGAGAUGAAAUGAGCAAGCCAUGAUGUCUCAAUGAUCUUGGAGAUUCCUUCAAUCCUUGUGCUCCUUGCUCCUUAAGUUCUCUCAGGUUUUCCCCUGCUUUUUCUCUCCCUAAAGUGGUCUAUGAUAUGAUAUGAUAAUAAUAUCAGAUAUCCCUGCUGAUCUGAGUGAAUGGCCUUUAUAUAGUUUUGAUCUGACUCAACUCGCCUCGCGAGUAGGUGUUCUCGCCAUGGCGAGUUGAGCUUUCUUCCCCUAUAGGUUUCUGCCACGUCAGCUUGAAGAGGUUAGGCCGCCUUAGCUCGCCUCACGAGUAGUUUUGCUCGCCAUGGCGAGCUCUUGGAUUUCCUUGCUCGCCUUUCACUCGCCAUGGCGAGUUGGAAGCAAGUGAGAGAUGGACUUUCUGCCUCAGCUCGCCAUGAAGUCGCCUUGGGCUCGCCUGGCGAGUUGACCUUUUCAUUUCUUCAUGUUUUCUUGCUUUUUAAGUAUCCAGGAAUGCAUUUUCCUACACAAACAGUUGGCAUUAGAUGUAAAAAGCAUAAUUGAAUGAUUCUUCAAUAUUUCUGAGCUUUUUCACUAGAUAACUUGCGAACCAAGUAAUCAAAGUGCCUAAAAUGUAUGUCCUAUUUAACUGUUUUCUGACACUUAUCACGUUCAUGAAACACAGGAUUAGCUGAAAUAUGCAAUGCACUCUGGUUAUCACAGUACAAAACAGGCAAACGAGAAGGAGCUUGAUGGAAGUCAGAUAAGAGAAAGCACAUCCAUUGAAGCUCUCUUGUUGCUGAAGCUAGUGCCUUAUACUCAGCUUCUGCUGAAGAACAUGAAACUGUAGGCUGUUUCUUGGAUUUCCAGGACACUAGAGAACUUCCAAUGAAGAAACAAUAGCCAGAUAUGGAUCUUCUGGUAUCCACAUACCCUCCCCAAUCAGCAUCACUGAAACCAAAAAUUUGUAAAUCUGCAGAUUGGGGAAAGAAAAGGCCACAACCAGGAGAUCUUUUAAGGUAUCUAAGCACUCUAAGAGCAGCUUUAUGAUGUGUUUCAGUGGGGCAUGAUGUAACACCCCGUUUCCCAAAAUCAAUUUAAUUAUAAUUAUAAAAUCAGAGUUCCACAUUAAACGGCAUGUCACACUACAAAAUAUAAAUUCUUAAAUAGAUUAAAACUAUUUAACAACAUCCUUCAUUAAACUGCAGCGGAAAAUUCUUUAAAUUAAACUCCAUUAUCCAAAAUAAUCUUGGCAUUAAGCCACAACAUAAAAUAUUUCAUCGUUCAUAGGGCUACAACAACAUUAACCAAAAUUUGAUACAUAGAAUGAAUUUAAACAAUGAAAUCCCAUCCCACGUAUCAGAGCCCUAGACACUUGAGCCACCACCAACUACUCAGGAUCACCUGCAAGUUACCCAUAGGAAGGGCAACAUUUUCAAGCAGAAGGGGUGAGAUUCACAACAAAAUAUAGAUAAAGAAUACAUCAAUUGAAUCUAACACCCUAUCAUAAUUCAUCCACAUAUUAUUAAUUUCAUAACAUCAUUUUUGCAUAUUAUUAAUAAUAUUAAUUCAUACACCUCUCAACAAUAUAUGCAACUUAUCACCACUCCACUAAGACUCCUCUAAACUCCCAUGCAUGUGGUACCAUAAAUCAGGGCCGUGACCCACACCGCUGUCGAAUGGUUAAAGCAUUCUCAACAGGACAUAAGUCCUCACCACUACACCACUUUGAGUAACUAGUACUCCACCACUUUGAACGACUAAGCAUUCCAGAGCCGAAGCUCUCCCACUGUUAUGUUAAUGCAACUAAUCCCCAUAGAGUAUAUCUACAUACCAACCAACCUAGACAUAUACAUAUAUAUGAUUCACCAACCAACUUACACCUUUAAGGGAAUUUAAUUAUAUACAACAUACACCAGUCAGCAUCCAUUCAUCAAAACCAACUAAGCAUCUAGGGAAAUAUAUAUCAGCAUACAAGCCAUGCAAUAAUUCAACAAAAUACACAAUCCAAACAACAACAGAAAUUAACCAACCAAAUACUGGGCAGCUCGCCUCGCGAGCUCAUCUACUCGCUAUGGCGAGCUCAGAAAAACGGGUACUCGCCAUGGCGAGUUGGAGGCGAACUCGAGGCGAACAGAAAUAUGGUGCUCUCGGGAAAAAUGACAUUUUUCUCACUCAAACCUCAAUUCUAAGCUCCCUAAUCAUCUUUUACACUUAAAACUUGCUCUAGUCCUCUUAAAAAUCAUCUAGGUACACGAAACUACCCAAAAUACGGCUUAUAACAAUUUUUUCAAAAUCCAGAUUUUCACAAGGCUACUCGCCAUGGCGAGCUGUAUCACUCGCGAGGCGAGCCAUGAAGUUGUUCACUCGCUAUGGCGAGCAAUGGCUACUCGCGAGGCGAGCGAUGAACUCCUGUACGGGCAGAAUGCAGGUUUUUCCCAAAAAUCCCAUUUUUCCUCAAAUCACUCCCCAAAUUAGUUUACAGAUAUGCAAUGAAAGGUUUUAUGCACCCAGAACCCAUUUCUACCCUCAAUUCUAUGAUUCCUACACCCAAAACUCCUUUAUCAACAAAACCUAAUUUCUCCCAAAUCCUCACAUAAACCUGUUAGAACACAAUCAACAUUCAGAAUCUAUAUAAUUGCGGUAAACCUCACCCUUACCUUAGAUUUGCAGAAAAAAUACAGCAGCAAAUGAUUCCUAAGCUUCUCUCCCUUGCACUAGCUUUUCUCCCAAAACUUGUAUGUUUUCACGUAAAACGUUUUCUCUGUUUUUUUCUCUGAUCAUCUUGACUUUUUAUGUAGUCUCCUGAACCAAAUCCGGUCCCAGCACAACACUUUCUCCUGACUCAAACCAACACAACGGAGUCCUGCACCUUCGACCAUACAAAGCUUCGAAGGGUGCCAUUCCUAUACUCGAAUGAUAACUGUUGUUGUAGGUGAACUCUAUCAAUGGUAGGUGACUAUCCCAAGCUCCACCCUGUUCAAGCACACACACUCUCAACAAGUCCUCCAAUGAUUGGAUCGUCCUCUCCGACUGACCAUCUGUUUGAGGAUGAUAAGCCGAACUCAGCCUCAACUUCGAACCCAAAGCGUCCUGUAAACUCUUCCAGAACCUAGAAGUGAACCUCGGAUCCCUAUCCGACACAAUACUCGAAGGAACUCCAUGUAGCUUUACCACACUAUGUAUAUAAAUCUCAGCCAACUGAGCUACUGGAUAACUGAUGUUGAUAGGAAUAAAAUGUGCCGACUUCGUCAACCUAUCAACCACCACCCAAAUCGAAUCAUGUCCCCUCGGAGUGUUUGGUAAACUCGUCACAAAAUCCAUAGAAAUGCUAUCCCAUUUCCACUCCGGUACAUCCAAUGGUGUCAACAAUCCUGCAGGUUUCUGGUGUUCAACCUUAGACUUCUGACAAGUUAAACAUGCAUACACAAAAUGAGCAACAUCUCGCUUCAACCCAGACCACCAAAACAGCUUUUUCAAAUCAUGAUACAUCUUCGUAGCUCCCGGAUGAAUGCUUAAGCUACUCUUAUGACUUUCCUCUAGGAUUAACUUUUUCAUUUCUUCAUUAUCAGGAAUACAAAUUCUACCUCUGAAUCUCAACACACCCUGUUCAUCAACCUUGAAGUCACUAUCUUCAACGCCAUUACCAGCAACCAUCAGAUCAACCAACUUGACAUCCACUUGCUGUGCUUCUCGGAUACUACUCAGAAAAUCACUGUUAAUCUUUAGCAUCCCCAACUGUACACUUUGAGGCGACAACUCACAAACCAAACUCAUGUCUCUAAACUGUUCCAAUAAAUCAAAUUCUUUCAUCAUCAUAGCAGACAUAUGGAGUGUCUUCCUACUCAAUGCAUCCGCGACUACAUUAGCUUUGCCUAUUAAAUUGAUUUUGGGAAACGGGGUGUUACACAUGACAUAAAUUGGCUUAAUUGUUGAGUGGCAAAUGCAAUGUCUGGUCUAGUAGUUGUCAGAUACAAUAAUCUGCCAACUAACCUCCGAUAAGCAGUAAUGUCAGUGUAGGGAGGUCCUCCAUCUUGAUAUAGGCGCAAAGAAGGAUCAAGUGGAGUACUAGCAGGUUUACAUGAGAUGAGGCCAGCAUCUCCUAAAAGCUCAAGACAAUAUUUCCUGUGGCACAAAGAAAUACCUUUAGAAGUGCGCGCAACUUCCAAACCAAGAAAAAAUUUGAGGGGUCCCAAAUUCUUAAUACAAAAAGCAUUAUGGAGAGCAGCUUUAAGAUCAUCAAAAAAAUCCAAAGAGGUACCAGCUAAAAUAAUGUCAUCCACAUAAACAAGGAUAACAGUGAAGGGCGUGGAAGUGGAUUUGAUGAAUAGGGUAUGAUCUGAAGCUGCUUGUGUAAAUCCCUGUGUGAAGAGAAACUUAGUUAGCUUUUCAAACCAUUGCCUACUAGCCUGUUUCAGUCCAUACAAUGAUUUCUUGAGUUUACAAACUUGCCCUGACUUUGGAGAAAUCACACCUUGAGGUAUUCUCAUGUAAACAGACUCAUUGAGGUCUUCAUGUAGAAAGGCAUUGUUAACAUCUAACUGAUGUAGAUGCCAACCAUGAAUAGAUGCCAAUGCUAAUAGAACUCUAACAGUGGACAACUUAGCAACUGGGGAAAAAGUUUCAAAAUAAUCCAAGCCUUCAGUUUGAGUGAAACCUUGUGCCACAAGUCUUGCUUUAAAUCUUUCAAUAGUUCCAUCAGCAUGCCUCUUAAUUUUAUAAACCCAUUUGCUUCCAAUAGUGACAACAUUGGGAGGUAAAUCAACAAACUCCCAAGUAUUGUUUUCAUUAAGAGCUCUUAUCUCAUUAUCCAUAGCUGCUACCCAUCUAGAAUAUUUGCUAGCAGCUUGAAAAUUAGCAGGUUCCACUUCUGAUGUGAGGGAUAGUGCAUAAGCUUGAUGUUGAGGAGAUAAUUGUGAAUAUGCUACAUAAUUGGCUAUAGGAUAUGUUUUAGAGGAACAUAUGUAAUCUUGUAAAUGUGAAGGAGGAUUACUAACUCUGUGGGAUCUUCUAACAGGCUCAGCAUGAGCUAUUGCAUCAUUGGGACCAGGCACUGCAUCAAGUUGCUCAGCUUCUGAUGCAGUGUCAGCUUCGGGGGUGGAUACAAAAUCAUCAGACACUUCAUGUGCAUUAGUUUGCAUAGAGAAAGAAGGAACUGUAGUCUCUAAGUAAAUGUGUGUAUUAGGAAUAGCAUGCACAGUAGAAGAGUGAAAAGGGAACUCCAGAUCAAAGAACUUCACAUUCCUAGAAAUCAAUAUCUCAGUGGAAUGUACAUCAACUAAAAUGAAACCUUUCAUUUCUGUCUUGUACCCUAAAAAGGCACAUUUUCUUGCUCUAGGGUCAAAUUUGUGUCUGUUAGUAGGUAAAGUAGAAGCAUAACUCAGACAACCAAAGACUUUCAAUUGAGUGAGAUCAGGUGCAUGUCCAUACAAAACUUCAUAUGAGGAUUUAUUGUGUAAAACUUUAGUGGGAAUUCUAUUUAGUAAAAAAACUGCAUGUAAAACAGCAUAUGACCAGAAUUUCUUUGGUAACUUAGAUUGAAACAUCAGAGCCCUGCUAAUGUUCAAAAUAUGUUGGUGUCUCCUCUCAACCCUACCAUUCUGUUCUGGUGUAUAAACACAACUCUUUUGAUGUAAAAUUCCUUUGGCAUCAUAAAAAUCUUUCAAAAAAAAACUCAGGACCAUUGUCACUUCUAAUGGUCUUCACUUUCUUUUCAAAUUGAUUUUCCACCAUAUGAACAAAACUCUUCGCUUUAUCAGAAGCUUCAGAUUUAAAUUUUAACAUAACUACCCAAACAUUUCUUUGGCAUUAUUUUUACUGACAGGAAAAGGUAAUUUCUUCUGUCUAGCCAUUUGACAAACAUCACAGGCUGUAUGUAAACUAACAGGAAUGUAGCUAUACAUUUUAUUCAUGCAUUGCAUUCUAUCAUGAGAUAGAUGCCCUAACCUAAGAUGCCAUAAAAUUCCAGGAGGAAUGACAUUCUUAGGUAAGCUAUCAGAAGCAGAAAUACUUGAAAUUUUGGCUGCUUUAUUCUUGGUCUUUUCAGCCUUCGAGUAAUAAAGUCCAUUCAUCUCUUUAGCCAAACCAAUCCUCCUCAAAUCCUUCUUUUCCUGUAUAAUGCACUGAUCAGACUCAAAACCCAUAAUACAAUCUUGUUCCUUACAUAACUUGGAAACAGAUAUAAGAUUCACAGCAAAAUCAAGCAAAUACAGCACAUCAUCAAUUUGCAAGUGCUCAUUAAUGUUAUACCCUGAUUUUGGACCUAAAAAUACUCGUUCAAAUUUCUUUUCUAACACUGAUACUUGUCAGUUCGCUGUUAUUUUACUCUGAAUCUUUACUCUCUUUUUAAAAUAUAUUUUACUGCCUCUGUCUGUCUUUUCUUGCAUUACAAGUCAUUUAAGAACUCUCUGAAACGUCGCGUUACUUUUCUUGCAUUUUAUUUCAAAAAUCAUACAAAAGGGUAUUUUGGUCAUUUCCUGCAGUGGAACCCAUUUUAGUCCCUGUGUUUGCCUCUGAGUCUUUUCAACCUGUCUGUACGAAUCAUUGUUGAGUCUUCGUUUAAAAAUCAUUUCAAAAAUUGCAUCUGAGUCAGUUUGAGUCAGUUUAGUCCCUAGGGGCAUUUUGGUCUUUUCCUGUCAAAAUUUCGGCAGGGAGGUAUUUUAAAAUACCUCAUGUCAGUAGUUGGUUCGUUUUAGUCCUUUUGUUAAUUUUAUUUUUGGUUUCGCUUUACGUUUCGUCAAAUUUACUUUUUAGUCCAAUUUUUUUUUUAAUCACGUUUUGGUCCAAAACUUCUUAAAAUUACUUUUUAGUCCUUUUCCUUAUUAUUGCAGUUUAGUCCUCAAUUUCACUGUUUUGCAGAAAGGUCCUUAAAUCACAAAUUUCCCAAGGCCGAGCCAACCAAGUUCACAAACAGGUGGCAUUGCCCCAUUGGUCCAGGAAUACACAUGGCAGGCUAUAAAUAACACACAGUGUCAGAAAUUCCAGGGGGAUCCAAAAGAAAAUCAGAAUCAAUCACAAUCAGUCUCAAACAGAAUCUUUUUCUCUCUCUCAUCCAUAACAGAAUCAAAAACAGAAAAAUCUCAGAAAAAAAGAGGAAGAACACCAAGAACACAUCAUCACCAAAAUCAACAGAUCUAAACCGGAUCUGCUCAGAAUCAACUCCAAUCACCACAAAAUCAACAAAUCCGAACCGGAUUCACUCAAAACCACCGCGAAUCAUCACAUCAACACCAAAACGUACCGGAUUUUUGAGCAAAAAACAACCACAAACGGAGUUGAAACGCGCGCGCACGGAGGGGGAAAAAGGGAGAUUCGAAGUUAUCCGAAGAUUUUUCUCCGUUCUACGAUAGAGGUAACGCAUUUCUCUCCUCUUUUUCUUCAUUUUCGCGCGCGCAUAUAGUGUAGAAAAAGUGUGAAAAAGUUUGUUACGGAUAUGUAUUUGUAGAUCUAGGCUUGUACGUUCGGAUUUUAGAAAUUCAGAGACCGGAUUCGGACUCUAUAGAGAAAAGGAUAUCUAGAUCCGUAGUUUUUUUUUUUUUUUUUUUGCGAAAAGUGUGAAAAAAAUUUCAAAGUAAAAAUGUAGAUCUAGUCCGAAUCGCUCCGUUCUCGCUAAAACUAACGCGGGAUUUGUGUAGAGGAGGUGGUGACGGAACUUUUGAUGUAAAAAUUUCGAAAAAAAAAAAGAAAAACGCUCCGACGCGGCGGCGCUACGGCCGGCCACCGCGCCGGAGCAACUCCCACCACCACCACUUAGCUCUCGCCGGCGGCGAGUUUCUAGAGAGAAGGGAGAGCAUUUUUGUGAUUUUGAGUUUUAGAGAGAGAAGGAGAAGGGGUUUAUGUGUUUUUUGUGUGAAAAUUCCUUUAUAUACUCCCUCCGUUCCCACGCGCGCGCGUGCAUGUUUCUGUGGUGUUCCCUCGCUCUGUGAACCAUCGGAUCUGGAUUGUUCCAAGAUCUGAUGGCUGCUGUGUGUUUUGAUCUUGAAUCAUGUGUGUGAUCUUCUGUGUGAAAUAUGUUAUAUCUUCUGUUUGAACCGUUAGAUCUUUGAUCUAACGGUCAUUGUGCUUCCUGCAAUUUUACACUAUCUUUUUUGUGUUUUUUAAACCCUUGGAUCUUUGAUCCAGUGGCUGUGAUGAGAUCUUGGGAGUUAGAUCUGGACCUCUGGAUUCAUCCAACGGUCCAGAUUAUAACCUGCUGAGUUUUUUUUUAAUUGCUUUUUUUGUUGUGUUUUUAAAUACUUUUUUACACUUUCUUGGCAUUUUAUGCUCCUAAAAAUUUUCUAAAAAUGUUUCCCUAUCAUUUUAAUUUUUUCUCUAAAUGUUAGAAUUUACUUGCUUAUAUUUUUCUAUUUUCUUCAUUUGUUCUUUUUAAUUCUUGCUCAUUAAAUUCCUAUAUGUUCUUGGUGCAUUUUUUGACAUUUUGUGAUAUUUUUUUAUUUUUUUUUUUACAUGUUAAAUAAUGUGUAGAAAAUAUCCCUAGGAAUAUGGUAUGAUGCUUUGCUUGUGUGUUUUUAUGAUCCUCACAUUGUAGCUUAAAAUCAAAUCUCUUUUAAAAAUGGUUAUGAUGAGGGAAUUAUAAGCCAUAUGCAUGUCUAAGUGUCAUAACCAAUUUUAGGUAUAUUUUGCCAUUUUAUUUCAUUUCAUUACUUUUUUUUUUCUCUUGCUAUUCUAUUCAAUUUUGUUUACCUUUCUACUAUUUUUAUGCCUUAUGAUACUAACCAUUUCAUCUCACAUUUCAUUCAUCCCAUAGUUUUGGCAUCAUUUUUUUAUUCAUUUCUAUAUCAAUUGGGUUUGUAAUAAUUUUAGAUAGAUUAGUUCUUUUUUAAAUUCCUUGCAAGACCAUAGCAUGUAUUUAGGACUCAAUGUAAAGGACUAUGGACACUAUAAGGGAUGUACACCGACACAAGCACUGACACGCACACACGCUGCAUGCUUACCGUUUAGAUGUAUGCUUAGGAAAUGCGAUUUUUAGACAAAUGUCAAUUUUCAAAAAAAUAAUAAACCAAUUCCAUCACUCAAAUUUUUCCAAACAAAUCUUGGAGUCAAAACUCCAUUGAAUUUCUUCUUUUAUUUUCUUAAACAAAUCCAAAUGAAUCCUAAUUUCUACUUAGACUUUUUUAAUAACAAUUGAACCAACCAUUCACCAUUUUUCUCUCUUAUGCCUUUAAGGCCUCUUUCUCUUCUUCAAAACCAUUUUCCAACAAAAACUAAAAUCAACCAAACACACAAAAAAACAUUUUUCGAGAGAGAACUACAUGGAGUUUGAUCCCUUAAAUGGGUAUGUAGGCAUGAGGUCAAAACCUCUCCAAGUCCACUAAAAUAAAACCUCAAACACUUUCUCCCCCCCAUUCUUAACAUAGGUAAAUUUCCUUUUUCAUAAGUAGCAUUAAAAAUAAAGCGUAGACAUAAACUAAGAAAACGGCUCCUAUAGAGUACUAUAGUCACCGCGGGUGCCUAACACCUUCCCGUAGUGAAAACGACCCCCGAACUUAGAAUCUAAGGGUUUUUUCUCAAUUUUGCCCUUCCCAAGAAAAAAUAGAGAAUAUCAAAGAUUGAAAGGUUCAAGCCUAAUUAAUGACUUGACACCCGAAAAUCGCGAUAACAGAAAUGGCGACUUCACUGGGGACACUUUUUAGCGGGUCACGCCUAGUUUUCCUUAGUUUAUAUUUACACUUUGUUUUAUUGCUUACAUAUGUGAAUACUUGUUUAUCUUUAUUUGACGUGUGGGGUGAGAAUAUCAAAAGUCCUAUACCCGGGCUGAGUGAACUUAUGAAUAGGUAGAGAUAUAAUCGACAAUUCGAUCCGAGGGUUGCCUCGUGUAUUGGGUUAUGCGAUCAAUCUCACAUAGCUGAGGCAUUUUGGAAGUAAUAUUGUCGGCGUGUGUUGUCAUGCUUAGGCACUUUGCUUUCAAUUGUUCGACGAUGCUAUGGACCGUAGUUACCAAACCCAUCCCUGGCCUUUUUAGGACGUAGUGCGGUGGCUAAACCGAGUGUUGUCUCGAGUUUUAGUCGUCACGCGAUACUACACUCAAACUAGACCUUCUUGCGAAUAAACAUGGAACGGACGUUGUCCCGUGCUACCAUGAUAUACGUAAGAGAGGUUGCAGUUUGGGAACUUGAUUAGAACCUUGGUUACUAUUAUCCUAAACUUUAGUUUACCGGGCACCGUGUCCGCCCGUGGCUCCUCGACUUUAAUCUCAACCCUCCAUGUUUUCUCUGUAAUUGAAAAAAAAAAAAAAAAACAAUCAUGCAUACAUGCAUUCAUGCAUAAAUUUUUCUCAUGCAUUCAUCGAAGGAUUGGACAAAUUAAAAACUUUGUAAACAUUACAGGUAUGAAGAAGACUAAAUCCUACAAGUUCAAGGAGGUUGAUUUGGUUGGUUUGAGAGAAUUGGCACUCAAGGUUAAGAAUCAAACAGGUUUCCGACUCCGGUAUGUUGGUUUGCUUACUAUUCUCCGGACUAAUGUUGAAGAGAAGCUCGUGCACACUCUAGUGCAAUUCUAUGACCCGAGAUUCCGCUGCUUCACUUUCCCGGAUUUCCAGUUGGUCCCUACUCUUGAGGCUUAUUCCCACUUAUUGGAUUCACCUAUAGCCGAGAAGACGCCUUUCACCGGUCCCGGGACUUCUCUUACUCCUUUGGUUAUUGCUAAGGAUCUCUAUCUCAAGACUUCCGAUGUCUCCAAGCAUCUUACUACUAAGUCUCACAUCCGAGGGUUCACUUCAAAGUAUCUACUUGAGCAAGCUAAUCUCAAAACUACUUGUCAGGACGCACUCGAGGCUAUUCUUGCAUUGCUUGUCUAUGGGCUCAUUCUCUUCCCGAAUCUCGACAACUUUGUGGACAUGAAUGCUAUUGAGAUCUUCCAUUCCAGGAAUCCGGUUCCUACUUUGCUAGCUGACGUAUAAUGUUUACAAAAUUUCUAAUUUGUCUAAAACCCUUCGAUGACAAAAAGAGUCGUUUCUGCAUUUGCAUUUGUACAUAUCAUGCACCAUAUGCAUCAUUCAUCGGUCACAAAAGGUUUCCAAGUGCUCACUGCCUCCUGGUUCUUCUGCCAUAGUUUGAAAGGUGGCUCGUGCUUGGAAAGUCUACGAACCUGACAGAAUAUAUCAGACUAGACUAUACAGAAAGGAGAAUUUGGUAGCUAUGGAAGAGGAAAAUGCUCAGCUCCGUACCGAAUUAGCUUCUCUGAGGGAAGAAUUGGCUAAGGCCAAUAAUACCAUGACUGCUCUGCUAGCCGCCCAGGAACAAUCAGCCACGGCUAUCCCUAUAGCUACAAGUGUGAUCCCAACUGCAUCUACUGAUGCCCGCUUCGUUAUGCCAGCUCCACAGACUGAGAAGCAAGUCAGAGGUUUCCUCGGGCGUUUGAAUUACAUCUCCCGAUUCAUAUCUCACAUGACCGCAACCUGCGGGCCGAUCUUCAAGCUACUCAGAAAGAAUCAGCCUAUUGUAUGGAAUGAUGAAUGCCAAGAAGCUUUUGAUAGCAUCAAGAAUUACCUGCUGAAACCACCUAUCCUUGUUCCACCCGUGGAAGGAAGGCCCUUGAUUAUGUAUUUGGCAGUAUUUGAUGAAUCCAUGGGAUGCGUACUUGGUCAACAAGAUGAGACUGGAAAGAAAGAACAUGUUAUCUACUAUCUAAGCAAGAAGUUCACCGAUUGUGAAACUCGGUAUACAAUGCUUGAGAAGACUUGUUGUGCUUUGGCCUGGGCCGCUAAACGCCUGCGUCAUUAUUUGGUGAAUCAUACAACUUGGUUGAUAUCCAGAAUGGAUCCGAUAAAGUAUAUCUUUGAGAAAGCUGCUGUUACUGGGAAGAUUGCACGCUGGCAGAUGCUUUUGUCUGAAUAUGAUAUUGUGUUCAAAACUCAAAAGACAGUCAAAGGUAGCAUUCUUGCCGAUCAUCUUGCUUACCAACCUCUUGAUGAUUAUCAACCAAUUGAGUUCGAUUUCCCCGAUGAAGAGAUCAUGUAUUUGAAAUCAAAAGACUGCGAAGAACCGUUGAUUGAUGAAGGUCCAGAUCCCAAUAGCAAGUGGGGUUUAGUCUUUGAUGGUGCUGUCAAUGCUUAUGGUAAAGGAAUUGGGGCAGUCAUUGUAUCCCCACAGGGGCAUCACAUCCCUUUUACCGCCAGAAUUCUGUUCGAAUGUACAAACAAUAUGGCUGAGUAUGAAGCAUGUAUCUUUGGGAUCGAGGAAGCAAUUGACAUGAGAAUCAAACACCUCGACAUCUAUGGAGAUUCUGCGCUCGUCAUCAAUCAGAUAAAGGGUGAAUGGGAAACCCACCAUGCUAAGUUGAUUCCUUAUCGUGAUUAUGCGAGACGUUUGCUGACAUAUUUUACAAAGGUUGAGCUGCACCAUAUUCCUCGUGAUGAGAACCAAAUGGCUGAUGCUCUUGCUACUCUAUCCUCCAUGUUUCGAGUAAACCAUUGGAAUGAUGUGCCAAUAAUCAAAGUGUAACGCCUUGAAAGACCUUCACAUGUGUUUGCUAUUGGGGAUGUGAUCGAUCGGGCUGGUGAAAAUGUGGUUGACUAUAAACCCUGGUACUACGACAUCAAACAGUUCUUGCUAAGCCGUGAGUAUCCGUCGGGUGCUUCCAACCAAGAUAAGAAGACCCUGAGAAGAUUGACCAGUAGAUUCCUGUUAGACGGAGAUAUUCUGUACAAGAGAAACUAUGACAUGGUAUUGUUAAGAUGUGUUGAUGAACAUGAAGCAGAGCAGUUAAUGCAUGAUGUACAUGACGGUACCUUCGGGACCCAUGCUACAGGGCAUACUAUGUCAAGGAAGUUGUUACGGGCAGGUUACUACUGGAUGACCAUGGAGCAUGAUUGCUACCAGCACGCCAGAAAGUGCCAAAAAUGUCAAAUCUAUGCUGAUAAGAUUCAUGUGCCUCCGCACGCUCUCAAUGUUAUUUCAUCCCCAUGGCCGUUUUCAAUGUGGGGCAUCGACAUGAUUGGGAGAAUUGAACCGAAGGCUUCAAAUGGUCAUCGUUUCAUCUUAGUGGCAAUUGACUACUUCACCAAGUGGGUUGAAGCAGCAUCUUAUACCAAUGUGACCAAGCAAGUGGUAGCUAAGUUCAUCAAGAACAACAUCAUCUGUCGAUAUGGUGUUCCCAGCAAGAUUAUUACCGACAAUGGUACCAACCUGAACAACAAUGUGGUGCAAGCUCUUUGUGAAGAAUUCAAAAUUGAACAUCAUAACUCUUCUCCUUAUAGACCUCAGAUGAAUGGUGCAGUUGAGGCCGCCAACAAGAAUAUCAAGAGAAUUGUCCAGAAGAUGGUAACCACUUACAAGGACUGGCAUGAGAUGUUACCCUAUGCUCUGCAUGGCUACCGUACUACAGUGCGCAGUUCAACCGGGGCAACCCCUUUCUCUCUUGUAUAUGGUAUGGAAGCAGUUCUUCCUUUGGAAGUGGAGAUCCCAUCUCUCCGUGUGAUCAUGGAAGCAAAGUUAUCUGAGACUGAAUGGUGCCAAAGCCGGUAUGAUCAGUUGAAUUUGAUUGAGGAAAAACGUAUGGAUGCCAUGGCUCGUGGACAGUCAUAUCAAGCAAGAAUGAAGACUGCUUUUGACAAGAAGGUCCAUCCUCGAGAAUUCAAGGUAGGAGAACUUGUAUUGAAAAGGAGGAUAAGCCAGCAACCUGACCCAAGGGGCAAGUGGACGCCUAACUAUGAAGGUCCUUAUGUUGUCAAGAAGGCCUUCUCUGGUGGUGCUUUAAUCCUUACACACAUGGAUGGUGUAGAACUUCCAAAUCCUGUGAAUGCUGAUAUAGUCAAGAAAUACUUUGCCUAGAAAUAUGAAAAGAACAGCGUGGUAGGUUGAAAACCCGAAAGGGCGGCCUAGGCAAAAAUGCGCUUCCCGGUGGAUCGAAAACCCGAAAGGGCGGUCCAGGCAAAAAUAAGGGACAAAAAAUAUAUGAAAAAGCUCGCUGAGAUUGUACACAACUCAGGCAAGAAUGAGCGUCUCGAUGAGCCGAAAACCCGGAAGGGCGGUUCAUGCAAAAAAUGAGAUUGAAACAAGAGGCAAGUAACUAUAUCUGGCCAACCACCAUCCCCCUUGGGGCAUCUGCAGCUGUUAAUGACUAUCUUCAUCAAAAGCUCCUACGCUUGCGAAUUCAAAGUUUCUAGGAAAUGUAAUGAUUGCUGCGUUCAAUGUACCACCAACCAAUAAAAAUUACCAUUUUCCAAGCUUCGUAAAUCCGUGGAGUCACGCCUUCGGCUGACCACCACUCUUAUACAUCAAUUUGAGCCUGUGCUUUUGUUUGAAACUCUGCUUUCUUUUACUUUCUAAGUUAUGUACAAAAACAUUUUCCUUCUAUUUUUAAUAAUGACAAAUGCUCGAAACAAACAUCUUGAAAAUUGAAAAAGUUUUUUGAAAAGCAAACCUGAGCAACAGGGUACAUUCAAACGAACAUGCAUGAGCGAGUGUAUGUUGGUGCCUAUUUCAAUAUAUGUUACAAGCAGAUUCUCCUCCAGGAUAGUCUGUGGUCAAUGGCAAGAAUGAAAAAAUAGAAUGAAAAUGCAUGAAAAUGAAUAGGCUCGCUAAGUUGAAAACCCGGAAGGGCGGCUUAGGCAAGAAUGAGCACCCCGCUGGAUUGACAACCCGAAAGGGCAGUUCAGGCAAAAAUGGGGCAUUGAAAAGAAUUUAUUUCCCCGGUGGAUCGAAAACCCGAAAGGGCGAUCCAGGCAAAAAUGGGAUGCAAAAAAAAAUAAAAAAUGAAUGAAAUUGAGACAAUAACAUGCAAAAAGCAUUGACCACAGAUGCGACAUCCACGAUACAUCCGGCACUGAAAUGCCCAGCAAUGACGGCAUUAUUCCCAGUAGAGUCUCCCGAGAUUCUAUCCCCAGCAAGUUGCAUAGCUACCUGCCCUCAGCCAUGGUCCCGAUACGUCUCCCAACGACGUCAUCUCCAAAGAGGAUUUCCAAGAAUGUGUAAUAUAGCACGAGCCACUGCGUGCCCAACACUCCAGUGUCUUGUCUGUCUCUGCGGAACUGUGUCUACAAAUCGCCAACAGUCAUGCAUUACAAGCAUUCAUACAUGCAUAAUCAUGCAUAUUACGUGCCCAUGCAUUUAAUGAAACUGUUAUAUCAUUCAUGCAUGUUGCAUUUCCAAUAUCAACAUCAGUCUCAAUUCAAUACUCAUGUCAGGUUCUCUGUCAAAACCUUGUGAGCCAAUAAUAUCGGUCAAUUUCCACCUUUCAAAUCAAAUCGACGUCAAGUCAAUCUCAAUCUAUAUUUUGUCAAAAAAAAAAAAAACAAUCCCUAGUGAAUAUGUUUCCGUUUGGUCAAGUGGCUAGUUCAAGUCCAAGAACAGCUUGUACCUAUCAAUUUGCUUAUGUUAUCGGUCGAGUUACCAGUUCGAAUCCAAGAACAGCUCGUACCUGUCUAUGUGUCCAUGAUUUUGGUCAAGUGCCCAGCUCAAUCCAAGAGCAGCUUGUACCUAUCAAUAUGUUUCUGUUUGGUCAAGUGGCUAGUUCAAGUCCAAGAACAGCUUGUACCUAUCAAUUUGCUUAUGUUAUCGGUCGAGUUACCAGUUCGAAUCCAAGAACAGCUCGUACCUGUCUAUGUGUCUAUGAUUUUGGUCGAGUGCCCAGCUCAAUCCAAGAGCAGCUUAUACCUAUCAAUAUGUUUCUGUUUGGUCAAGUAACCAGUUCGCAUCCAAGAGCGACUUGCACCCGUUUACUUUUCAAUGUUAUCAGUCGAGUUACCAGUUCAAAUCCAAGAACAGCUCGUACCUGUCUAUGUGUCUAUGAUUUUGGUCAAGUGGCUAGUUCAAGUCCAAGAACAGCUUGUACCUGUCUAUCUGUUUCUGUUCGGUCAAGUGGCUAGCUCCAUCCAAGAGCAGCUUGCACCUGUCUAUUUGUCUUUGUCUCCGGUGGAGUAACCAGUUCGCAUCCAAGAACAAGCUCGCACCUGUCUAUUUGCCUUGCUUUCAGUCGAGUGACUAGUUCGAAUCAAGAACAACUCGUACCUGUCCAUCUUUUCCAUGUCCUCGGUCGAGUGACCAGUUCGAAUCCAAGAAAAACUCGCACCUGUUUGUCUGCUUUUAUUCCCGGUCAAGUGCCCAGCUCAAUCCAAGAGCAGCUUGUACCCGUCAAUUUGUUCCUAGUCUCCUAUCUACCCUGUUAUCUGUUAUCUUGUCAAUGUCUACCAAUCCCGCAAUGGAUACGACAUCUUUUGUUAAUUCCAGCCUUCGUUUGUCUCGCACUCAUAAUCCAAAUGUUGCAUGGCAUUCAUGAUAUUUGAGAAUGUACAAGCGUAUUUUUACGUCCAAACACAGUGCAAAUGUUAAUAUUUAAGUAUCUUCGUCCCGUCAAGUCAAAGACUCCGUCUCUUGACCCUCUAGACAAAGAAACUUAAAUAGGGGCAGCUGUUAUACCCUGAUUUUGGACCUAAAAAUACUCGUUCAAAUUUCUUUUCUAACACUGAUACUUGUCAGUUCGCUGUUAUUUUACUCUGAAUCUUUACUCUCUUUUUAAAAUAUAUUUUACUGCCUCUGUCUGUCUUUUCUUGCAUUACAAGUCAUUUAAGAACUCUCUGAAACGUCGCGUUACUUUUCUUGCAUUUUAUUUCAAAAAUCAUACAAAAGGGUAUUUUGGUCAUUUCCUGCAGUGGAACCCAUUUUAGUCCCUGUGUUUGCCUCUGAGUCUUUUCAACCUGUCUGUACGAAUCAUUGUUGAGUCUUCGUUUAAAAAUCAUUUCAAAAAUUGCAUCUGAGUCAGUUUGAGUCAGUUUAGUCCCUAGGGGCAUUUUGGUCUUUUCCUGUCAAAAUUUCGGCAGGGAGGUAUUUUAAAAUACCUCAUGUCAGUAGUUGGUUCGUUUUAGUCCUUUUGUUAAUUUUAUUUUUGGUUUCGCUUUACGUUUCGUCAAAUUUACUUUUUAGUCCAAUUUUAUUUUUAAUCACGUUUUGGUCCAAAACUUCUUAAAAUUACUUUUUAGUCCUUUUCCUUAUUAUUGCAGUUUAGUCCUCAAUUUCACUGUUUUGCAGAAAGGUCCUGAAAUCACAAAUUGCCCAAGGCCGAGCCAACCAAGUUCACAAACAGGUGGCAUUGCCCCAUUGGUCCAGGAAUACACAUGGCAGGCUAUAAAUAACAUACAGUGUCAGAAAUUCCAGGGGGAUCCAAAAGAAAAUCAGAAUCAAUCACAAUCAGUCUCAAACAGAAUCUUUUUCUCUCUCUCAUCCAUAACAGAAUCAAAAACAGAAAAAUCUCAGAAAAAAAGAGGAAGAACACCAAGAACACAUCAUCACCAAAAUCAACAGAUCUAAACCGGAUCUGCUCAGAAUCAACUCCAAUCACCACAAAAUCAACAAAUCCGAACCGGAUUCACUCAAAACCACCGCGAAUCAUCACAUCAACACCAAAACGUACCAGAUUUUUGAGCAAAAAACAACCACAAACGGAGUUGAAACGCGCGCGCACGGAGGGGGAAAAAGGGAGAUUCGAAGUUUUCCGAAGAUUUUUCUCCGUUCUACGAUAGAGGUAACGCAUUUCUCUCCUCUUUUUCUUCAUUUUCGCGCGCGCAUAUAGUGUAGAAAAAGUGUGAAAAAGUUUGUUACGGAUAUGUAUUUGUAGAUCUAGGCUUGUACGUUCGGAUUUUAGAAAUUCCGAGACCGGAUUCGGACUCUAUAGAGAAAAGGAUAUCUAGAUCCGUAGUUUUUUUUUUUUUUUUGCGAAAAGUGUGAAAAAAAUUUCAAAGUAAAAACGUAGAUCUAGUCCGAAUCGCUCCGUUCUCGCUAAAACUAACGCCGGAUUUGUGUAGAGGAGGUGGUGACGGAACUUUUGAUGUAAAAAUUUCGAAAAAAAAAAAAAGAAAAACGCUACGGCCGGCCACCGCGCCGGAGCAACUCCCACCACCACCACUUAGCUCUCGCCGGCGGCGAGUUUCUAGAGAGAAGGGAGAGCAUUUUUGUGAUUUUGAGUUUUAGAGAGAGAAGGAGAAGGGGUUUAUGUGUUUUUUGUGUGAAAAUUCCUUUAUAUACUCCCUCCGUUCCCACGCGCGCGCGUGCAUGUUUCUGUGGUGUUCCCUCGCUCUGUGAACCAUCAGAUCUGGAUUGUUCCAAGAUCUGAUGGCUGCUGUGUGUUUUGAUCUUGAAUCAUGUGUGUGAUCUUCUGUGUGAAAUAUGGUAUAUCUUCUGUUUGAACCGUUAGAUCUUUGAUCUAACGGUCAUUGUGCUUCCUGCAAUUUUACACUAUCUUUUUUGUGUUUUUUAAACCCUUGGAUCUUUGAUCCAGUGGCUGUGAUGAGAUCUUGGGAGUUAGAUCUGGACCUCUGGAUUCAUCCAACGGUCCAGAUUAUAACCUGCUGAGUUUUUUUUUAAUUGCUUUUUUUGUUGUGUUUUUAAAUACUUUUUUACACUUUCUUGGCAUUUUAUGCUCCUAAAAAUUUUCUAAAAAUGUUUCCCUAUCAUUUUAAUUUUUUCUCUAAAUGUUAGAAUUUACUUGCUUAUAUUUUUCUAUUUUCUUCAUUUGUUCUUUUUAAUUCUUGCUCAUUAAAUUCCUAUAUGUUCUUGGUGCAUUUUUUGACAUUUUGUGAUUUUUUUUUUUUUUUUACAUGUUAAAUAAUGUGUAGAAAAUAUCCCUAGGAAUAUGGUAUGAUGCUUUGCUUGUGUGUUUUUAUGAUCCUCACAUUGUAGCUUAAAAUCAAAUCUCUUUUAAAAAUGGUUAUGAUGAGGGAAUUAUAAGUCAUAUGCAUGUCUAAGUGUCAUAACCAAUUUUAGGUAUAUUUUGCCAUUUUAUUUCAUUUCAUUACUUUUUUUUUUCUCUUGCUAUUCUAUUCAAUUUUGUUUACCUUUCUACUAUUUUUAUGCCUUAUGAUACUAACCAUUUCAUCUCACAUUUCAUUCAUCCCAUACUUUUGGCAUCAUUUUUUUAUUCAUUUCUAUAUCAAUUGGGUUUGUAAUAAUUUUAGAUAGAUUAGUUCUUUUUUAAAUUCCUUUCAAGACCAUAGCAUGUAUUUAGGACUCAAUGUAAAGGACUAUGGACACUAUAAGGGAUGUACACCGACACAAGCACUGACACGCACACACGCUGCAUGCUUACCAUUUAGAUGUAUGCUUAGGAAACGCGAUUUUUAGACAAAUGUCAAUUUUCAAAAAAAUAAUAAACCAAUUCCAUCACUCAAAUUUUUCCAAACAAAUCUCGGAGUCAAAACUCCAUGGAAUUUCUUCUUUUAUUUUGUUAAACAAAUCCAAAUGAAUCCUAAUUUCUACUUAGACUUUUUUAAUAACAAUUGAACCAACCAUUCACCAUUUUUCUCUCUUAUGCCUUUAAGGCCUCUUUCUCUUCUUCAAAACCAUUUUCCAACAAAAACUAAAAUCAACCAAACACACAAAAUAACAUUUUUUGAGAGAGAACUACAUGGAGUUUGAUCCCUUAAAUGGGUAUGUAGGCAUGAGGUCAAAACCUCUCCAAGUCCACUAAAAUAAAACCUCAAACACUUUCUCCCCCCCAUUCUUAACAUAAGUAAAUUUCCUUUUUCAUAAGUAGCAUUAAAAAUAAAGCGUAGACAUAAACUAAGAAAACGGCUCCUAUAGAGUACUAUAGUCACCGCGGGUGCCUAACACCUUCCCGUAGUGAAAACGACCCCCGAACUUAGAAUCUAAGGGUUUUUUCUCAAUUUUGCCCUUCCCAAGAAAAAAUAGAGAAUAUCAAAGAUUGAAAGGUUCAAGCCUAAUUAAUGACUUGACACCCGAAAAUCGCGAUAACAAUUAAGUUGCACUUUCCCUUUACAAAAGGCUUGCACUAUAUUGUUAUUAGGUAGUUUAACACUAAUAGGAUCAAUUUCUUUGUAGGUAAUAAACCAAUUGAUGUCAUAACAAGUGUUGUGUGUAGCACCAGUAUCUACUAUCCAACUAGUAUCAUCAUAAUUCUUGGAGUGUUCAUAGAAAUUACCUCCUAUGUUAGCAACAGAACUGCUUGCCUUCAUCAUGUUGGCUUUUGCAUCAAUAGCAUUCUUUUCAAGUAAUGCCAUUAGAUUCUGAUACUGAUCUCUGGUUAACAUCAUUCCACCAUCAUCAUUCUUAGCAACAUUACUAGUACCUUUAGCAUCAUAUUUCUCAGACUCUACCAUGUUUGCAGAAGCAGAACUUGAGCCAUAAGAAUUUCCUCCUCCUCUACCCCAAUUAGGAGGAAAGCCAUGCUUCUUAUAACAAGUCUCCAUGGUGUGAUUUGACCUUCCACAGAAAUUACAAACUCUUCCAUUGCCUCUUCCUCUUCCUUGGAAACCAGCAUUUCCUCUUCCUCUUCCAAAUUGCCUCUGUGCAUCUACAGCAUUCACCAAUCUAGCACUGGUAUCCUCUACAACAGAAGCAGGUGCAACAAUUAUACCAUAUUGAGCCUUCCUUUCUUGCUGCAUAAUCAUAGAGAAAACUCUAUUGAUUUGAGGCAAUGGAUCCAUUAAUAAAACUUGAGAUGUAACACUUUGAUAUUCUUCAUUCAACCCAAUCAGAAAUUGAAUGAUUCUAUCCUCUAAUCUGAAACCUUUUGCAUUACGCAUAGCCAAACAACUGCAAGGAAUUGGACAGGUGCAGUGAGGCAUAGGCCUAUACUGAUCCAAUUCUUCCCAUAAGCCUCUUAAUUCAGUGAAGUAUUCAGUAACUUUCUUGCUUCCUUGCUUCAGAUUGGAAAUUUCUUGCUGCAAUUGAGCCACUCUAAUACGAUCUCCUCUCAUGAAACGAUCUUUGAGAUCAUUCCACAUAUCCAUAGCAUUCUCAAUGAAAACAACACUUUGCGCAAUUGAUGGCGAAAUCGAAUUAAUUAUCCAAGUAUGAACAAGAUUAUUGCACCUUUCCCAAGCAGCACGAUUGAGAUCGUGUUCAUCUGGAACUUCAAUAGAUCCAUCAACAAACUUGAAUUUGUUUUUCAUCGCCAAAGCUCUACGCAUCUUCAUUGACCAAGAAUGAUAAUUGUCACCAUUCAAUUGCGGUGUUACACUCACCGUGCUGGAAUUUUCUGAAGGAUGAACGAAAUACGGAUCCAAACUUUGAUCCUGAUUGUUGUUGUUGUUCCUCACCAUGAUUAAUCGAAACAAAUCAAAAACUGAAAGAAAAAUUCAAUUGGAACAGAAGAAACUGAUUCAAAGAUGAAUCAAUCGAAACAACGAAGAAAAGAAGAAAUUUGUAAAGAAAAAUACAGAACGAAUCGAAGAAGAUGAACGAGAUUGAAUCAAGAAUUGUUCAUCUUCAUGCAGCGGAAACAGAGCAGAACUGAUUCUGCUCUGAUACCAUCUCAAAGUUUCAACCAGAGAAGAAAGAGAAAAAUGAAGUGAAAAAGAUUAUUGAUUAGUUCAACUGAAUUCUGUUACAAUGAGGGUAUAUGUAGAAGUUGGUUAUGACAGCUAUGUCUAACUAACUUCUAUCUAUCUAAAUGUAAAAGAAAUACAAAUGAAAUUACAUGUAAAUAAGGUAAUUUCCACAUUAAGCAAACUAAGAAUUCUAGCUGCUAUUUACGUGCUAUCUUAUUUCUCAACAUCUUCUUCUAAUAUAGUUGUUGCAUGUUUGUUUUAUUUUAAAUUGUGUUGAUGAAUUAUAAGUUCAUUAUGUGUUUUGUUAAUUUUUCAUGUGUUUGGUAUCUUUAUGGUAUAAGUUGUGAUUGAUGUAUGAAACUUCCUUUUUCCCUAACUUAUGAUAGUAAUGUUGGGAUUCAAAAUGGAAUUGGUUGACAUGUGUUUGGAUGAGAAAGUAAUAAAUAUAUGGUCAAUAUUACGAUAAAUCCUAACUCAGAUGAGUAGGGUUCCAUCUUUAAUAUCUUAUCAAUAAUAAUCCUUUUAUUGAUUAUCAAUGGAACCAAUAAUUUACACUUAUAAGAAAGAAAUGAACUAGUGAACUCUUAGUUCGAAAGAAACAUAAAUGACAUUGUUUGAAAAUUCAUUACCGUGACAAUCUAAUGAUAUAAAAUUGAAGUUAUAUGUGGUAGGUCUUUAAAUAUAAUUUCAUAUUCUUAAGUUAAAGAUCAUGGUGAUAAAAAAAAUACAUAUAUAUAUAAAUAUACAAUUAUUAGGAUUCACGACCAUAAAUAAAUGGUAACUAUAAAAGAUUUUAGCAAAAUAUAUAUUUGUUAUUUCUUAUUGCAAGUGUAAGAACUCAGUCUUCCAUGCAUGGUGUCAUUGUAAUAUUCUGAGUAUGAGACUCAUACUAUCCGUAGGACACAAAAGACAGAUUACAUUUGCCAUUAAUGCACCUAUACCUUUGAACUAGCGUAUUUGGUGGGCAAUCAUUAUCAGUUAUACAAAAAAUAUCAUCUGUAGUGAAAGAAUAUAAUAAACUAAUGUUAUAAAAAUGAAUAAUAAUUAUAUAUGAACUACAAACUAAAGAAGGUAAUUUGAAAAGGAUGAAAAAAAAAAAAAAAAAAAAAACAUUACCCUCAAUAUUAUUUGCGAUAAGAAAUAGGAAAAUAAAUAAAGUUAUAGCAUACACAAGCUUAUGAGCCAUAUCUUUCACUCUUUACAUACAACAAAUAUAAUUGAUUUGAUCACUUUAUAGUGUAUAAUCCUUACAUACAACAAAUAUAAUUUAUUUGAUCACUUUAUUGGGUAUAAACCUCAUGUUGGGUUAAGAAAAUUUUAAAUAUUUUUUCCGCUUAAUAACUUUUAAAAGUUACUCCCUAAAUUUAAAAUUAUUAUUAAUUGUCUCUUAAGAAGAUCAAUGUGUUAUAUUUGUCCAUUUACAACACUUAAUAAAUGCGCACCAUAAAAAUCUUUCUAAUCAUUAGAAUUUAAUAUUUUGGUAAUUAACCUUAUUACUUUUGAUGAUUGAAAAAAGACAUUUAAAAACAUAAAAAUGCAUAAGUUAAUCGUUUAACCUUACUGUAGGAUUUUUUUUAUAUAUAAAAUCAUUUAAUUAUAUGGAAUAGUAUAAAAUUUUAUAAUUGCAUGAAUUCAUCAACAUUCUCAUUGACAUAAAGUCAUUGAUUGACAUGUAUAUACAAAAUAAAUUAGAAUUGAAGACUGAUAUGUUCGCGUGAUACAUCAGGGAGAAAUACAUUGGGCUGCUAGGGUUUCCCCCAUGCACUAUCGUCCUACUAAAUUUUGAUUAAGUUAUUACUCGCUAACUAUCAGUUGGUUUCAUAUGUCGUUGAACCAAGGUGGAUUUUAGAAUAAUGUCUUUAAAGUAUUAAUGAUAGCAUUGUGUAAAAGAACAAUUGAAUACUCUAAUGUAUGUUCAAGUGUGCAAAACCAUAAAAUUAAAUUAUGAUUUAAAUGCCCAGUUUUGGUUGAUACAUCAUGCUCUAAACAUAAAGGAAAUCAUUUUGGUACUAAAGAAACACAUUGGAAACUUCUGAAGAUUUAGAAGAUGAUCUGACGAUAAGUUAAGAAAAAUCCAAAGCUCUCAUCAAAUAAAGGAUGCAUCAAGUCUUGAAGAGUGACGAGAACAAGAUCUUAUGGAUACAUGCUCCAAAGGAAGCAAGUUAUGAAGGAGUCAGAAUCAUCUCCAUUUACUAAAAAUAAAUAGAUAAUGUCAUUUGGUGAGAGAUAGAUACAAAAAAAAAUAUGUAGUGGGUCCCCCUGGUAUUAAUUAUUUUCAAAUUUAUUUGUGUCUUUAUCUCUCUAAAUGGAAGAAAUCGAAAUCGACAGACUAAUAAAUGGAGAUGAUCUUAACUCGUUAUGAAGGAUUCAAUGCAAAUAUCUGAUAGUACUAUUUGUAUUUUCAUGACCACUUGACGAAACAAAGAAAGAAAUUCAAUGGAAAAGAAUGUAACAGAACAUUCCAUAAGUAGCAAAGGAUUUCUCUACUACUAUUCAACGAUAAUAUCCAUUAAAGGAAUAGUUUUCAAAACUAAUUCAUCGCUUCUCAAGGACGAAAUUGAUGUGAUAGCCUUCUUAAAAUAAAAGUUCUCUCAUUUCUCUCCUAUAUGAAGGGAAAUCAUGAUUAUAAAGGCAACAAAAAUACUGAGAUGUAAAAAGUAUUUGAAUCUGCCUUUGCAGAAGACGCAAAGAACAACACAAAGAUUUUGCGAGAAAUCAGAAAACAUGGUUGUAUUUGCAGCAGAAGUUUUCAGACACAUAAGAAAGGCGGGGAGUUUGAAUUUUGAACUUGUGGCAGACAAAAGCCGUCGCAAAGACUCAACUCCUAGAAUUUAUUACCGUUGGCAUUAGCACCGGAUUGUAUGCCGCUGCAAAUGGCCAAUGGUUAGAUUUUUCUCCCUUUAUAAAUAGUCAAUUCUUUCAUUCAUUCUUUCACAUACACUUCUCUCUACUUCCUUCCAUCUCACCAUUUGUCUACAACUUUUCUUAUUUUUAACUUUUCUGUUCUUUUAAUAGUUUGGUAAGUAUUGUUUUUAUAUUUAAAUAUUAAUUAAAUUUAAUUGAUAUUAACCUCAUUAUAGAAUUGUUGUAUUUACUAUUUAAAAUUGUUUUAUCAGAAAAAAGUAUUUAUAAUAAUUUUUUAUUAAUAUUAAAUUUGAAAAUAUAUGUGUAUGUUUAAAGAAAAUCGCAAAUGCGCAUAUAUAUAUAUCAUCCUUAAAAAAAAGGGUUAAUAGGUCUUUACCUCCCUGUAAUAUAGGUCAUUUCCGGUUUUCCAAACAAAAACCAAUUUUUUUUCAAGAAUUUUUCGUUUUUGUUUGGCCUAUUAGGGGGUAAAUCAAAACAAUUUUAUUUUUACAGAGGGUAAAUCAAAAAAAAUAUUUUACAGAGGAAAAAAAAUUGUUUUAAUUUAUAAAUCUCAUACAUUAAAUUUUUACAGAGAUGACAAUCAAAAAAAAAAUUUAGAGAGGGAAAAAAUUUAAAAAAUAAAGUAUCAAAAGUAUAUUUUAACUAGAGAUGACAAUGUACAUUCACGAGUACGGAUAGUAGGAAUCUGUUAUCUAAUAUGUUGAAUUCAAAUAAAGUUAAUGUUCGUUUCAUACUCAGAUGAGUAUUUCACAAUUUUUAAGAUGUCUAUAUGUAUUUGCAGUUAUCCAAGGAUAAAUAUUUUUCUAAAAAUACAUUUAUGUAAAAAAAAUAAAAUUAUGUUGAAUGUUUCUUCUUCUUUUGACAACAAAUAUUUUUUUUUUUGGUACAAGACAACAAAUUUAUUUAUUAAUCAAAACAAGAACAGAAAUUGAGAAAUUGGGUUAGGAUUUCUUUCAUGUGGAUAACACUUAUAUUUUAAUGAUGAUAUUUUCGUAAAUUUACUAUUUUAAUACCGAUAUCCGUAGGCGUAGGUUUGACAUGUAGUUAAAAUAUUUCUUUCAUGUGGAUAACAUUUAUAUUUUAAUGAUGAUAUUUUCGUAAAUUUACUAAUCUUCUCUUUGUGGAUUGUCCACUCCUAACCUUAUUUGUUUUAAUUAAUAUGUAUUUGUGCAAGAAGCUUCCUUCACUAUGAGAAUCAAUGAACCUUAAGUAUUAUUUUUUUUCUAUAUAUUAGGUCCUCUUCUUUUCGUUGUAACUUUGGUACUCUUUAUCUAUAUAUAUUUCAACAAGUUAAAUUUAAUGUAUUGUAAGUAUGAAACUUGUAAACACAUUAAGUGCUAAAGAGGAUUAGCUUUCUACAGUUACUUGAUCCUAAAUUAUCUUUUGUUUUUUAAAUUAUUUUCCUCUUGUAUUGAAUUAUUUUAUCUUGUUUGCAGGAGUGGUAUCUGAUGAGGUACAAAUUAAUUUCCUCUUUGAUAGGUUUUAACAUUACUCUUUUUACCAAAAUGAAGAUUGUGGCCUCUAGAAACAGUAACAAGAGGAUUUUCAAAUUAAGUUCACAACCAAAUAAAUUCAUGUCCUGAAUAUGCUAAAUGCAUUUUUCUUUUUCCACCAGACUUGUUAACUGCAACCAUGAACUUAUAAAGUGAAUUUCACUACCUUCAGAGCAAAAUUUAAGUGCUCUAGAAAAAAAAAGGACUAAUAUAGAACAAGUAACAAUCAUCACUGUGGUCUCUUUGAUGUGAAGAUUGAUUUGUGUAUGUUAGUGUUGCCAAAUUGACAUUUUGCAGUUACAUUUUUUCUUGGAAUCUAGUAGACAAUGAUCAUCAUAGUUGCAUUUUGUUUUCACCAACAGUAUGCAGGUAUCCUCAAUUGCUUCGACAGGGAUGUAAUACUUGGACUUGGGAUAUGAGCUAGCAGCAACAUGGGAUUAUCAUGCUUGGAAUGACAUGCAAAGCAACAGCAAGAUUAAUGAUAUGUACCUCAUUUCUCUGCAUAAGUCUUUUGUCGCUUGGGUUAACCCAUGAUGAAAAUUGAGUUUGUAUGGUGAGGCGAUAUGAAACAGUGUGAACCUCGACUUGGGUGAGGAGCUUAUGGACAAAUGAGUUCACAGUAUUAAUUUUAGUGGAUAUUAGACCAUUAAUGUUGUUGGUGCCUUCAUAUCCAUCCGACAUGUAUCUAUAUUUGCACAUGUAGCACUUAGCCAUGUCCUAAUGUCAGAACUCAGGUUCCAAUACUCUUGAUGCUUUUCUACAGUUAAUUCUAGACACUCUUGUAUAACAGUACCAGGAACCUGUGUUCUGACUUGAGGACAUGGCUAUGUGCACUUGCAAAUACAGAUACGUGUCGGGUAGGUUUGAAGGGCACAAGUGGUAACUUAACGAUCUAAUAUCCAUUAAAAUUGACAAAGUGAAUAUAUUGAUCAACAAGCUCUUCACCCAAGUCCAAGUGCUCAUUGUUUCUGGUCCUUUCCUUCACUAUGCACAUCAAUUUUCUUCAUGGGUUGAACCACGGGACAAAAACAUAUGCAGAGAAAUGAGGUGCCUGUUAUAAAUGCAGUUGUUGCGUGCAUUUCAUGGCUAGUAUGAUGAUGAUCAAAUGGAGUUUCGUCUUCAUCUUCAAUAUUCUAAAACCAUGCGCUUAGCAAGGAAACAUCUUCUGAUAGGUCGUGUUCCGUUUGCUCCAUACUUUUUGUACUUAAUAGUUGGAUAUAAGACGCACAUUGCCCUUUAGCAAAAAUAUUGAAUACAUAAUGUCAUACUAGGCACGAUAGUGGACAAUAUCUUCUUUUCUUUGAUCAAGUCGAUGUUGACAAUGUCUAGUAUGGCAGAUAAAAAUGAUUAUACUGGUGAAGGUGAAGUUGAAGGUAAAAUAUAUAAAAAGCUUGAAGGAAAAGACUUACAUAGAUUGAGAAAGAAUAGGAUUUUACUGCUUAUCAAAGAAAAUUCAAAACCAUGUAGGCAACAUAGAACUCAUACACAAUAGAACUUGCUAAACACUAAUCAAUACAUUUUAUAACAAUCUUUCUGCUAAUUGAAAGUAUGUUUGGUUCUAAAACAAUAACUAAAGCUGGUAUUGUCACUGUUUCAUAUAUGGAAAAGUCAGACAGCUCAUCAAGAAAAGUUAGCUGCAAAUCAAAUUGAUUUGCAUGACCUUUUGCAAACAACAUACAUUCCUCCCUUAGUGUUCCUUUUCUAUGAUCUUUAUAACAAUCUUCAUGAAAAAGCUUGAAAGUCAAUCACAAUCUUCACCACAAAUGCCCUGAUACUUCUUCACAAUCUUUCACUCUUAGAAUUCAUUCCUCAUGUGACUUCAAAACUAGCAAUUUGCAACCAAAUGCAAGUCAAUCACAUAUCUUUCAUGUAAAAUCUCUUUCUAAUCAUGAAAAGUAUAAAAACAACAAUGGCAUAUUCAAAAAAUAUAGAAUCUUAAGGGGAAAAAAAUGAACAUUUCAGCACAGUAUAGCUAACUUCUCUCCUACUACAAUUUUAGUUCUUCUGGUCAUAAUAUUUGGAAUUACAUAGCCCUAAAAUAUCCCUAAAGGUUGAAAGAUUUCAUACAACAGACCUAAAUAUUCGAUGGGGGAUAAAAAGAUUCAUAAUCCACCCAAAAUAUCGCCAAAAUUAUAACAAGAACAAGAGCAAGAAUACAACAUUGAACACCAAUCCAAUAUAAAUAAUUCUUCUUAGAAACAUGUUAGCUUCAUUUCACAUUAACGAUUUUAGUGACCUUUCUUUCACGGGUUUCCUCAUUCUCCUCUUCCCAUUAUCAUCAUCAUAUUCAUCCUCAUAAUCUUCAAAAUAAUUCAAUCCCUCAGAACAAGGAACAACAUCAACACCAACAUUAACCUUAACAUCAUGACUACUACUACCUAAUGCUACAACACUCUUGUUAUCUUCACCAUCAUUUUUAUCACCUCUUCGUUUCCCUCGUGGUGGACCAAACCCAGAAUAAAAAUAGAAUUCAUUAUUAUUCGAACCUGAAGCUGAAUCCGCUUUCACCUUCUUCGGUCUGCCUCUACCACGCCGCGGCGCCUCAAUGUCUCCUCCCCCAUUUGAGUUUCUCUUCAAACCUUUGUUGCAGCCACCAUUAUUAUUAACUACCUUCUUAUUACCAUCACAUUGUUGAUUAUUGUCAAUCGCCAUGAUAGAAGAAUUUUCUAUCACAGUUUUAUUAUCAAUAUCAACAAUGUCAGUUUCCAUCAUCGAAGCCACACUUUCAUCAAGAGCUGCUAGAGAAUCUUCGAACUGGAUUGAGGAUUUGUCAAAGUGAAAGGGGAUGGCAUCCCAUGGAGAUUGGUUAAGCUGACAAACGUGCAUUUGAAAAGGUUCAACCGGUAAUGAAUCAUUUUGUAGUAGUGAAGACGAACAAGUGAAUAGAAGAGGGGAAAUCUUCGCGGCUUUUCGAAUCCUCAUAUCAAAGAAUCUAUGAAUGAAUAAUAUUAUUAUAAUAUCUGGAAUUUGAGGGAAAGGGAACACAAUCUUUUCAAACUCACAGAUACCAUCUCUCUUCACCUACUCAUGCACUAAAUAAACAAGUUUAUAACAUAAGUGUAAAAGUAUAUGUUGAACCAUGAAGCCUUUUAAUUAAGAAUUGAUGAGGUCUAUGACGCACAAACAUUCCUCAGAUUAGAUGUGUCCUAGUGUUGGACACGCGUUAGUGUCAGACACCGACACGACAAUGGCACAUAUGAUUACACUGAAUUAUGUCAUUUUCUCACAUUUAUUGUCAAUGUUCGCAUGUUAGUGUCUGUGUCGUGUCGAUGUCCGUGCUUCAUAGGAUGUGGUCAACUAUCAUAAGUUUCCAACUUGACAACUUUCAAAAAUGUAACGGCAACACAGAGCACAUACACAAUAGAACUUGCAAACACUAAACAAUCCAAUUAUAAUCUUUUUGCUAACUAUAAGCAUGAUAGAUUCUAAAACAAUAAAAUUGGACUUGUCACUGUUCCAUACAUGGCAGGAAGCAGAAUGUAAACAAACUAUUACACAACAUAGCAGUAGGUUACCAGAUAUCUUGAAGACUUGUCCUCUUUCCAGCUCAAAGUAGCUAGCUAUAUGGCAUCAGUUCUUAGCAUGUGAGAUAGUUGAAAAGAGCAACAAAAUAAGAUAUAAUCACUAGUAUAUCAUUAUAAAUAAUGACUUAAUCAAUAUAAAUAGCCUUAUUUUUUAGCUUAGGAAGAAUAGCUUAUGCAAAUUUGCAUAUAACUCAAAAAAAAGUUUCUAUGUUAAUUCAAAAGCUCUCACUAACAAAAAUGGUAUCUUUAUAAAAUGUGUUUUAAUAAACUACGCAGAAACCCAUGAAUAAUACAUAAAAGUUUCUUUAUUUACUUAAGUUUCUGUUUUUGACAAAUAAUCUAGGUAGAUUGUUUUGUAUAAACUCAAAAAUAAGUGAAUCCAAAAUGGGCCCAAUGUUAAUAUACUAGUUGGUUAAAACAUUAGUCUACACGUAAAAUAUGUGUAUAUUCAUGAAAUCUCCAACAAUAUAAGCUACAAUGAAAAUGAUUACCUGUUUGCAUUCCACCAUAUACUUGUUGAGCAGUUUUUGGUUCUUAUGAGUAGUCAGUACAUGCUUUGUUACAUUGACUAAGAAGUCAUUCAAGUAAAGUGGAGAUAAAAAUGAAGAACUGCUGUGAAGAAGCGGCUGGCAAAACAAUUGAAGAGGGAAUCUAGGGUUAUCUUUUUCAUUAUAUAUGCUAUUGGGCUAGGCCCAAUGAUGUAAUCCCACAAACCCAAUUAGAUUUGUUUUUAUUAAAAAGGUAGCUAAAAAGCUAAAAAUAUAUCUAUUUAUAUUGAUCAACUCAUUAUUAAACAUUAGUUUACAAAUCAUUUAUUUUUAUCAAAUAAUAUAAUGGUUAGAAUUUUAUCUUUAGGUGAAUAAAAGUAUCUUCAAUGGUGAACUCUACAAAUAGUUAUUUUUUGGGUCUCAUUGCAAUACAUUAUUUUGAAGUAAUACAUUCAUUUUUAACUUUCAGUAGUGAACUAAGAGCAUCCAUCAUUCUGACAUCCAAUUUUCGAUACCUAAUUGAGUUUCACUUAUACAAAUCACUUGGUUAUAAUUUUUUGGCUAAAAUAUGCUUUUGAUCCCUGCAAAUAUGGCGAGUUUAGGUUUUGGUCCCUGGUAAUUUUUUUCUUUUUGAAAUCCAUCCCUGCAAAAUUUUUUGUUUUUUAAAAUAGUCCUUGGCCCAACUUUACUGAUGAUUUGGCACAUUUAUGCCUACGUGGCAUUCGCUGACUGUGUAACUUUGCACAGUUGGUAGCCAUGUGGUAAUUAUUUAAAAACCUUUCUUAAAAAAGAAAAAAUAUAUUUUUGAAAUUAAAAUAAAACAUUUUAAAAAAUACGGAAAUUAAUUUUUCAAAAAUUUUAAAAAAUAAAAAAGUAAUUUUUAAAUUAAAAUUUUUCAAAAGAAUUCAUUUUUAUUUUCGAAAAAUAAAUUUUCAAUUUAUUUUUUUAAUUUUUGAAAAUUAAUUUCCAUAUUUUUUUAUUUCAAAAAAAAUGAAAAAAAUCUUUUUUUGGUCAAGAAUUUUUUGUCUUUCUAAUUUUCGGAAAAUAUUUUUUUUUCAAUUUUUUUAAUUCUGAAAAUAAAUAAAUUCUGUUCAAUUUUGAAAGCAAAAUCUGAAGAUAAAAUUCCUAAUUUUUUUAAAAUUUUAGAAAAAUGUUGGUGGAUUUUAGGGUGAGGGCUCUAUUAAGUACCUCACCGGUGUACCGUUUAAAUUGACCGUUAGAUAAAAAAAGGGUACAUGAUAUCUUUAGUGACAAACCACUGAAUUAUGCUUUUUCUCUCCCCCUUUACAAUCAGUCACUCUCUCUGCGGCUGCUCUUUUUCCAUUCACUCGACACAGCCUACAUUUUUUUCUCUCUUAAACUGAUCUAUUAUGCCUUUUUCACCCUAUUCCUCUCAUAUUGAAAAUGUUGGAAACAACUAUAAUAAAGGUUAGCAUAGCAGGGAUUUUGAUUGUCUUAGCACUACCGACCUAAUUCAUUGUAUCCAUGGUCACAAAACUUCACAUUAAAAUUAGUUUCAGAUUGAAAAUUUCUUAAAAUUCAUUGUACCCAUAACAAAAUUUUAAUACUUUGAAAAGAUAUAUUAAAAAAGAAGCUUACAAGACGGACGGGUAAUGGAAGAUAAGAGUGGUAAAACGAAAUUUAUUGAAUCCAAUCAUUUUUCAAGGGAAAUAAACUGAGACAGAAUGAAGGAUUAAAUUUUUGUGAUUUGGAAGAAGAUGAUGAUUUAGAACUGGUGGUGGUUGCUUGGAGCGUUAGAGAGAAAAAGCAUAAUCCUGUGUUAUUUAUGACUAAAGUUAUCAUGCACACUUUUUUCAUCUAAUGGCUAAUGCAAAUGGUACACCGGUGAGGGACUUAAUAGAACCCUCACCCUAGAAUCCACCAAAAAUGUUAUCUAACUUAUUUUUUUUUUUAAUUUAUAAAAAUUAAUUUUCAGGAAAAAAUAAAAUAACCUUUUUAAGUUCGAUAAAAACUGAUUUUUUUUUAUUUUGAUUUUGUUUUUCUAACUUUCGAAAAUUAUUCUCUUUUCAAUUUUGAAAAUUAAGUUCCAUAGUUUUUUAUUUAAAAAAAUAAACUGAUUUUUUUUAUUAAUUUCGUUUUUUUCAAAAAAUUUAUAUCGAAAAUUCAUUUCCAGAUUUUUUUAUUAAUUUCUUUUUUUUAUUUCGAAAAUAUUUUUUUUGUUUUUUAAAUAAUUAAAAUGAAAUGAGUUACACGUGGCUGCCACAUGUGCACAAUUAAACAGUUAGCAAGUGACAUCUAUGCAAAAAUCAGAACAUUGAGCUAACAAAUUUUAGAGAGAGAGAGAGAGAGAGAGUACUUAGUUGAGCACUCAUGUUCCACAAGCACCAAUAAUACAUUCAAAAGAGAGUGUUGCUAGCAUUAUCAUACUCUUACUUCCAAUAAAGAGUACUUAUUAGGUACCACUGUUUAAGGAGGCAAGCAUCCCCUAUUAGGGAUGGUUUAACUCUAUAGAACUUAUUUUAAGUCCCACAACUUUACAUCACAUAUUAAUACUCUAUUUAUAUUUAAUAUUGUCACAACUGAAAAUAUUAAUUUAAUUAUUUUAAAUGAAUAUUAAUAUGAAAAAAAUUAAAAAUAAAAUAAAACUUAAAUUUUUAUAGCAAUAAUUGAAAAGUUACAUUAAGUUCAUGACGUAUAUAAUUAAAAACGGUAAAAACAAAUCCCAUUUAAUAAUUAAUAAAAUCUAAACUUCGUUAUUCUUAUGUCCAAAGUGUUCUCAAAUAUAUAUGCUCCAUGAAAUAUGUUUGAAGUUGUCGAUGAACUCGUUUUUCAUAAAGAUUUGUGCUCCUUUGUAGUCUUGUUUACGAUUCGGAUGAGGACCGUUAGAUGUUUCAGUUGUUUAGACAUCAUUAAUCAUGUCAUCAAAAGAGUAAUCAAAAUCACCUUCAUAUAUUUGUUGUUCAUCUUUCACGAUCAUGUUAUGUAAUAUAAUGCAUGCAUAAAUUAUAUGCUUGAGAAUUUCCAUAUGCCAAGCAAAUGUUGGACCAAAUAUAAUCGCUAAUCGAGAUUGGAGCACGCGAAACUCAUGUUCCACAUAUUUUAUUGCCGAUUCUUGAUGUUGGAUAAAUAGUUUUAUUUUUUUCUCCCUGCGACAUUGGAAUGACGUCGACAAAUGCAUCCCACUCAGAUAUAUAUAAUUUGCUAGAUAACACCUCAUAUUAUAUGUAGUUUUAUUAAUUGCAUUGUGGGUGCUUAUCCUUCCAAAAUACUGUUAAACAUGUUGGACCGGUUUAGCACGUUAAUGUCAUUGUUUAAACCUACAAUGUCAAAUCCACAAGUCUCGUGAUGUCGCUGCUUCAAGCAAGAUUGUGAUUUUACCAUGAUCACCUCGACAAAAUUGGCAUUUCCAAGCAACCAGACAAUUUUUCCAUUCAUAUAGAUGAUAAAUAACUUAAUGGUUGAUGCUAAUGCUACAUAGACCAUCAAUAAAAUAAGUUUUGAUUUGAAUGAAUGUCCAAUAGAAAAUACUAUUUAGAAAAUGGUUGUUGAUAAAUAAUUAUUAAGCAUUUUGAUCAUGAUUUAGUGGAAAUGACUUGUAGAAGUUGAUAAAAUUGGAAGCGUUGAUAAAGAAAACUUUGUUUCAAGUCUGAAUAUUGCAACAAAUGAAGACGUUGAUAAAGAUGAAACUUUUAAUGAGACAAAUUAUGUUCUCUUUGUUGGUCGAAUUUUUUUUAGUGAAAAAGAAGCAUGUCUUUUUAUAAGAGAUAUGCUUAUCAACAAGGGUUCUCAAUAAAAAAAGGUAGAUUAAUAAAAAAAUUGUGUUAUUAUCAUAAAUGAUAUUUUUGUCGUCUUGAAUGUAAAGUCUCCUUGAUAAAAAAUAUUUUUAAGGAGACUUUACCUUCACAAUGAUAAAAAAUAUCACGUUUGCUAAUAACCCCAUUCUUUUUUACGAAUCUACCUUUUUUUAUUGACAAUUCUUGCUGAUAAGCAUAUCUCUUAUAAAAGACAUAUCCUUCUUCUUCACUAAGAAAAAUUUGACCAACAAAGGAAACAAAAUUUGUCUUGUUAAAAGUUUCAUCUUUAUCGUCUUCAUUUAUUGCAAUAUUUUUGUUGCAAUAUUAAGACUUGAAAAGGAGUUUUCUUUCUGAACACUUCCAAUUUUGUCAACUUCUAACAAAUCAUUUUCCACUCCCUUAAAAAAAAUCAUUUUCCAUUAAAUCAUGAUCAUAAUGAUUAAUAAUUAUUUGGCCUAAUUAUUUAUGAACAACCAUUUUUGUCCUUGGGUAUUUGGUUGUAGCCGGAGUAAGCGUCCAUAAAAGACAACAACUUGUAACCGGAGGAAUUGUCUACCAACUUGUCGAUGUUGGGAACCGGGUAUGCGUCUUUUAGGCAGGCUUUGCUCAAGUCCGUGUAGUUGACGCAUGUAACACCCUGUUUUCCCAAUAUCAAAAUUUCUUAAGCCAUUUAUCAGAGUAAGCAUCAUAAUCAACGAGGUAUCGCAUAAAACAUAGUCCAGAACUGUUAAAUAAUAAUUUAACCAAUUAUCUUAAACAUUGCAGCAGAAAAUCAUAUCAUAAUCAUAAAGUGUUUUGGCACGCAGGCCUCAUCAAGUAAUUCUCAAAGAGAUAGUUCAAUAACAUAAAACAUAAACAUGGCAGUCACGUAAGAGAAUGAAGCAUGCAAAUAACCCCAUCCCGUUACGUAUCAGAGCGACCUAGACGACACAGUGAGGCAAGGUCACUCACAACAGCAAACUGCACACUAAACACGAUCACCUGCAAGUUACCCAUACCAAGGGCAACAUUUUCAAGCAGAAGGGGUGAGAUUUCAUAACAAAAUAAUAUUAAUCAAAGUAAUUCGAAUCAUAAUUAACAUUAACAUCAUAUUCAUUCUUAAAUAACUUUGCAUAAUUCAAUAACAAAUAUCACGUAUUCACAUAUUCAAUCGUCAUCAACAACAUAGCAUUAUGGACAUGACAAUGUUGCAAUGCUCUUAGACUCUUUAUAUGCAUGUGGUACCAAUCGUCAUCAUAAGUAUUAAUAUACUUUAAUCGUGCGGAGGACAAAACUCCUAAUAAUCGUGCAGAGGACAAAGCUCCUAAUAAACGUGGUGAAGACUAAGCUCAAUGAAAUGCUAUGCAUGGACUCUUAUGAACAAAACAUCGUAAUCAACAUAUCAACAUGCAUCCAACAAUUUGGAGCUAAACGUCAUCAUUUCAUCAUAUAUAAAUAUAUACAAUGCACUUAGUUAAAUAACAGUAGCAUAAUCAAGUCACAUAACAGGAUGAUAUCAUUAUAUCAAUAGCACAUCAAUUAUAUCAUAAUUAAACUUUCAUAUCUUACAUAAAUGUACAAUACAUUAAUCAUAGUCGAUCAAUAUCAACAUAUCUUAAACAGCUUUACAGAUUGCAUUAAACGUCAUCAUUAGGUCUUAUUAUCAUAAGGGGGUUCGCUCUUGAUCAAAACGUGCGACACAUAUCGCACAAACACUCAAAAUACUCAAAGCUGGAGGAGCUCGCGAGGCGAGAGUCCUCACUCGCCAUGGCGAGUACCACUCAAAUCCCAAACUAAAGUUGUUCUGGUCUAAUCUUGCCCUACAUUUGUUCCUAAUCAUUACUAGGUAUGUUCAGGCACUCAAAGGCACUCAAGGUCCAACUAAAAAGUCGAAAACACAAAAUCCAACAUGCUCUCUGCCUAAGCUCGCGAGGCGAGGAAAGGUUGUUCGCUAUGGCGAGCGAUACCAGAAACACUCGCGAGGCGAGCGAUGAAGAUCAUCACUCGCGAGGCGAGAUUCAUGGCUCGCCGUGGCGAGCGAUGAAUGUCGCUACGACCAGGUUUUCUAAUUUCACAAAAAUCCGACGAUCCACAUGGUUCUAAGCCUAGUAUUGAUUCCAAAGUUGAUCCUAAACAUAAUCUAAGGUCCAGGAACACUUUUUACAGCAAUCUAAUCAAUUCCUACCGUUUAAUCUCAAAUUCUAGGGAUUUGACCUAGUUUUCGUUUUCUCCAAUUAAUCCUAAUUCUUGCUAAUUACUCAUCAGAAUUACAACAACUAAUAUUACUGAGUUAUUAGUCUCACCCUUACCUUAAAUUUGCAUAAAAUCGCAGCCCUCUUGGUCUUUUGCUCCUCUCUAAGCUUUUUCUCCCUUUUUCCAAAAAUUUUCACGUACAAUCCGUUUUUCUAACAAUUAGGUCUUCUCUAUUUAUAUCUCUUCCUAAUUACUUAUCUUAUCUCACUUUCUCCCCCAAAACUAUCUAAAAUAUCAAAACAGCCCUUAACUAAAUAUUUUAUAUUAUUUUCAAAUCUUUAUUUUAUUUAACAAUAAAAUAAUUCUCAUAUCCUUAUCAAAUCUUCCAAAACUCAUAACUUAUCACGUCAUCAGUCAAAUCAUCCAAAUCAUCGUAAAUCAUCAAAUUGUACUAAAAUCAUGCAUAUAUUAUAUAAAUAUAAUAUAAUCGCCUAAACUCGAUUAAAUAAACAAUUAACGAAAUUGGGCGUUACAUCAACGUUGCAGAUCCGGAAGCAUGGGUAUUUCGGUGACUUAAGUUUUAUCAUAUUAUUUGUAGGCAUUUUGCCGUUGUAUGCUAUUAACUUGGGUGUUGUGAGUUUGUUUGCAGAUUCAUCCUUUAUGUUUUUAGUGAUGUUUGUAUCUGAUGUACUCUAUCGAUUUGGUUGAAUGAAUAUCGUUUUAUUUUUGUCAAAAAAAAAAAAAAAGGUUAUGGCCUUAUGUUUCAUUUUCAUGUUUUAAGUUUUUUUUUUUUGUUGAACCAUUGAAAUAUCAUCAUGUACUCUUAAUUAGAAAUGAGUGGAAAAUAUUUUGGUUCAAACAAAUUCUGUUUCUUUUUUAUACCUUAAUUUUGUUUUCGAAAAUUAAGGGGGAGUAAUUAAUUUAUUAUUAUUAUUAUUAUUAUUAUUAUUAUUAUUAUUAUUAUUUUUAUUAUUAUUAUUAUUAUUAUUAUUAUUAUUUUUAUUGGUGCUUUUCAUUAAUAUUGUUAUGUUGUGAAAGAGCGAAUGAACCAAAGUAGUUAAAGAACUCAAGAUGAGUGUUAGACAAUAACAUAUAAGGUGUAAAAAAAUGAAUAAAGAAUAUGAUCGUAAACGAUGAGAAGAUCGUUAAGACGAAAUGUAAGAGAAGGUAAGGAGUUGUAUAUUAAGGACUGAAAACAUAACAGGAAUGAUGAUAACGAUGAAUAAGAAGAGGAUUGAUUAGCAGGGAGCAAGAUGCAUAUGAAAGACGAUAAGAGGUAGUAGUUGUAAUGAGUGACGAAUAUAAUAACGACCGGUAUCAAGUGAAUGAAACCUCGAAUUAUAAUGAAGUAUUAGGUUAGAUAAUAACUUUAAAAUUAAAAUGAAGUUAAGAUUAGGGGACGAACGAUGUAUAGAUGACGACGAACGUGAGAACAAGUAAUAAGAUAUAAAGUCGUUUUAUUGAGGAGAAUAAGUAGGAAAGAGUUAAUAACAAUUGUGAGGAAAAACCUAGAUAUAUAGAACGAAGAUUUUGCAUGUAAUGAUAGCGAAUAAGAAAACAACUUGAGACCAAGAAUGAGGAAUAGGGUAUGAUAUUAGGAAUAAAGUUUAUAGAGUCUAUAAUAGAUGAGAGAAUAUUGUAUGUUCGUAAAAGGAAUAAUAAAAUAAAAUAUAAGGAAGUUGACGUAGAAUUGAAUUACGCGUAAGGGUUGGAUUAGUGAAGAGAUACAAUGGUGAUAUAAACGGUUGAUAGAGAUGAAUAAUGAGGAAUCCAUAAUGUGACGAAGAGUGAUGACGAAGAUAAUAUAUAUAUGUAAUUAAAUAAAUACGAUGAGAAAUGAUAAUGUUUAUAUGUUAGUGAUGAUGGUGAUGACGAUAACUAUAUCAGUAUGAUGAUGAUAGUAAUGAUGUUUAUCUAUGAUGAUGAUGAGGGUAGUGUGUAAAUAUAUAUAUAUAUAUUGACUAUGAGAAUGACGACGUAUAAUUAUGAUGAUAACUUGAAUGAUGGUGUCUAAUAUACAUUGAUGAUGAGAAUGACGAUGUUGACUUAUGAUGAUGUGAAUGACGAUUAUGUGUUUGUCUUGAUGUCGUGCAUAAUGGGAAGAGUCUGAAUUUAUGAUUCUGAUUUGUUGAUGAUGUUAUGAUCUUUUAAUACUUGAAGAGUCUGUCUCAUGCAUGCAUAUAGAGUCGUGUCUAGGAAUCAUGAUGACGAAAUGACGAUGAAAGUCCAGUAACAUAUCUCUGGCAAAUUAUGACGAUGAAAGUCCAGUAACAUACCUCUGGCAAAUUAUGACGAUAGGUGUGGUACCACAAUCAUAUAGGUCAUUAGGAGAGUCCAUAUGCAUAUAUAUGAUGAUGUUGUAUGGGGUGUUUGAGUGUGAAUAUGAUGUGUUGCUGUGACAUGUAAAAUGAAGAGAUUAUACAUAGUAACUGUUGAGAAUGAUGAGAUAGUGGAGACUAUAUUCUUUUGAUAUUUAUUUAAUGUGCAUGCUUUUCCCUAUUAUUUUGUUAUGGCAUGAUUUCUCACCCCUUAUUUUGUUGUGUUGUUUUCUAUACGGUGACUGUACCUUGAGUACAGAUACUCAGGUUGACAAGGAGUAGCUGUGGGAUGUUUUAGAGGAUGGAGAUGAUGGGAUGCCCUCCGUUUGGUUUGGUUAUUUAGUAGUUGAAUAAGUUGUAGUCACUACGAGCUCUGAUAUUGUAACACUAGGGUGGAGUUGGUGAUUUAAUUUUUUAUUGCAGUUUAAGUUGAAUCUUGGAAACUUUGUUACUUUGCUUUUAUGAUGUUAAAUAACGUGAAUAAUCUUAUUAAUACAAUCAUGAAUUGUUUUCCUCUGUUUGACAAUCUUUACUAUAAAAAAAAAAGAAAAAAAAGAAGUGGUAGUACUUUUAUAUGAUUAAUGAUGAAUUUGUAACAUCCUCUCUAUUAAAUAUAUUUUUAUUAUUUAAUAAUUAUUGUUGGGAAUUAGGGUGUUACACUUUCGCUGUCGGUGUUUCAUCCAUUCGCUCUCUGUCGGCAGCGUUCCGUGAAAGCCUUCAGUUAUAGUUUUGAUGAUGUUAGACGUUUUGAUUACAUCUACUUUAUAGUCAUUGUUUGUUAGUUUAAAUGAUGUCUAGUAUAGAUCUUUAUUUUGUAGAAUCUUAAAGCACUUUAGUGAACCUUGAAAUCUUUUUCGCUGCAUUCCAAGUUUGGCAUGAAUCGUCUCACAACAUGUAUGAAUCGAUUCAAAUAAGUCUCUGACUUAGCUUGAAUUGAUUCACCACGAGCAUGAAUCGAUUCAUGUUUGUAUCGUGUCAUUUAUCCUUGAGUCGUCUCACAAAUCUCUCUGUUUCUAUUUGAAUCGAUUCAAUUAUGAUAUGAAUCGAUUCAAUCCUUCAUCUGGGUAACUUGAAUCGUUUCAAAUAUCUCUUGACUUGUGUUAUACCCUGAUUUUGGACCUAAAAAUACUCGUUUCAAAUUUCUUUUUUAACACUAAUAUUUGUCAAUUCUCUGUUAUUUUACUCUCAAUCUUUACUCUCUUUUUAAACGUAUUAUACUGCCUCUGUCUUUUCUGACAUUACAAGUCAUUUAAGAACUCUCUGAAAUGUCGCGUUACUUUUCUUGCACUUUAUUUCAAAAAAUCAUACAAAAGGGUAUUUUGGUCAUUUCCUGCAGUGGAACCCAUUUUUGUCCCUGUAUUUGUCUCUAAGUCUCUUCAACUUGUCUGUACAAAUCAUCGUUGAUUCUUUGUUAAAAAUCAUUUCAAAAUCGCAUCUGAGUCAAUUUGGGUCAGUUUAGUCCCUAGGGGCAUUUUGGUCUUUUCCUGUCAAAAUUUUGACAGGGAGGUAUUUUGAAAUACCUCAUGUCAGUAUUUGGUUCGUUUUAGUCCUUUUGUUGAUUUUAUUUUAGGUUUCACUUUACGUUUUGUCAGGUUACCCAUUUUAUUCCAAUUUUAUUUUUAUUUUUAUUUUGCAUUUUGGUCCUCAAAGAAGUCCAAAAUUGCUUUUCAGUCCAGAACUUUUUAUUUUACAUUUCAGUCCUUUUUGGUUAAUUGCAGUUUAGUCCUUAAGUUUUUGUUUUUGCAGAAAGGUCCCAAAUUCAUUUCAAGUCCAAGGCCGUGCCAUUUUCAUACAAGUCCAGGUGUCACCUUUUCAUUGGGUCUCAAGUACACAUGUCAGAUUAUAAAUAGUGCACAGUGCCACACAAAGCCAUUAAUCACACGCCAACUCAACAAACACAAUCAAGCUUUCUCUCUCCUUUCUGUUAGGAUCAAAAGAUCAAAAAUUCCCAAGAACACGAAGAACAUAAACCCUAAUUUUCUGCAGAAAUCAUAGAAAUUCAUUAGAAAUCAACGAAUUUCACAUCAAUCCUCAGAGAUUCGUAUGAACCUUCAUCACUGGAUUGGAGAUUUCCCUACAAUUCCAAGUGCGAGCUCACAUUGAAGCAAGCUCAAGCACUGAUCACAGGAAUUCUCACGUGGAUCUAAGAAGCAAGAAACAAGCUCAAGCACGUAAUCACAGAGAAAGAAUCGGAGAAGAUGAAGAAACCAAGCCAGUAAACCGAUUUAUUUUCGGUUCAAAAAGCAACCAGAAAUCAUCAAGAACAAAUCGAAGUUUUCCGAAGAAACUCAGCAGAAUCUCCAUUAAAACUCAGGUAAAACUCAUUUUUUCUCUUUAAUGGCGUUAAUCAUAGUUGAACCUGCAUGCAAACGAACAAACCAGAUCUAAAAAGUUUCCAGAACAGAAAACGAACUGAACCGUAUGCGUAAGAUCUAGAUCCAUAAGGACUUAGACUUUGCAAGCAAGAACAAGCACCAGAGAAGUAACAAACACGAAACGAUGUAGAUCCUUAAGAGUUUGAACGUACUCAUUCAAAACCCUAAAAAAAAAAAAAAUUCAAAACCGUAUGAAAAUUCUCCGAUCUACGUCGUUUCAGGCUUUGUUUGUGAAAAUCAAUGUCAGAUUCGUGUUUAGGGUUUAAAAACGAACAAGAAAAUGUAAAAAAAUUUGAAUUCUGGGUGUUUUGCUCGUCGGAACCCUAACUUCUCACCGGAGAAGAUGAAGUUUCCGGUGGAACCUUCAUCUUCUCCGGCCAACAACCACCGGAGAAGGGAGGAGAGAGGUGAGAGGUCUGAGAGAAGAGAGAGGUUUAGAGAGAGAGAGAGAUGAAAGAAAUGAAUUGGACCGGUGUCCAUAUGCUUAUAUAGACGCCUGAACCGGUCCGGUUCAUUUUGUUUUCAUCCUGGAUCGUAGGAUUUAGGGUUUUGUUAUUUGAAUGGCUGUGAUGCUUUGUUCCAUGUGCUUGAUCUGUGUUACCAUGCGCUGCUUGUUUUGAACCGUCAGAUCUAGGUCUGGAUCAAUCUAACGCCUCUGAGGCCUUUGGAUGAUCCAGGCCCAGUCUGCAUUGGGUUUUGGGUUGGGCUUAAGGUUCCUUUUACAUUUUUACCUUUUUCUUGCUAUCUGUACCCCUACUUUUUGCUAUCUGAACCUGUUUCUUGCUCACAUAUUUUUACAAAAAUUCCUAAAAAUCCUAGGUGUUUCUUGAUACAUUUUUGGUAUUUUUAUGGUGUUUUGCAUGUAAAAAAAAAUGGUAAAAUGGCAUGAAUUAAUUCCCAUGUGUUUUUACAUUUUUGGUAUUCUUUUGGUUAUGUUUUUUUGUUCUUGACACUUUGAUAUGUGACAUGGAUGAUUGAUAUACAAUAUUGUGAUGAAUAUGCCUCUGAUCAUGUGUCCUUUUUGCUGUUUUUGGAUAUGAUUUUGUAAAUUUCUUGUUUUGCAAACAAUAAGUGUUUGUCUUAAGGAAUAAAGUGUCAAAUUUCUCUAUGAAUUUGGUGUGAUACUUUGCUUGCAUAUGUCUCUAUUAAUUUCAUGUCAUGGCUUGAAACAAAAUCUCUUUCAAAAUUGCCAUGAUGUGAGAAUUAUGGGUCACAAGCACAUUUAGGUAUCAUAUCAAAUUUUUUAGGUUUUUACCACUUUAUUACUUUCCUUUUUUGCCAUUCUUAUGCAAUUUCUUUUUGUUUAUUUCCUACUAUUUUGUGCCUUAUGAUUACUAACCGUUUCAUUUCAUGUGCCAUACAUUUCAUAAGCAUUUCACAAUUCCAUUCCUAUUCCUCAUAGUUUAGGGUUUAUUUCUUUUAUUUCAAUGUUACUUUGGCAUGUAAUAUUUUAGAUAGUUUUAAUUUCUUUUAAGAUUUUUGCAAGACCAUAGAAUGUAUCUAGGACAAUGUAAAGGACUAUGGACUCUCUAAUAAUGUACACCGACACAAACACCGACACUCGCACACACGUUGCAUGAUUAUCGAUUUAGGUGUAUGUUUAGGAAUUCGACGCCUAGUGAAAUUUCUCCUUCGAAAUAGGCUAAAUUUUCCAAACAAACUUUGGAGUCAAAACUCCAAUGCCUUUUUGUGAAAUAAAAAUAAAGAUCAAAUUCGACAUUUUUCUUCUAUGCCUUACGGCUUCUCUCCUCCUUUUCAAAAAUCAUUUUCCAAGUAAAAUAAAAACCUCAAUCAUCUUCUCCCCUCAUUCUUCACUCAAAUAAAAUAUCUUCUUUUCAAUAAGUAGGCAAUAAAAAAUAAAGCGUAGAAAUAAGCUUAGGAGAACGGUUCUUAUGGAGUACCAUAAUCGCUCCGGGUGCCUAACACCUUCCCGUAGCGAAAACGACCCCCGAACUUAGAAUCUAAGGGUUUUUUCUCAAUUUUGCCCUUCCCAAAAAAAAUAGAGAAUAUCAAAGAUUGAAAGGUUCAAGCCAAAUUAAUGACUUGACACCCGAAAAUCGCGAUAACAGAAAUGGCGACUUCACUGGGGACUUUUUUUAGCGGGUCGCGCCUAGUUUUCCUUAGUUUAUAUUUACGCUUUGUUUUAUUGCUUACAUAUGUGAAUACUUGUUUACUUUCAUUUGACGUGUGGGGUGAGAAUAUCAAAAGUCCUAUACCCGGGCUGAGUGAACUUAUGUUUAGGUAGAGAUAUAAUCGACAAUUCGAUCCGGGGGUUGCCUCGUGUAUUGGAUUAUGCGAUCAAUCUCACAUAGCUGAGGCAUUUUGGAGGUAAUAUUGUCGGCGUGUGUUGUCAUGCUUAGGCACUUUGCUUUCAAUUGUUCGACGAUGCUAUGGACCGUAGUUACCAAACCCAUCCUAGCCUUUUUAGGACGUAGUGCGGUGGCUAAAUUGAGUGUUGUCUCAAACUUUAGUCGUCACGCGAUACUACACUCAAACUAGACCUUCUCACAAAUAAUCAUGGAACGGGUGUCGUCCUGUACUACCAUGAUAUAUGUGAGAGAGGUUGCAGUUUGGGAACUGUGUUAGAACCUUGGUUACUACUAUCCAAAGCCUUAGUUCACCGGACGCCGUGUCCAUCCGUGGCCCUGUUACUUUGAAUCUCAACCCACCUUGUUCUUUGUAACUAAACAACACAAUCAUGCAUACAUACAUUCAUGCAUAAACAUUUUUCAUGCAUUCAUCGAAGGGCUUAAACAAAUGGAAAUUUUUGUAAAUAAUCACAGGUAUGAAGAAGACUAAGUGCUACAAGUUCAAGGAAGUGGAUUUGGUCAGUUUAAGAGAGUUGGCACUCAAGGUCAAGAGUCAAACAGGGUUCCGACUCCGGUAUGGGGGAUUGCUUACUUUGCUCCGAACCGAUGUGGAAGAGAAGCUAGUGCACACUCUAGUGCAAUUUUAUGAUCCGAGCUUCCGUUGCUUCACUUUCCCGGACUUCCAGUUGGUUCCUACUCUCGAGGCUUACUCCAAUCUAGUGGGUUUACCUAUAGCCGAGAAGACGCCUUUCACCGGUCCCGGGACUUCUCUUACUCCUCUGGUUAUUGCUAAGGAUCUCUACCUCAAGACUUCCGACGUCUCCAACCAUCUUAUUACCAAGUCUCACAUCCGGGGGUUCACUUCAAAGUAUCUUCUUGAGCAGGCUAAUCUCAGUACUACUUGUCAGGAUACACUCGAGGCUAUUCUUGCUUUGCUUAUCUACGGGCUCAUUCUCUUUCCGAACCUCGACAACUUCGUGGACAUGAAUGCUAUCGAGGUCUUCCAUUCUAAGAACCCGGUUCCUACUUUGCUAGCGGAUACCUACCACGCCAUUCAUGACAGGACUCUCAAGGGCCGUGGGUAUAUUCUUUGCUGCAUAUCUCUUUUGUAUAGGUGGUUUAUUUCGCACCUUCCGAGUUCCUUCCAUGACAACUCGGAGAACUGGUCCUACUCGCAGCGGAUUAUGGCCCUCACUCCUAAUGAGGUCGUCUGGCUCACUCCCGCCGCUCAAGUCAAGGAGAUUAUUACUGGUUGUGGAGACUUUCUCAAUGUACCUCUUCUUGGUACUCGUGGAGGGAUUAACUACAACCCCGAGCUUGCUAUGAGACAGUUUGGUUUCCCUAUGAAGUCGAAGCCCAUCAAUCUUGCUACAUCUCCAGAGUUCUUCUUCUACACGAAUGCUCCUACCGAACAAAGGAAAGCUUUCAUGGAUGCUUGGUCCAAGGUUCGAAGGAAGAGUGUGAAGCAUCUAGGUGUGAGAUCCGGUGUUGCUCAUGAGGCCUAUACUCAGUGGGUGAUAGAUCGAGCUGAGGAGAUUGGUAUGCCUUAUCCAGCUAUGAGAUACGUGUCUUCAUCUGCCCCAUCUAUGCCUCUACCUCUACUCCCCACGACUCAGGAUAUGUAUCAGGAGCAUCUAACUAUGGAGAGUCGUGAGAAGCAAGUGUGGAAAGCUCGGUACAAUCAAGCUGAGAAUCUAAUCAUGACUUUGGAUGGUAGAGAUGAGCAGAAGACUCAUGAGAACCUGAUGUUGAAGAAGGAGCUAGCUAAGGUCCGGAGGGAAUUGGAAGAGAAAGACGAGCUGCUUAUGAGGGAUUCCAAGAGAGCCAGAGGACGACGAGACUUCUUUGCCAGAUACUGUGAUUCAGAUUCCGAGUCCGAUGAUUCUCCGACUACUUCCUAUGCUUGAGGGCUUCAUUUGUUUAUCUUGCUGAAAUUUCGAAGUCUUCCUUUUGAAAAUACUAUGUAGUUUUGAUUAUUUGCAAGAUUUCUAAUUUGUUUAAAAAUCCUUCGAUGAAAAAAGAAGUCUUUUGCAUUUGCAUUUGCAUAUCAUGCAUCAUAUGCAUCAUGCAUUGGUCACAAAGGCUUCCAAGUACUCACUACCUCCUGGUUCCUCUGCCACAGUUUGAAAAGUGGCUCGUGCUCAGAAGGUCUACGAACCUGACAGAAUCGAUCGAACCAGAGAAUACAGAAGAAGGAAAAAGGCUAUGGAAGAAGAGAACGCUCAGCUCCGUACCGAGUUAGCCACUCUAAGGGAGGAAUUGGCUAAAGCUAAUGAUGUCAUGACUGCUCUGCUAGCCGCUCAAGAACAAUCAGCUACGGCUAUCCCUAUAGCCACAGCUGUACCGGUGACUACAAGCGUGCUCCCAACCACAUCUGCAGACGCUCGCUUUGCUCUGCCAGCUGGGUUUCCGUAUGGGCUUCCACCGUUCUUCACUCCCAGUACUGCAGCGGGCACUUCGGGCACUGCUAACAAUGUUCUGAUCCCUGCAACAAAUGCUGCCUCCAUCAAUGCUACUUUGCCACAAACAACGGCAGCUGUCACUGAGCCUCUUGUGCAUACCCUGCCUCAAGGUAUUAACAUCAACACACAGCACGGAAACAUCCCCGUGACCAAGACCAUGGAAGAGAUGAUGGAGGAACUUGCUAAAGAACUCCGUCAUGAGAUCAAAGCCAAUCGAGGGAAUGCGGACUCUUUCAAAACUCAAGAUCUCUGCUUGGUGUCAAAAGUGGAUGUCCCUAAGAAGUUCAAAAUCCCGGAUUUCGACCGGUACAACGGGCUAACUUGUCCACAAAACCACAUCAUCAAAUACGUCCGAAAGAUGGGCAAUUACAAAGACAAUGAUUCCCUUAUGAUCCACUGCUUUCAGGAUAGUUUGAUGGAAGAUGCCGCAGAGUGGUAUACUAGUUUGAGCAAAAAUGAUAUCCAUACCUUCGAUGAAUUAGCCGCUGCUUUCAAGAGCAACUACGGGUUUAACACUCGAUUGAAGCCGAACAGGGAAUUCCUCAGAUCUCUCUCCCAGAAGAAGGAGGAAAGCUUCCGUGAAUACGCACAAAGAUGGAGGGGGGCAGCUGCCCGCAUUACUCCCGCUCUUGAUGAAGAAGAAAUGACCCAGACAUUCUUAAAGACCUUGAAGAAGGAUUAUGUUGAGAGAAUGAUCAUAGGUGCCCCGAAUAACUUUUCGGAGAUGGUCACCAUGGGAACCCGUCUGGAGGAAGCCGUCAGGGAUGGAAUCAUUGUGUUCGAGAAAGCUGAAUCCUCUGUGAAUGCAUCGAAGAGGUAUGGUAAUGGACACCACAAGAAGAAAGAAACGGAAGUAGGGAUGGUGUCAGCUGGAGCCGGUCAAUCCAUGGCUACUGUUGCUCCUAUCAAUGCAGCUCAAAUGCCUCCGUCAUACCCAUAUGUGCCGUAUUCUCAGCAUCUUUUCUUUCCGCCAUUUUAUCAUCAGUACCCUCUGCCACCGGGUCAACCUCAAGUACCCGUCAAUGCAAUUGCUCAACAGAUAAAACAACAGUUGCCAGUUCAACAACAACAACAAAAUCAGCAAGCUAGACCUACUUUCCCUCCGAUACCGAUGUUAUAUGCUGAGUUGCUUCCAACUUUACUCCAUAGAGGGCAUUGUACAACCAGACAGGGCAAGCCCCCACCUGAUCCGCUGCCUCCAAGGUUCAGGUCCGACCUCAAAUGUGAUUUUCAUCAAGGCGCCCUGGGUCAUGAUGUCGAGGGGUGCUACACUUUGAAGUAUAUCGUGAAAAAUCUCAUUGAUCAAGGAAAGCUGACUUUUUAGAAUAAUGUCCCACAUGUCCUCGACAAUCCUCUUCCAAAUCAUGCCGUUGUGAAUAUGAUCGAAGUAUGUGAGGAAGCUCCUAGACUCGAUGUCCGUAACGUCGCAACUCCUCUGGUGCCUCUACACAUCAAGCUGUGCAAAGCUUCUCUGUUCAGCCAUGAUCAUGCCAAGUGCCUAGGAUGCCUUCGUAAUCCUUUGGGUUGCUACACUGUUCAAGAUGACAUCCAAAGCUUGAUGAAUGAUAAUUUUUUGACUGUCAGUGAUGUCUGCGUGAUUGUGCCAGUUUUUCACGAUCCGCCUGUCAAGAGUAUACCUUUGAAGAAGAAUGCUGAGCCUUUGGUGAUAAGGUUGCCUGGACCGGUGCCGUACACUUCAGAUAGGGCUAUCCCGUACAAAUAUAAUGCUACCAUAAUCGAAAACGGAGUAGAAGUGCCUCUGGUGUCCUUGGCUAUGUUGAACAAUACUGCCGAAGGAACUUCAGCAGCCCUAAGAAGCGGAAGAGUCCGUCCACCAUUGUUUCAAAAGAAGGCAGCUACGCCUACCGUGCCAUCCAUUGACAAGCCAACCCCGACUGAUGUUUCUCCCGUUAACAGAGACGCGAGCCAACCAGGCCGGUCUAUAGAGGAUUCUAAUCUAGACGAGAUUUUGAGGUUGAUCAAAAGAAGUGAUUAUAAGAUUGUGGAUCAGCUGUUGCAAACUCCGUCGAAGAUAUCCAUUUUAUCUCUACUCCUGAGUUCCGCUGCCCACAGAGAUACCCUUUUGAAAGUAUUGGAGCAGGCUUAUGUGGAUCAUGAAGUAACUGUGGAUUACUUUGGUAGCAUAGUGGGAAACAUUACCGCCUGCAGCAAUCUGUGAUUCAGUGAAGAUGAAUUGCCCGAAGCAGGAAAGCAUCAUAAUCUGGCCUUGCAUAUCUCCGUGAAUUGCAAGUCUGACAUGAUCUCAAAUGUGUUAGUAGACACUGGCUCAUCUUUGAACGUGAUGCCCAAGUCAACGCUGGAUCAGCUGAGUUACCGGGGAACUCCUUUGAGGAAAAACACUUUUCUAGUCAAAGCCUUUGAUGGAACCCGCAAGAGCGUUCUCGGGGAGAUAGACUUGCCAAUAACUAUCGGCCCCGAAACCUUUCUAAUCACCUUUCAGGUCAUGGAUAUUAAUGCCUCUUACAGCUGUCUCUUGGGGAGACCGUGGAUACAUGAUGCGGGGGCGGUGACCUCUACUUUGCACCAAAAGUUGAAAUUUGCAAAAAGUGGAAAGCUUGUUACCAUUCAUGGAGAGGAGGCAUACCUGGUUAGCCAGCUAUCAUCUUUCUCUUGCAUAGAGGCAGGGUCUGUAGAGGGGACCGCUUUUCAAGGAUUAACUGUCGAAGGUACGGAGCCCAAGAGGGAUGGAACUGCCAUGGCUUCUUUGAAGGAUGCACAGAGAGCCGUCCAAGAGGGUCAAGCUGCCGGCUGGGGCAGGUUAAUACAGCUUCGUGAGAACAAGCAUAAGGAAGGUCUUGGCUUUUCCCCAACUUCAGGAGUUUCCACCGGGGCAUUCUGUAGUGCUGGGUUUGUCAACGCAAUCACAGAAGAAGCAACUGGAUUUGGCCCGAGGCCUGCAUUUGUUACACCAGGAGGCUUUGCGAGAGAUUGGGAUGCCAUUGACAUUCCCUCAAUCAUGCAUGUUUCUGAGUAAUAUACCUUGUUGCUUAAGUAUCUUGUUUUUUCAAAAUAACAAUCAUCUCGCUCUGCCCAAAGCGAGAAUGAUAUUUUCUAUAAGGGCAUGUUUGUUUCGGCAUUGCCGUUGAUUAAUAAAAAAUUGUCGUUUCUUUCACGACUGCUUUUUUUUUAGUACCUUUUUUUCUUGGAAAUAAUGGUAAUGCCAGAAAAAACCAAAAUAUCUGUAUUUUCUUAUUAAUUUCAAAAAUCUGCAUAAAAAACCCUCUUUCUAAAAUCAUCCAACCAUUUUACGCAGAUUGAACUAUAAUAAACCCGUUGGGCACAGUAAUCCUGCAUUCCCUCCGAAUUUUGAGUUCCCAGUGUAUGAAGCCGAAGAUGAGGAAGGUGAUGAUAUACCAUAUGAGAUCACUCGGCUACUUGAGCAAGAAAAGAAAGCCAUUCAGCCUCACCAGGAAGAGAUUGAGCUUAUCAACAUAGGUACCGAUGAGAACAAGCGAGAAAUCAAGAUCGGUGCUGCUCUAGAGGAAGGGGUUAAAAAGAAGAUCAUCCAACUCCUCCGGGAAUAUCCGGAUAUUUUUGCAUGGUCGUAUGAAGAUAUGCCAGGUCUAGAUCCUAUGAUUGUGGAACAUCGGAUCCCCACCAAGCCUGAAUGCCCUCCCGUCAGGCAGAAAUUGAGAAGGACUCAUCCAGAUAUGGCUCUCAAGAUUAAGAGUGAGGUUCAAAAACAGAUUGAUGCGGGUUUCCUCAUGACAGUUGAGUACCCUGAAUGGGUUGCCAAUAUUGUACCUGUGCCAAAGAAGGAUGGUAAAGUCCGGAUGUGUGUUGACUUCAGAGACCUGAACAAAGCCAGUCCAAAAGACAACUUUCCAUUACCUCAUAUUGAUGUGCUUGUUGAUAAUACUGCUCAGUCUAAGGUGUUUUCCUUCAUGGACGGUUUCUCCGGUUACAAUCAGAUCAAAAUGUCUCCUGAAGAUAGAGAAAAGACGUCUUUUAUCACUCCAUGGGGUACUUUCUGCUACAAAGUGAUGCCGUUCGGCCUAAUAAAUGCUGGUGCUACCUACCAAAGAGGAAUGACUACUCUGUUUCAUGACAUGAUUCACAAAGAAGUCGAAGUAUAUGUGGAUGAUAUGAUUGUGAAGUCAACAGAUGAGGAGCAACAUGUUGAAUAUUUGACAAAGAUGUUUGAAAGGUUGAGAAAAUACAAGCUUCGAUUGAAUCCCAACAAAUGUACAUUCGGCGUCAGAUCCGGGAAGUUAUUAGGCUUCAUUGUCAGCCAAAAGGGCAUUGAAGUCGAUCCUGAUAAAGUCCGGGCCAUCCGAGAAAUGCCAGCUCCACAGACUGAGAAGCAAGUCAGAGGUUUCCUCGGGCGUUUGAAUUACAUCUCCCGAUUCAUAUCUCACAUGACCGCAACCUGCGGGCCGAUCUUCAAGCUACUCAGAAAGAAUCAGCCUAUUGUAUGGAAUGAUGAAUGCCAAGAAGCUUUUGAUAGCAUCAAGAAUUACCUGCUGAAACCACCUAUCCUUGUUCCACCCGUGGAAGGAAGGCCCUUGAUUAUGUAUUUGGCAGUAUUUGAUGAAUCCAUGGGAUGCGUACUUGGUCAACAAGAUGAGACUGGAAAGAAAGAACAUGUUAUCUACUAUCUAAGCAAGAAGUUCACCGAUUGUGAAACUCGGUAUACAAUGCUUGAGAAGACUUGUUGUGCUUUGGCCUGGGCCGCUAAACGCCUGCGUCAUUAUUUGGUGAAUCAUACAACUUGGUUGAUAUCCAGAAUGGAUCCGAUAAAGUAUAUCUUUGAGAAAGCUGCUGUUACUGGGAAGAUUGCACGCUGGCAGAUGCUUUUGUCUGAAUAUGAUAUUGUGUUCAAAACUCAAAAGGAAAUCAAAGGUAGCAUUCUUGCCGAUCAUCUUGCUUACCAACCUCUUGAUGAUUAUCAACCAAUUGAGUUCGAUUUCCCCGAUGAAGAGAUCAUGUAUUUAAAAUCAAAAGACUGCGAAGAACCGUUGAUUGAUGAAGGUCCAGAUCCCAGUAGCAAGUGGGGUUUAGUCUUUGAUGGUGCUAUCAAUGCUUAUGGUAAAGGAAUUGGGGUAGUCAUUGUAUCCCCGCAGGGGCAUCACAUUCCUUUUACCGCCCGAAUUCUGUUCGAAUGUACAAACAAUAUGGCUGAGCAUGAAGCAUGUAUCUUUGGGAUCGAGGAAGCAAUUGACAUGAGAAUCAAACACCUCGACAUCUAUGGAGAUUCUGCGCUCGUCAUCAAUCAGAUAAAAGGUGAAUGGGAGACUCACCAUGCUAAGUUGAUUCCUAUCGCGAUUAUGCGAGACGUCUGCUGACAUAUUUUACAAAGGUUGAGUUGCACCAUAUUCCUCGUGAUGAGAACCAAAUGGCUGAUGCUCUUGCUACUCUAUCUUCCAUGUUUCGAGUAAACCAUUGGAAUGAUGUGCCAUUAAUCAAAGUGAAACGCCUUGAAAGACCUUCACAUGUGUUUGCUAUUGGGGAUGUGAUCGAUCAGGCUGGUGAAAAUGUGGUUGACUAUAAACCCUGGUACUACGACAUCAAACAGUUCUUGCUGAGCCGUGAGUAUCCGCUGGGUGCUUCCAAACAAGACAAGAAGACCUUGAGAAGAUUGGCCAGUAGAUUCCUGUUAGAUGGAGAUAUUCUGUACAAGAGAAACUAUGACAUGGUAUUGUUAAGAUGUGUUGAUGAACAUGAAGCGGAGCAGUUAAUGCAUGAUGUACAUGACGGUACCUUCGGGACCCAUGCUACAGGGCAUACUAUGUCAAGGAAGUUGUUACGAGGAGGUUACUACUGGAUGGCCAUGGAGCAUGAUUGCUACCAGCAUGCCAGAAAGUGCCACAAAUGUCAAAUCUAUGCUGAUAAGAUUCAUGUGCCUCCGCACGCUCUCAAUGUUAUUUCAUCCCCAUGGCCGUUCUCAAUGUGGGGCAUCGACAUGAUUGGAAGAAUUGAACCGAAGGCUUCAAAUGGUCAUCGUUUCAUCUUAGUGGCAAUUGACUACUUCACCAAGUGGGUUGAAGCAGCAUCUUAUACCAAUGUGACCAAGCAAGUGGUAGCUAAGUUCAUCAAGAACAACAUCAUCUGUCGAUAUGGUGUUCCCAGCAAGAUUAUUACCGACAAUGGUACCAACCUGAACAACAAUGUGGUGCAAGCUCUUUGUGAAGAAUUCAAGAUUGAGCAUCAUAACUCUUCUCCGUAUAGACCUCAGAUGAAUGGUGCAGUUGAGGCCGCCAACAAGAAUAUCAAGAGAAUUGUCCAGAAGAUGGUAACCACUUACAAGGACUGGCAUGAGAUGUUACCUUAUGCUCUGCAUGGUUACCGUACUACAGUGCGCAGUUCAACCGGGGCAACCCCUUCCUCUCUUGUAUAUGGUAUGGAAGCAGUUCUCCCUUUGGAAGUGGAGAUCCCAUCUCUCCGUGUGAUCAUGGAAGCAAAGUUAUCUGAGGCUGAAUGGUGCCAAAGCCGGUAUGAUCAGUUGAAUUUGAUUGAGGAAAAACGUAUGGAUGCCAUGGCUCGUGGAUAGUCAUAUCAAGCAAGAAUGAAGACUGCUUUUGACAAGAAAGUCCAUCCUCGAGAAUUCAAGGUAGGGGAGCUCGUAUUGAAAAGGAGGGUAAGCCAGCAACCCGACCCAAGGGGCAAGUGGACGCCUAACUAUGAAGGUCCUUAUGUUGUCAAGAAGGCCUUCUCCGGUGGUGCUUUAAUCCUUACACACAUGGAUGGCGUAGAACUUCCAAAUCCAGUGAAUGCCGAUAUAGUCAAGAAAUACUUUGCCUAGAAAUGUGAAAAGAACAGCGUGGUAGGUCGAAAACCUGAAAGGGCGGCCUAGGCAAAAAUGCGCUUCCCGGUGGAUCGAAAACCCGAAAGGGCGGUCCAGGCAAAAAUAAGGGACAAAAAAAAUAUAUCUAUAUGAAAAAGCUCGCUGAGAUUGCACGCAACUCAGGCAAGAAUGAGCGUCUCGAUGAAUCGAAAACCCGGAAGGGCGGUUCAUGCAAAAAUGGGAUUGAAACAAAAGGCAAGUAACUAUAUCUGGCUAACCACCGUCCCCCUUGGGGCAUCUGCAGCUGUUAAUGACUAUCUUCAUCAAAAGCUCCUACGCUUGCAAAUUCAAAGUUUCUAGGAAAUGUGAUGAUUACUGUGUUCAAUGUACCACCAACCAAUAAAAUUACCAUUUUCCAAGCUUUGUAAAUCCGUGGAGUCACGCCUUCGGCUGACCACCACUCUUAUACAUCAAUUUGAGCUUGUGCUUUUGUUUGAAACUCUGCUUUCUUUUUACUUUCAAAGCUAUAUACAAAACAUUUUCUUUCUAUUUUUAAUAAUGACAAAUGCUCGAAACAAACAUCUUGAAAAUUGAAAAAGUUUUUUUGAAAAGCAAACCUGAGCAACAGGGUACAUUCAAAUGAACAUGCAUGAGCGAGUGUGUGUUGGUGUCUAUUUCAAUAUAUGUUACAAGCAGGCUCUUCCCCAGGAUGGUCUGUGGUCAAUGGCAAGAAUGGAAAAAACAGAAUGAAAAUGCAUGAAAAUGAAUAGGCUCGCUAAGUUGAAAACCCGAAAGGGCGGCUUAGGCAAAAAUGAGCACCCUGCUGGAUUGACAACCCGAAAGGGCAGUUCAGGCAAAAAUGGGGCAUUAAAAAUUUAUUUCCCCGGUGGAUCGAAAACCCGAAAGGGCGAUCCAGGUAAAAAUGGGAUGCAAAAAAUGAAUGAAUGAAAAUUGAGAAAAUAACAUGCAAAAAGCAUUGACCACAGAUGCGACGUCCACGAUACAUCCGGCAUUAUUCCCAGUAGAGUCUCCCAAGAUUCUAUCCCCAGCAAGUUGCAUAGCUACCUGCCCUCAGCCAUGGUUCCGACACGUCUCCCAACGACGUCAUCUCCAAAGAGGAUUUCCAAGAAUGUGUAAUAUAGCACGAGCCACUACGUGCCCAAUACUCCAAUGUCUUGUCUGUCUCUGCGAAACUGUGUCUACAAAUCGCCAACAGUCAUGCAUUACAAGCAUUCAUACAUACAUAAUCAUGCAUAUUACGUGCCCAUGCAUUUAAUGAAAUUGUUAUAUCAUUCAUGCAUGUUGCAUUUCCAAUGUCAACAUCAGUCUCAAUUCAAUACUCAUGUCGGGUUCUCUGUCAAAACCUUGUGAGCCUAUAAUAUUGGUCAAUUUCUACCUUUCAAAUCAAAUCGACGCCAAGUCAAUUUCAACCUAUGUUGUCAAAAAAACUAAUCCCCUGUGAAUUUGUUUCUGUUCGGUCAAGUGACUAGUUCAAGUCCAAGAACAGCUUGUACCUAUCAUUUUGCUUAUGUUAUCGGUCGAGUGCCCAGCUUAAUCCAAGAGCAGCUUGUACCUGUCAAUAUGUUUCUGUUUGGUCAAGUUACCAGUUCGCAUCCAAGAACGACUUGUACCCGUUUACUUUUCAAUGUUAUCGGUCGAGUUACCAGUUCGAAUCCAAGAACAGCUCGUACCUGUCUAUGUGUCUAUGAUUUUGGUCAAGUGGCUAGUUCAAGUCCAAGAACAGCUUGUACCCGUCUAUCUGUUUCUGUUCGCUCAAGUGGUUAGCUCGAUCCAAGAGCAGCUUGCACCUGUCUAUUUUGUCUUUGUCUCCGGUGGAGUAACCAGUUCACAUCCAAGAACAAGCUCGCACCUGUCUAUUUGCCUUGCUUUCAGUCGAGUGACUAGUUCAAAUCAAGAACAACUCGUACUUGUCUAUUUGCCUUUGCUUUCAGUCGAGUGACCAGUUCGAAUCAAGAACAACUCGUACCUGUCUACCUUUUCUAUGUCCCCGGUCGAGUGACCAGUUCGAAUCCAAGAACAACUCGCACCUGUUUGUCUGCUUUUAUCCCCGGUCAAGUGCCCAGCUCAAUCCAAGAGCAGCUUGUACCCGUCAAUUUGUUCCUAGUCUCCUAUCUACCCUGUUAUCUGUUAACUUACCAAUGUCUACCAAUCCCGCAAUGGAUACGACAUCUUUUGUUAAUUCCAGCUUUCGUUUGUCUCGCACUCAUAAUCCAAAUGUUGCAUGGCAUUCAUGAUAUUUGAAAAUGUACAAGCGUAUUUUUACGUCCAAACACAGUGCAAAUGUUAAUAUUUAAGUAUCUUCGUCACGUCAAGCCAAAGACUCCGUCUCUUGACCCUCCAGACAAAGAAACUUAAAUAGGGGCAGCUGUUAUACCCUGAUUUUGGACCUAAAAAUACUCGUUUCAAAUUUCUUUUUUAACACUAAUAUUUGUCAAUUCUCUGUUAUUUUACUCUGAAUCUUUACUCUCUUUUUAAACGUAUUAUACUGCCUCUGUCUUUUCUGACAUUACAAGUCAUUUAAGAACUCUCUGAAAUGUCGCGUUACUUUUCUUGCACUUUAUUUCAAAAAAUCAUACAAAAGGGUAUUUUGGUCAUUUCCUGCAGUGGAACCCAUUUUUGUCCCUGUAUUUGUCUCUAAGUCUCUUCAACUUGUCUGUACAAAUCAUCGUUGAUUCUUUGUUAAAAAUCAUUUCAAAAUCGCAUCUGAGUCAAUUUGGGUCAGUUUAGUCCCUAGGGGCAUUUUGGUCUUUUCCUGUCAAAAUUUUGACAGGGAGGUAUUUUGAAAUACCUCAUGUCAGUAUUUGGUUCGUUUUAGUCCUUUUGUUGAUUUUAUUUUAGGUUUCACUUUACGUUUUGUCAGGUUACCCAUUUUAUUCCAAUUUUAUUUUUAUUUUUAUUUUGCAUUUUGGUCCUCAAAGAAGUCCAAAAUUGCUUUUCAGUCCAGAACUUUUUAUUUUACAUUUCAGUCCUUUUUGGUUAAUUGCAGUUUAGUCCUUAAGUUUUUGUUUUUGCAGAAAGGUCCCAAAUUCAUUUCAAGUCCAAGGCCGUGCCAUUUUCAUACAAGUCCAGGUGUCACCUUUUCAUUGGGUCUCAAGUACACAUGUCAGAUUAUAAAUAGUGCACAGUGCCACACAAAGCCAUUAAUCACACGCCAACUCAACAAACACAAUCAAGCUUUCUCUCUCCUUUCUGUUAGGAUCAAAAGAUCAAAAAUUCCCAAGAACACGAAGAACAUAAACCCUAAUUUUCUGCAGAAAUCAUAGAAAUUCAUCAGAAAUCAACGAAUUUCACAUCAAUCCUCAGAGAUUCGUAUGAACCUUCAUCACUGGAUUGGAGAUUUCCCUACAAUUCCAAGUGCGAGCUCACAUUGAAGCAAGCUCAAGCACUGAUCACAGGAAUUCUCACGUGGAUCUAAGAAGCAAGAAGCAAGCUCAAGCACGUAAUCACAUAGAAAGAAUCGGAGAAGAUGAAGAAACCAAGCCAGUAAACCGAUUUAUUUUCGGUUCAAAAAGCAACCAGAAAUCAUCAAGAACAAAUCGAAGUUUUCCGAAGAAACUCAGCAGAAUCUCCAUUAAAACUCAGGUAAAACUCAUUUUUUCUCUUUAAUGGCGUUAAUCAUAGUUGAACCUGCAUGCAAACGAACAAACCAGAUCUAAAAAGUUUCCAGAACAGAAAACGAACUGAACCGUAUGCGUAAGAUCUAGAUCCAUAAGGACUUAGACUUUGCAAGCAAGAACAAGCACCAGAGAAGUAACAAACACGAAACGAUGUAGAUCCUUAAGAGUUUGAACGUACUCAUUCAAAACCCUAAAAAAAAAAAAAUUUCAAAACCGUAUGAAAAUUCUCCGAUCUACGUCGUUUCAGGCUUUGUUUGUGAAAAUCAAUGUCAGAUUCGUGUUUAGGGUUUAAAAACGAACAAGAAAAUGUAAAAAAAUUUGAAUUCUGGGUGUUUUGCUCGUCGGAACCCUAACUUCUCACCGGAGAAGAUGAAGUUUCCGGUGGAACCUUCAUCUUCUCCGGCCAACAACCACCGGAGAAGGGAGGAGAGAGGUGAGAGGUCUGAGAGAAGAGAGAGGUUUAGAGAGAGAGAGAGAUGAAAGAAAUGAAUUGGACCGGUGUCCAUAUGCUUAUAUAGACGCCUGAAUCGGUCCGGUUCAUUUUGUUUUCAUCCUGGACCGUAGGAUUUAGGGUUUUGUUAUUUGAAUGGCUGUGAUGCUUUGUUCCAUGUGCUUGAUCUGUGUUACCAUGCGCUGCUUGUUUUGAACCGUCAGAUCUAGGUCUGGAUCAAUCUAACGCCUCUGAGGCCUUUGGAUGAUCCAGGCCCAGUCUGCAUUGGGUUUUUGGUUGGGCUUAAGGUUCCUUUUACGUUUUUACCUUUUUCUUGCUAUCUGUACCCCUACUUUUUGCUAUCUGAACCUGUUUCUUGCUCACAUAUUUUUACAAAAAUUCCUAAAAAUCCUAGGUGUUUCUUGAUACAUUUUUGGUAUUUUUAUGGUGUUUUGCAUGUAAAAAAAAAUGGUAAAAUGGCAUGAAUUAAUUCCCAUGUGUUUUUACAUUUUUGGUAUUCUUUUGGUUAUGUUUUUUUGUUCUUGACACUUUGAUAUGUGACAUGGAUGAUUGAUAUACAAUAUUGUGAUGAAUAUGCCUCUGAUCAUGUGUCCUUUUUGCUGUUUUUGGAUAUGAUUUUGUAAAUUUCUUGUUUUGCAAACAAUAAGUGUUUGUCUUAAGGAAUAAAGUGUCAAAUUUCUCUAUGAAUUUGGUGUGAUACUUUGCUUGCAUAUGUCUCUAUUAAUUUCAUGUCAUGGCUUGAAACAAAAUCUCUUUCAAAAUUGCCAUGAUGUGAGAAUUAUGGGUCACAAGCACAUUUAGGUAUCAUAUCAAAUUUUUUAGGUUUUUACCACUUUAUUACUUUCCUUUUUUGCCAUUCUUAUGCAAUUUCUUUUUGUUUAUUUCCUACUAUUUUGUGCCUUAUGAUUACUAACCGUUUCAUUUCAUGUGCCAUACAUUUCAUAAGCAUUUCACAAUUCCAUUCCUAUUCCUCAUAGUUUAGGGUUUAUUUCUUUUAUUUCAAUGUUACUUUGGCAUGUAAUAUUUUAGAUAGUUUUAAUUUCUUUUAAGAUUUUUGCAAGACCAUAGAAUGUAUCUAGGACAAUGUAAAGGACUAUGGACUCUCUAAUAAUGUACACCGACACAAACACCGACACUCGCACACACGUUGCAUGAUUAUCGAUUUAGGUGUAUGUUUAGGAAUUCGACGCCUAGUGAAAUUUCUCCUUCGAAAUAGGCUAAAUUUUCCAAACAAACUUUGGAGUCAAAACUCCAAUGCCUUUUUGUGAAAUAAAAAUAAAGAUCAAAUUCGAUAUUUUUCUUCUAUGCCUUACGGCUUCUCUCCUCCUUUUCAAAAAUCAUUUUCCAAGUAAAAUAAAAACCUCAAUCAUCUUCUCCCCUCAUUCUUCACUCAAAUAAAAUAUCUUCUUUUCAAUAAGUAGGCAAUAAAAAAUAAAGCGUAGAAAUAAGCUUAGGAGAACGGUUCUUAUGGAGUACCAUAAUCGCUCCGGGUGCCUAACACCUUCCCGUAGCGAAAACAACCCCCGAACUUAGAAUCUAAGGGUUUUUUCUCAAUUUUGCCCUUCCCAAAAAAAUAGAGAAUAUCAAAGAUUGAAAGGUUCAAGCCAAAUUAAUGACUUGACACCCGAAAAUCGCGAUAACAACUUGCAUUAAUCCUCAUUCCAUCUUCCUUGCCUAAGCUUCUGUUUUUUCAGUAUCUGAAUCGAUUCAAUAUGUUGUUUUGGUGCGAAAAUUGUGUCCAUUUUUCCCUUACUAUAUAUAAUCUCCUCUUUCCACAACUUCAAAAUUAUUGAAUCAUUUGCAUCUAUUCUCUCUAGGUCUCAAAAACCCAUUGCUCAUACAUUCUUCAAGAUUAAACACUUUUUCUUAGAAUCACUUUGUCUUUGAGUGUGUAGAUUCUCUAGGGUGCUAGUAGGAAUUGUAAGUUGGUUCUCUCAAGAAGAUUGAUUGGGCUUAAUCAAGGCUUCAAAGGAAGUGAAUAAUCUCAUUCCACUUCCAAAGGACUUAGGGGUCUUUCUAACCGUUCUUGAUAUCGAAGGGGGUUCUUUUACCGGACGUAGCAUUGAAGACUCGAGUGAAGAGAUCGAAGGAGUGCACGGGUAAUUCAAGGAUCCGAAGAUUCAAGGAGCACCAAAUUCAAGGGGUACUUGAAGUUUGGGGGAGGUUUAUUUUACAUUGGAGGUGAAGAAUUAGUGCUUUAAUUUGAAGUAACUACUAUAAACAUUGGUGUUCUCUCUCUCUCUCUCUCUCUCUACUUUUGAUAUAGCACUUGCUUAUUUGAAUAAUUGAUUAGUGAAUUGCUAGUUUUGAUCUAAGUAGUAUUUUCUCAAUAGAUUAAUCUAAAUCCUUUUGAUUUAGGUUAAAACAACUUCAUAUUGGAUCAAUUAAUUGCAAUACCAAUUCAAUUAAUCAAAUUCAUGUGUUUUGUGUUUUCAAUUGAUAAUUAGGUUUAUUGUCAUAUAGAUUUGGUUUGAAAUUGUAUAUUGUUUUGUAUCUUGUUUAAGGAUUGUUAAUAAUUGAUUGUGACAAAAGAUUUGUAUCGUGAAUCUCUUAAUCUAAGAUAAAAUUUUAUUCAACAUAUAUUUGACAUUUGUUAAUUCAUUGUUUGUGAUUGUUCAAGCAAAUUUCAAUAAAACUUGUUUUUAUCAAAUCUCCAUAAAAGUUUUUUAAAAGCGUUGUUCUUAUAAAAUUUUAUUCCACAUAAAGUUUGUUAAUCCCAUGGUAGCAGCACUACUUCGCCUUGUCGGUUCUUGCCGAUUAUUUAAGCAAUUGUGGUUUGUUUGCAAUCAAUUUCUCUAUAACCAGAAAUUCUUGUAAUGUUGUUUUAAUUCUUGUUUUCGGCUAGAUAGGUUGUUCAUAAGUAGUGAAAAUUCACCAUGGAAGAUAUGGAGUGGUUACUACAAGCAAAUAAUGAUGAAAUAAAACUAAGUUCAUCUUUUGUUGCUCAAAUCACAUGGCAGAGAAGCUGAGAUCCCAGUUCUCGAUGCAUUUGAAAACAUCAAAGUCUACCAAAUCUCACAAUGGUGAUACAUUCAAAAAUAAGAUAAGACACAAUUCAGUUAUAAUAUUAUUUAGUGCCUAAUUUCAUUUUAUUAUCAACAUCUUUGAGUGUAGAGUCAUAGUUUCAACAUCCAUGAAGUUGUAAAAAGAAAAAAAAUAAAAGAUACAAUUAUUGGAUGCUACUAAAAAGAUUAAAUGGCAACUCACGGUAUAACUAUAAGGUAUGUUGCAUAGAUUUUUUGCUAGUGCAAGAACUCACUCCUCCUUGCAUGGCGUUUGUGUACCCUCUUCGGCGAGAUACUUAUAUCCAAUCAAAAGGAAACGGAAUCCUCGUAAACACUAUACAUUUGUUGUAAAUGCACUUAUAAAGUAAAGGAUACAAAUCCUUUGGACAAUCAGCCACAUCUAUACAGAAAAUUUUUACUGCAAUGAAAGAAGAGAAUAAAAUAAUGUUACUAAAAUGAUAUAAAAUUUUAUGUAUGAAGUACAAAUUAAAGAAGGAAAUUUGAAAAUGGUUUUAAAAAAAAUGCUUGCUAUAAUCAACCCCGUUGGCAACAAGAAACAGGGAAAGAAAUAAAAUCAUAGAAUAAACAAACUUGAGAGUUCUAGCCAUAUUUUUCUUUGUUGUACCAAAUAGAAUAUGAUUUAGUCAAUUUAUAGUGUAUUAAGGUCAUGUAAUAUUGUUGUGUGUUUGUAUUGAACACUUAAGUAGAUGAAUAUGUUGUGUUUACCCUUUUAUCACACGAAGUAAAGGAGUAACACUAAAAAAAAGAUAAAAAAAAAUAUUGUAUAUAUAUAACACUUAAGUAGAUGAUUAUGUUGUGUUUGUCCCUUUAUCACACUUAGUAAAGGGGUAACAAAAAAGAAGGAAAUUUGAAAAUGGUUUUAAAAUAAGGGUUAAUUAAGUUUUUGGUCCCUAUAAAUAUCUGCAGUUUUGUAUUUAGUCUCUAUAAAAAUAAAUCACACUUUUUAGUCCCUGCAAAAUUUUCUGUUAGUGUUUUUAGUCCCUUUAAAUUAAAAUUUGUUUAAUUACGCUUAAACUUCUAAAUUUUUGAAAGAUUUUUUACAUACAUGUUCAUAACAUCGUAAGACACUCUUUUAUAAUUUUUUUUAGUUUUUUAACGUGUAAUGAAUUAAAUAUGAAUAUUUCUAAAAAUCAUAUUUUUCAAGAUUAUAUUAAUGAAAAUUUGGACCUAAUAAUAAAAUUUUAAGUUACUUUUUUGCGGAGGAACUUUGUAUAAUAUUCUAAAUAAGUAUGUGAAAAAUAUGUUACAAAUUUAAAAGUUUAAGCACAAUUAAGCAAAUUUUAAUUUUACAAGAACAAAAAGUAUGUGUUGGUCCCUAUUAAAUUGAAAUUUGUUUAAUUAUACUUAAACUUUUAUAUUUUUAACAGACAUGUUAAGAACAUUAUAAUAAUCUCUUUUAUAAAAAAUUAGAAUUUUUUAACAUCUAAUGAAUUAAAUAUAUAUUUUUUAAAACGCCAAAAAUUCAAAAUAAAACUAACAAAAUUUUGAACUUAAAAAUAAAAUUUUGAGCUAAUUUAUUAUGGCGGAACAUGUUAUAAUGUUUUAAACAAGUAUGUAAAAAAUCAUUAAAAAAUUUAAAAUUUUAAGCAUAAUUAAACAAAUUUUAAAUUAACAGGGACUAAAAACACUAAUGGAAAAUUUUGUAGGGACUAAAAAGUGUGAUUUAUUUUUAUAUGGACUAAAAAUAAAACUGCAUAUAUUUAUAGAGACCAAAAACUUAAUUAACCCUUAAAAAAAAAUGCUUACUGUCAUCCCCCUUGGCAACAUAAAAUAGGAAAAGAAAUAAAAUCAUAGCAUAAACAAACUUGCCCCUUUAUCACACGAAGUAAAAGGUUAACAUUAAAAAAAUUGAUAAUCAUUAUAACUUAUUUUAUUUUAUUUUUAUAACUUUUCAACCUUUCAUGAUAGAAAGGGGUAAAAAAAAGAUAAAAAAAAUUGUGUGUAUAUAUAUAUAUAUAUAUAUAUAUAUAACACUUAAGUAGAUGAAUAUGUUGUGUUUGUUCCUUUAUCACACUUAGUAAAGAGGUAACGAAAAAAAAUUGGUAAUCAUUAUAACGUACUUUUUUUUUAAACUUUUCAACCUUUCAUGAGAGAAAAUGGUAAAAAAAACAAGAAUUUAAAAUUGUUCAACCACGAUGAAUUUAUUUGUACAAAUAAUGCACCAUCAACAUGACAACAUAAUUAUGCAUUAGUUGAACAGUUUGUAGGAUAUUUUCUUAUAAAAUUAUUUGAUCAUAUGUAAUUAGUAUCAUAUUUUUGUUGUUGCAUGCUUUUUUCUGACAUUAUUAUUCAUGUCAUUUCAUUAGGGACACCAAAGCCCGCCCAUCCGUUUAGGCCCACCCUGCUUAAGUUGUUAAUCUUAAUAAGUUGUAAACUUCUCAUCCCACAAUUAAUAGCGAAACACUCUACCUGGACAAAUUUGUAGAUAACUAAUAGCAUACACCAAGUAAGGUAAACUUUAUUAUGAUGCAAAAUUUAUGGUAUCAUGUCUUGUACACUUAUGAUAACCAUUAUUGAAUUUUCAAAUGCUACAUGGUGUAUAUAAUCAAGUAUUAUAAAAUGCAAAAGUUGAAUGACAGAUAUAUAAUGGCAAAAGAUCCGAACACAUUUCCUUGAUGUCCAAAAUAGAUAGCAUUGGUUCAGGACCAUUUCAUCAUAUUGAGUAGUGAGCAUUACAGAACCCUUAAAAUAAAAAGUGCUCAUUAGAACAUGAUAUUAAGUUUAAGACUUACGUAUUCUACAUCCAUCUCAACCAUGUAUAUACGAUACUUAACACGAAGCUUAUUGAUCUUCCUCUCCAUAGCAUUAGUUGGGGUAGGGAUCAAAGGUGCUGCACAAAACAUGAAAUGGUUAAUAGCUAGAAAGAUGACAAACAAUUAAUGGCAAUGAUUAAAGAACGAUGAAAUAUAAUGGUUUGACAUAAAAAAAAUUAAAGAAAUCAGAAGUAAAAAAAUUCACCAAUUAACAUAUGAUAGAAGAACAUUGCCUGAAAGUUAUGGUGGUGAGCCAUCACUGGAUACAAAAACGGCAACUCCAUAACUGAAAGCUUGAAUAUAUAUAGUGGGUGCAACCUUUGAUAUGAAACCACAAAACCUUGGAAAAUUGAAAGGAAUUCAAUAUCGGUUGGGAAUCCAAUAGUUGGGGGCGUUUUGAUUAGUAUAACCGCCAUUUAAUUUUUGUUGUGAAUCUAAUCAGAAAGGCAUACUCAGCAGAUUUUGUAUCACGUCUUGGGAAUUGUGAUAGCAAUAACUACGUAUGCCAAAAUAAAAGGGAAGUCAAGUUAAGCGGUUCCAAAAAAAAAAGGAACACCAAGGCGCCAAAAGAAGUAGAAAUAGAAAGAUUAUGUUUAUUGGGAAUAGAUGGAAUGGGUGGAGAUCAACACAGAUGCAUCCAAUGGCCAUAACAGUUUGGAGCCAAAACCAUUAGAAUUAGGGUUGGCACAAUUUGUUAGCAAUGUUAUUCAUAUUAGAAAUAAGUAUGAUGUACUUCAAAUUCUUGGAUGUCUUUUCCUAUGUUUCUUUAUGGAAUGUCUAUAUCAAAUUUUAUGUGUUUUGAAAGACAAAUUUAAGAUACAAGAGUUUCUAUAAGUUUAGAUGACCAUUUUAUUGUUUUUAUUUUCUUUCUAGGUUCGCCUUUAAAAAUUGUGAUAAUUUACGCAACAUCAACUAAAAUUGGAAACAUAGAGUUCACAAAUAUAUAAGGUAUUUACCCACAAGCAAGGAUAGAAAUACUACAGUUGGCUAGUCUGAUUGACCCCACUUCCAAAACGUGGAAUUAGGACAUUAUCACGAGUAGUAACAAUUGAAGCUAUACUAAAAAACCACCCGUUCAACAAGUUACCGACGAUAGGUUGGUGUGGAAGGCGGAGAAAAAUGGACAUUACUCGGUUAAGAGUGCUUAUCGACUAUGUAUUAACGAUUUGUCAAGUUAGGGUAUGAGCUUUAGUGAUUUGUGAACUUGAUAAGAUCUAGAAUGACCCUGAUCCAGGUAUUUAUAGUGGGUGUGACCUAGAGGAAGGCACAAUGACUUCCCGGUUCAUCUCGGACAUGGGCUGCCAACUUCCUCCUUUUCAGGGAUUGUGGACAGUGACGUCUUAUGAGCCCUUUGUCUGUUUCUCCAACUCCUUUGUGAUUGAGUCAAUACCCCAUGUGUUCCUUAGGGGGAUUUAACAUAAGUGUAUCGUGCGAUUGAACCCUUUCUCGGGCCAGUGCUACUAUGCCGAGAACGUGACUAAUCCACUCUAUGUUACACUAUGCUUCCCACGUGACUUUUGAUCAUCAACUUAAUUUAUUAUGACGGUACACAACCCUGCAAUCACGAGGCCUAUAAGGACAAAGUGGUUUGAAUGACAAUUUAUUAUAAUGGCUUUACAUUUCUCACCCUGCGUUUCUCACGUGCCCUAUUUCCUUUUUCAAAAUACCCUUUGCUCGAUUAUAUACUUUGAACACCUUUUUUCAUAUUAUAUAAUAGAACUAUUCUCUGGUUUUUCCAAAAACUUGUAAAUAUAUGGUUCAAAAACUAUAAUCUGAAAACUUUCAUAACAUUUCAGGAAAAAUAUAACCCAAAACAUCAAACACCUCAUUUUGAGGCGAACUAUAGUGUACAUAUUGACGCAUUUUGGAUUAUAUUUGCUGAACUAUUAAUAAAUAGUUCAGAUUACAUAAUCCGAACUAUGUCAGGUCAGAAACAGACCCCGUGUUGUUAAAAUGGACACCCUUUUUUGUUAAAUUUAGGCAACAAUAUUGAUUUGAACAUGCAUCAAAACAAAUGAUAUACAAAAAAAAGGAAACACACAUGAAACAACAAAAAUACAUUAAAAACUUAAAUCAUCGGAAUAUUACAUCAACAAAUUCAAACAUACAUAAAAAACUGAAAUUAUCUAAAUGUCACAUUAACAUCAGAAAAUCAGAUAACUACUAGGUAGAAGCACCACCCCUACCACUCGUACACCUUUGACGGUAAGUCAUCUCACCCUGAGCCUCUUUCAAAAUCAAAUCCAAACUAAGCUAAGUUGGACUUCCCUGCUCCAUCUGACCACUGACCAUGAUAGUUCUGGAAGUCUCUGAUGUGUCCUAACUGUCCACUAAAGUCUAGUGGAUGGUUGCUUCAGGUUGCUCAGAAGCAACCUCAUCAAGAGCCUCCUACUCAGGUGGCCUCGAGAUAUGACCAUUAUCCAGAGAUGGUAUCAUGUAUGGAUGUGAAAUGUUUAAAUAAGAUCUCAUGUACCCAACAAUCGUCAUCGCAGUACCAAAUCCUGCAGUCUCAACAUAUGAUCAAGAUAAUGCAAGAAGCGGUGAUUGGCCUCAUGUCGGGUUGUCAUGGGAGGUGAAAAAUAAUGUGCAUGUCUAAAGAUGACCUCGACGUGACAAAACUAGAGCGCCACCCUCUCCGUCAGAUAUCAGACCAUAUGAGGUUUGUCUCUGAGCCAUCUAGAGCAAAGACUGAUUCUCUCAAACAGACGUAUUUGGAGGUGUUGCUGAUUUGAGUCCAUGACAACAGAACUAAGAUUCAUGUGAUGCAUAUGCGAUCCUAUAUGAUCUGUCACAGCCUGACCCUUUGGGGAAACAAACAUCGCGGCACGGGGUGGCGAUCCUCCCUAUAUCUACCCCAGAAAUCCCUAGCCUUGACAGACUUAAAGAGCUAAAAUAUCCAAGCCUACAUCAAUAUAUACCUAUCAAUAGAAAGCACAUAGAAAAAAAAAACAAGUUUAACAGUUAACUAAAUAAGAAUUUCGUUAUUAUACAUGAAAGAUGGUCAAUAUCCUGCCAACUCUGAAGUCUUAUAAUGACAUCCACUAUUAAGAUCCCUAUUGAGGUGAGCAAGGGCAACCUAUCCCCACGCAUAAUCAGCGACCAACUCAAGGUCACGGAAGUACCUGAGGUAUCUCACGUCAACAUAGUUGGCGCUCAUGUAUGUGAAGAGUAUUACACCCAGCAACUACUGUAGAUAAAUUAUGUGUUUAAAUUUUUUCAGAAUUUUACUAUUUAAAUCAAUCAAUAAGCAUAUUGCACACUUAUAAAAUUCUUUUUUAAAGGAACACACUUAUAUCAAUUUAUAAAAUUAUGUACUGAUAUUUUCUAAACACGUAUUAUAAUCAAACUCUUGCAACAUAUGAGCUUUCCACCCAGUAUAUAAUCAUAGCUAGCUUGAAACAUCUUGACUUUGGUAAAUAGAACAACAACCAGAACAUUAUCAGUCUCAUCGCAUGCAAAAAAACAAUACAUUUAACUCAUUGACAUAAGUUUCAAACAAAGUAACAUUGAAACGAAAUCUAACAUAAUAUUAGAAAAACAAUAUAUUUCAGUAAAAUAACUUACUUCGUCGUGGCGUUAUUGAUCAAGCAUCCAGGUUGUGUGUGUCUGAUUGUGGCUCGUUGGAAUCAUCUCAACACUUAUUUUUACAUUGUAAUUUUUUUGGAUCUGUUUGGCACUUCAUUUAUAGGUGGUUAGGCUUGUCAGUGGCUGCCCCUUUAUAGGUGUCGGAUCAUUUUACUCAGUUUACCGGUAGCGGUGGUACCACAAAGGUGCACCGCUCUAUUCUUCAGGUUAUUUGGUUUGUUGUAGUUUGAGAAAUAUGGAAGGAAAGAAACAAUAGGUUGUUUAAUGUCAAAGAUUGCUCGGUUAUCUAGGUGGUCGAUAAGAUUAAGUCGCUUGCUUUUACGUGGUUGAAGACGAAGUAUAUUUCUCUUCCCUUCAAUUACCAUGGGUGAUGGCUUAGUCCGUUUACCAUUUUAGGCAUAGGCUAAGAGUUUCUUUUCUGUUUUUUAUGCUCUGUUCAGGCAACUAUUGUAUAUAUUGUUCUUGACUCUGAUGUCCUUUCCUGAGUACGUCUUGUGCUCGAAAAGACUCUUUUGAGGUAGUAUUAUAAUUCAUUUUAGCUUCUUAAAAAAAAAGUAAAAUAAUUAUAAAAUAAGUAGGAAAUAAAAUUUCAACCUUGUAGACCACCAUUUGAAGAUCUUCAAGAAAACAUUAUGUGUGGUGAAGAAGGACUUUAUAUUUUUUUUAUUAAUAUUAAUACGAAAUCAAACAAUGCAGGUUGCCUGUAAGAAGACUUUUUCAAUUAGAAGACCAAUAACACAACAAGUAUGAAAAUGACUAGUAUUGAGUAACUUUGUGCAGGGAAAGUCAUCAUGUUUUUGUCUUUUUUUAGCAAAAACAAAGUUAAUUCAUUUCAUUCAUAAUUAAAAAGUAUAAAGUAGUCGGUACAUCACAAAAAAUAUGGGGGCUAGGGUUGGAUAAAGAUGCUCUAGCAAUACUAUGAGCAACUUUAUUAGCGUGCCUCCUAACAUACGACACAACAAAGUAGUUUCUAGAAAGUAAGAGACUUCUACAAUGAGAAACAAGGUCACCAAACUCGUUAGCAAGAAUAGAGGUGGUGUGGAGCGCAUCAGAUAAAACUUUGGAAUCAGUUUCGAACAUAACAUCUCGCAUGUCAUUUAAGAUGGCCACCUUAAUAGCUUCUAGUAAGCCUAAUGAUUCAUCUUCAAGAACGGUGGUAGAAGAUGCAAAGUAAUAUGAUUUUCCUAGCAAGAAUAGGCCUGUAGAGUCUCGAAAACACAUACUGUAUCCCAUAAUGGAAUUACCGUUGAAAGAGGCUGCGUCAACAUUACACUUGAUCAUGCCUGGUGACGGUUUGAUCCAAGGUUGUUCCGUAUGAUCACUUCGGGACCGUACUUUUCCUCUUUGCAUACAUCCCCAUUCAACUAGUGUGUCUUUAGCUCAGCUCACAAUAGCAAAAGGAGAGGUGUCAAUAUCUUCCCAAAGUUUUGUAUUACGACUCUUGCAUAAGCUCCAGAGGGUCAUUGUCGUUAGAGUUAGCUGCUGCACUUGUAACCUGUCAAAUAAAGCAAAUAACAUUGCUGUAAAAUUGUUAGCAGAUGGGAGGAGCGCUUGGAUGGUGCCAUUGAGCCCAAGUAGAUUCCAACAUUGAUUUACCGUAAGAUCUUCAAAGUUUUGCAACGGCAGGGAUGACGGUUUUAGGGAAGGAAGGUUUGAUGUAAGAUUUUUACAUGUAUUAAAACUAUUUACACGUGAGUAUAAUAGGAUCGUUUCCGCAGGGAGUUGCGUAUUUCAUAAGCAUUUUCACAAUAUUUGUCACAUUAAGUGUUUGGGUAUAAAUUGUUUUUUUGUGUAAAACUAUUUUCCUAAUCUACAUAAAAGUAAAACGAGAAGAGAUAGGGCUAUUCCGCUUGCGGUCAGAGACAUCAACCAAGCGUAAUAGCUGCAAUCUCUCGAUCGAUUAACGGAUUCUAGCUUUUUAAAACGAUAUUAUCACAAUCACUCGAAAAUAUCAUUCGUGACCAAAUGAUAUCGUUAUUUCUAAGGGAUCGUUUAAACAUCGAUUUCCCAAACAUUUAAACGAUCACAAAGUCGAUUGGAUAGUUUAAUCGACAAUUUCCAAACCGAUUAAAUUACCCAAAAGCAUUAAGUUCUAGAUUAAAAGUGAUUAUUAAAUAUUAACAUCCAUGUCUAGAGUGAUAACUUAAGAUAGAUUGUUAUUCUAUUUCUAGAUUCAAAAGUAUGUGUCCAUAUCAUUUUGAAUCUCAAUAAACAAUAAAAGCAAGAAUAACAACAAUAUUGAAUAAAUAGCUAGAACCAUAUAUUAAUGAUCAAAAGAUUACAUAAUAGCUUGUUUGAAUACCUCAAAACUACAAGAGUAGAUGUAGCUACAUAUGUCUAUGAUAGCUUUGCAAACGAUGAAGAAAAGAUGAAGAUUUCAUGACAAGAUCCAUGAUCUCUCAACAAAUCUUGGCUUGAAUCUACUUCUUGAAGGUGAAAAACACAAGAAGGGGGGGGGUUGAAUUGUGUUUUCUUUUUCUCUUAAAAAAGGAUUCUUCUUCUGAUAAAACUUCAGAAGCAGUUUGAUUGCUUCUGAUGAAAUGAUCAGAGUCAGAUUGCAGCGGAAAAGAACAGAGCAGAGAAAAGAAAGACAAAGACACAGGCAGUUAUCCUGGUUCCUUCCACAACACGGAAGUAGUCCAGUCCCCCUUGCACUUCCAAGGAGAUUUCACUAUAAUCACAAGAUUACAACUGCUCAAUACUUUCAAAGUAUGAGACUUCACAAAACAAUGCUCAAGCACACACGCAAGAGUCUUCCAAUGCUCAAGCACUAAGCAAGAGACUUCUAAUGCUCAAGCACGCAGGCAAGAGACUUCUAAUCAAACAAAAAUACAGAGAAUUGAGUUUGAAUUGAACACUUGAUAUACAAUCAGUGGUGUUCACAAUACAAUACAGAAAAGACUCUAGACUUUGAAUUUCUAAGAUGUAUCAAAUCAGUGCAGAAAUUCAGUGUGCUUUUUAGAAUCAAAUUGACAGAGUUUUGGCGCUUUUAAACUUAUGUAUCUCUCUCUAUUAUCUUCAAGUCUUCACUCCUUUAUAUAGAGGCGUGAAAGAGACGUUGAGAUAAUCAGCACGUCUAAAGAGUCGUUUGAAAUCCUUUGAUUAUCCACCAGUGAUCCUUUGCCUGAUUUGGGUGUAGUCCUUUGAAGAAUAAACUUCAAAUUCAUUCCCAUCUUGAGUGUACAAUUCUGCAGGCAUGGCUGUUGUUUUGUCUUGUAGCGUAGACAGAAAACAGAGUAGUGGAGGUAGUGGUUGUACACUUGUACUUUGUCAACUCUAUUAACGAGAGACAAGAGCUCAGUGCUAUCCAUAUAUCCGUUGAUACCUCCCUUUCAAUUCUUCGUUCUUCUUUGAUAAGACUGAAUUGAAAAUCAGCUACUUUGAAUCUUCAGUUUGAUUAAAGGAUCAAACGUAGCUUCUGGUGAAGAUAUUGCUUCUGAUGAAAACUUUUGCUUCUGAUGACCUUCUGCUUCUGAUGACGUCAUCUCUUCAGGAGCAGUUUAGCUUCAGGAGCAGUUUUCUUCAGAUGCUCAGAAUUUCUUUUUUCUUUCCAUUGUUCUUCCAAGACCUAUUGAAAUAACUUAAGUAGCCUUUGGUCCUGUACACUUGAACAAUUAUUAGUAAUAACCAAUUGACAAUUUUUAAUACCUUGUUAUCAUCAAAACUCAAUAAGGUUCAUUGUGAAACACACUUUGUUCCAACAAUCUCCCCCUUUUUGAUGAUGACAAACAAUAGUAUUUAAAAUGUUCAAUUGUUGUUGAUCUAAUUAAUAAGUUGACUACUGGGACAGAGGUUUGUAAGCUCCCCCUGAGUCUAAUAGAUCUUUAAGGUGAGGUUUGUAAGCUCCCCCUAAGUUCUAUUCUUAUUAAUUAAAUUUCAAUAAAAUACUUAUAAAAUCAAAUCAGAAGUAUUUAAAAGAAAUUUAGAAGUGGUUAUAGUAGGGCUCAGUGCCUUAAAAAAAUACUAUACAUUUACUCCCCCUUUUGUCAUCAACAAAAAGAAUAGAAACAAAAGAAAGAGUAUCAGAGCAAGCAGCAUUAAAAACAGUAAAUAUCAUCAGAGUUAAAGCUUGUAAAACAUAUUGAAGGUGAAAAAGCACAAGAUUCAGAAACAAUGAUAAUAUAUAUAAAGAAAGAUUAAGAUACAAAGACACAGCUACUAAGAACAAAAGUAAAAAACAAGCUAGAGUUGGGUGUGCAACUAAGGUUGGGCUUGCUUAUACAACUGUUCUAAGAGAUACUUGAUCUGAUCAUCCUUCUUCUGAAGUAGCUCAUCCUUUUCCCUCAUUCUUCUUUUAUAUCCAGCCUGAAUUCUAGCAGCCCUAGUGAUGUACUCUUCUUCUGGAUAGAAAGGAGUGAUGUCCAGCAGAGGCACAAAAUUCAGCUCUUUCUCCUUAGCUGCUUCAUGCAUAUCAUCCAAAAGCUUCUUCAGCAUAGCAGAGUGAGAUGACACACAUUUAGUUCUAAGCUAAUCCAGCAGCUCAUCAAAGCUCUUCUGUAGAUCCAUCCACUGAUCAUAAUAGUGAAUAGGAGGUGCAGGAACUGUUCUGCGAAGAAUCAGUGCCUGAAUCUCAUCACUAAGUCUGAUCAGUUGUUCCUCUAUAUACUCAGACUCCAGGAUAUGGUCAGGGAUGGGUGAAGGUUCAGUUUGAGUUGUAUUUGAUGUGGAAGGUUGGUCAGAGGUUAAGUCUAUUAUAGUGGGUGAAUCUGGUUGUUGUUGUUCUGUUGUUUGGUCAGAAGGUAUAUGUUGGUCAGAAGUUGUUUGGUCAGGAGCAACUUGUUCAGAAGCAGUUUGCUCCUGAACAGUUUGCUCAGGGAUGGUUUGGGUUUCUGUUUGGGUUUCUGUUUGGGUUUCCAAGACAGUCUUUUCAGAAACUGUCUUAGAGGCCUUAGUGGGUGUUGGUUGCAUUUCACCACCUAGAUGUUUUUCUAAGUUGUGAAGGGUUGAGGAUUCUUGGUGUUGGGGGGUUUCUGAAGUAGUUGCAUCUGAAGCUACUUCAGAGGCUUUUUGUGGAGAUUGGUUAUUUGGUGAGUUUGUUUGGGUAGGUUCAGGUUGUUGUAUACUAACAGGUUCUGGAGUAUCUGGAUAUAGUGGAUGAGUAGUAGGCAAAUUGAAUUUCUCACAAAGUUUUAUCCUAUUUUUUGAAAAUUCUAUUUGAGUACUCUCAUAGUCAAGUGUUCCAUACUCUGUUAGUUUGGUAGGUUUGGUUUUUAGAAGCUUGUUUAUAUGUUGGCUAAGGGGUUGGUCAUCUGAUUCUGUGGAUGAUGAAGAGGGUGAAGAGGGUAGAGAUAGAGACUGAGUAUUAGUUGGAGCUUUAGAUGGAUUACCUGAGGACUGAGCUUCUGGAUGAAUUGCUUCUGGAGCUGUUGAAAUUGGAUCUGAUGAAGUUGCUCCUGAAGCUUGCUUAUUCUUCAAGGCUUGAGAAAGCAGAGUUGCUCCAUACUGAACUGUUUCUAACUCAGACGCUAAAGCAGCAAUGUCAGGAGUAGGCACAUACCCUGCAGCCUUGAGACGCUCAUCCCUUUCUUUCUCAAACACUUCCUUCAACCUUUUCUUUUCUGCUAUCUUGGAUGCAGAAACCUCUCUAGCGUACUGCCUCAUUUCUUCAGUCAUUUCAAAACUGGGCAUGACUAUGGGCUCAGAAGUUGCAGUCCUUUUUGCCUUCUUGGGGCUUGAGUCUUCAUCCCAGUUCUCUUCCAGUUCUUUCAACAUUUCUUCCCUUCUUCCUUCAGCUGUCUUCAGAUUUCUUGUUAAAUUAGACCUCUUCCUUUGGAUGGUCUGAAGAGCAGCUUCUCUUUUAUUUUUGGGACUUUAAGGCUUUUCAGAAGCAGCUUGAUCAGAAGCAGCUUGUUCAGAACCAGCUUGUUCAGAAGCAGGCUGUUCUGCUGUUUCUUGAGUACUCCUUGUCCUUUUUCUGAUAAGAGGGACAUCAUCCAAAUCCUCCACUUCCUCAAGAAUGGUGGACAUAGCAGAUUUUUCCUUCUUAGCUUUCUUAUGCUUCUGAGCACCCACCUCAGUAGCAUCUUCAGCAAGGUAUUCUUCCUUGGUGAUCUGCUUCUUUUUAGAUUUUCUGCCUUUGGCCACAGGCAGAUCACCACCAUACAUUUCUUCUGGGAUAUCUUUCAGGCUGAUUUUCUUGUUGUAGCUCUUGUAGUAGUCCAAGAUGUAGGCCCUCUGCACAUCCAGGGGAUCUUUCUUGCAGAUAGGGAUGUGAUGAGUGACUAGAUCAGAUAUGACAUCAGAUUCAUGCAUAUCUGUAUCUAGUUUCUUGCAAGUUGAAAUCAGCCUCAUCUUGACUAGAGUUGCCCCAUUGAUUAUUUUUCCUGUGACUGCUCCCAGCUUCUGAUUAUCAUAAAUACCCACGUCUUUCAGGGCACUUAGGAGUCCUCCUUCUUGAAAGAUUAUGGAGAGCAGCCUUCCAUAGGGAACAAACUUCCUGUUCUCCAUCUGGCUCUUCUUGAGUUCCUUGAUCAUGUAUUUAAACAUAUACUUGGGAACAUUCAUUGUUGUUUCCUGAGAGAUGGUGUGAUGCAGAAAGACUUUGUGACCAAGUGAAGGUUGAUCAUUUCCUCCACCUUUGGGAAAAAUGUUUUCAUUUUGGAUCUUCAGCAGCAUUUUCUUUUCCAUGCUUAAGGUGCUGUAAGGCUUAGCAUCCUUUGAUCCGUAGAUAGUGUUGUUUACUAUCUCCUUCCAUGGGCUUGUUCUGGGGUUAGGAAUCUCUUCUCCAUCGUAUGUCCCAGAAGCAUCCCUUCUCAUGGCUUGAGCAAUCACAUGCUCAUUGAUUGUUACAGGAAUCCCCAUGACGUUUGAUCUAAUCUCAGUCCCAGUGAAGGCGAGUAGACCCAUUUCUUCUCUGGUUUUUCCCUCCAAAGUAGGAUCAACCAGAAUCAUCUGAGCUUCUUCCUGUUUAGCAGCAACUUUGUCAAACACUGAAGCUCUUACCCAGAAUUGUCUGACAAGCACUUCAUAAGUAGGACCGUUGAGAAGACUGAAGUAACUCAUCAGCUUCUGCUUUUUGUAGAAUCUUACCAAGUCGCAUCCAUGAUGAGUUAGAGAAGUGAAAUCCACUGGAUUUUCCGCUUGAAUGAUUAGAUCCCAUUCCUCAAUCGACAUAGUUCUUCCUUUGAUUUCAUAAGCAGGAGUAUCUAUAUCCAUAUUCGAUGAAGAACCACCGGCAGAACUUGAAGAUGCCAUUGAUUUUAAGUAGAAUUAGGGUUCUAAGGUGUUUUGAGAGGUUGAGAGAAUGUGCUUACUUACACAGAGGGUUGAGAAGAAAUUAGAAAGUGUUUGUUGUGAAGUGAGAAGUGUGUGAAAUGACUUAGUGUUUUUUAUUAAAACGUUUGUAAUUCAGAAGGGACAAACAAACACAGCAUUAAUGACAAAUUGGGGGCGCGUGUAAGUAUGUUAAAAAGCGAAUAAAACAUCAUUGCCCUUUUUGUUAUACUCCAAUACAAAUAGACCACGUCAGAGACUCUUCAGAAAACUACUUUUUGGGUAAUGGGACAGCUGUUUACAUAAAGUAACUACCAACGUUCCCACUAACCAAGCUAUUCAGAAGCAAAGAAUAACACUUCUGAAGUUUUAGUGCUGACGUCAUCUUCAGAAGCACAUUUUCCUCAGAACCUCAGUUAAGAGCUUCUGAUGAACCAAAAUGCUCCUGAAUAAACUUCAGAACCAAACUUCUUAUUCAGAGGCAAGCAAUUUUUCAAUCAGACACAAAAUGCAUGUUCAAAUUUUUCUUAAUAAAAUCAAAUCUUUCAACAGACAAAGGUUUUGUAAAUAUAUCAGCCCAUUGAUGUUCAGUAUCAAUGAAUUGUAUAUCUAAAAUUCCUUUUUGAACAUAGUCUCUGAUAAAAUGGUGUUUGAUUUCAAUAUGCUUGGCUCUUGAAUGUAGAAUUGGAUUCUUUGACAAACAAAUAGCAGCAGUAUUAUCACAAUAAAUGGGAAUACUGUUAGCAUUGAUCUGAUAGUCUUCCAACUGAUGUUUCAUCCAAAGUAGUUGUGUGCAACAACUUGCAGCUGAAAUGUACUCUGCUUCUGCUGUAGACAUAGCAAUAGUUGCUUGUCUUUUGCUUGCCCAGGAUAUCAGAUUCUCUCCCAGGAAUUGACAAUUUCCACUGGUUGAUUUUCUUUCAAUCCUAUCACCAGCAUAAUCAGCAUCACAGAAUCCAAUCAACUUAUAAUCUAGGGAUUUCCUAUACAGGAGUCCAAGAUUAGUUGUUCCUUUCAGAUACCUGAAGAUUCUCUUAACUGCAGUUAAAUGAGAUUCUCUAGGAUCUGAUUGAAAUCUUGCACACAAGCAUACACUGAAUAAAAUAUCAGGUCUAGAUGCAGUGAGGUAUGACAGAGAACCAAUCAUACCUCUGUAUAGCUUCUGGUCUACUACUGUUCCAGUAUCUUCUUUGCUUAAGGUGCAGGUUGGAUGCAUUGGAGUGUUCAUCACUUUACAAUCUUCUAGCUUGAACUUCUUCAGAAGCUCCUUUGUAUAUUUUGUUUGAUGAACAUAUACUCCUUCUUUACUUUGGUUGAUUUGAAUUCCCAGAAAGAAUUUCAAUUCUCCCAUCAUACUCAUUUCAAAUUCAUCCUGCAUUAACUUAGAAAAUUCUUUGCAAAGAGAUGCAUUAGUAGAACCAAAUAUUAUAUCAUCAACAUAUAUUUGCACAAUCAAAAUAUCUUUCUUAAGAGUCCUUCUGAAGAGUGUUGUGUCAACUUGUCCUCUUUCAAAAUCAUUUUUAAUUAAGAAAUUACUUAGUCUAUCAUACCAAGCUCUGGGAGCUUGUUUCAAGCCAUAUAGUGAUUUCUUAAGUUUAUAAACAUGGUCAGGAUGCUUAAGAUCCUCAAACCCAGGAGGUUGUUUAACAUACACUUCUUCUUCAAUGACACCAUUAAGAAAAGCACUUUUGACAUCCAUUUGAUAUAAUAUUAUGCCAUGAUUAAUUGCGUAGGAUAGAAGUAACCUGAUUGCUUCCAAUCUUGCAACUGGAGCAAAUGUUUCAGUGUAAUCAAUGCCUUCUUGUUGACUGUAGCCUUGAGCAACAAGUCUGGCUUUGUUUCUGGUUACUUCUCCUUGUUCAUUCAGCUUGUUUCUGAAUACCCAUUUUGUUCCAAUAAUGUUCUUCUGAGAAGGUUUGGGUACCAGAUCCCACACAUCAUUCCUUUGGAAUUGAUUUAGCUCUUCUUGCAUAGCUAAUAUCCAUCCAUCAUCUGAGAGAGCUUCUUCAACAGUUUUAGGCUCAAUUAUUGAAAGCAGUCCUAUUAAAGACUCUUCUUGUCUAAAAUGUGAUCUUGUUCUUCUAGGACUAUCUUUGCUUCCAAUGAUUAACUCCUCAGGAUGUGAAGAUUUGUGCUUGAAUUUAGGUUGAAUAACCUGCUGAGUGUUAUCUUGAAAGUCCUCAGAAGCACUUUCAUUCUGUACUUUUGGGCUAGGUUCUGCUUCUGAAUUAGACUCAGCUUCUGGAGUGAUUUCAGCUUCUGGACAAGAUUCAACUUCUGUAUACUUUUCAGAAUCAGAAGGUUGAUCAGAUUCUGAUGCAUCUUCAGAAUCAGUUGUACCUGCAUUACUUUCACUUUGCUCUGAAGUUUUACUUCCAGGCUCUCUAUCAUCAAAUUUUACAUGCAUAGAUUCUUCAACACGUUGUGUUUCUGAAUUAUACACUCUGUAUGCCUUUGACCUUUCAGAGUAACCUAAAAAGAUUCCUCUUUGAGCCUUGGCAUCAAAUUUCUUCAGAUAGUCUUUAGUGUUUAAGAUGUAACAAGUACAUCCAAACUGAUGAAAGUAAGAGAUAUUGGGUCUUCUUCCUUUAAAGAGUUCAUAUGCUGUUUUCUCCAACAUAGGUCUGAUAUAGAUCCUAUUUUGAAUAUAACAUGAAGUAUUGACUGCUUCUGCCCAAAAAUGUUUAGCUAAGUUGUUUUCAUGGAUCAUGGUUCUGGCCAUUUCUUGUAAGGUUCUGUUCUUUCUUUCUACAACCCCAUUUUGUUGUGGAGUUCUAGGAGAAGAAAACUCAUGGAGAAUCCCAUGUUUUUCACAAAAAAGUUCAAAUGGCUCAUUUUCAAAUUCUCCACCAUGAUCACUUCUGACUUUCAAAAUUUUCAAUUCUUUUUCAGAUUGUAUUUGAGUGCAGAAGCUGCUAAACACUUCACAUGCAUAGUCUUUACUUUUAAUGAAUUUUACCCAAGUCCAUCUGCUGUAAUCAUCAACAAUGACUAAUCCGUAUUUACUUCCAUAUAAAGAUGCAGUGUUAACUGGACCAAAAAGAUCAAUAUGGAGUAAUUCUAAGGGUCUGGAGGUUGAUACAAUGUCUUUAGAUUUGAAAGAACUUUUCACAAUUUUCCCUUUCUGACAUGCACCACAAAGUGCAUCUGAAUGAUAAUCAAUGUUAGGCAAUCCUUUGACCAGUUGUAACUUGCUAAUUUUAGAAAUUAAUCUCCAAUUAGCAUGUCCCAACCUUUUAUGCCAUACCCAUUUUUUAUCAUUCAUUGACAGAAGGCAAACUACCUUCUGAUCAGCCAGAUCAGAGAAAUUUAUUUUAUAGACAUUCUCAACUCUCUUUCCCUUGAAUGUAAUGGAUUUGUCAUCCUUGUUGACUAGUGUGCAGUUGGUCUUACUGAACGUUACAUCAUACCCAUUGUCACAAAAUUGACUAAUGCUCAAUAGGUUAUGCUUCAGACCAUCUACUAGCCACACAUUAUUAAUUGAGAUGGAGGAAUUACCAAUAGUACCUGUACCAAUGAUCUUUCCAGUUUGGUUGCCACCAAACUUCACUUCUCCUCCAUCUUUCAUUGUAAGGGUAAGGAACAAAGCUUUCUCUCCAGUCAUGUGCCUUGAACAUCCGCUGUCUAGGUACCAUGACCUUUGUUUCUCUCUUGCCCUUAAGCACACCUGCAUUUUUGGCCAAUUCAGAUUUAGGUACCCAUAUCUUCAUGGGUCCUUUUGGGUUAGUUUUGGAGGUUUUACUUUUCCUCCCUUGUACCUUAGGGUGAAUGCUGAGUGGCUUCUGAUCAUUCAAUACUUUAGGUUUGACACCUUUUGGUAUUGUUUUCUCAGAAGCAGUAGCUGCUUUGUUCUUCUGAUCCUUUUGUUUUGGAAUUUUAGAUUCUGGUUUAAUCAGAUUCUGAUGAACAGGUUCUGAUCUUUUCAGAAUUUUAAUCUUUUGACUCUUAGGAUCAGAUUUUGUCAUUACCUUGAUCUUAAGAUUCUUUGGCUUUGAUGUGAUCUUAGCCUGUGAACCUGAAGCUUCAGGUUUUGACUGAACAGCAGUUAUAGCAUUUGUACCUUCAGGCACAAAGGUGGAUUUCAAUCCAUCCUUGAUACAAUCACAGUAGCUCUUGAGACUGUAUUCUUUGGAUUUCUCCUCAGAAUAUCCAAUCCCUUUGCCUUUGUUCUUGUAUGUGCUGUAGAUCAUAGAAGCAACUUUGCUUCUGUCUAUUCCAGCCAUAAUAAAAUCAUCCAAGGCAAUCUCAUGUUUAUUGCCUGAACCUUUAUCACAUUUUUCUUGUAGCUUCUGACAAAGACUCUUGAGUCUAUCUUCAUAUGUUGUUGAUAUGAGGUUAAACCCUUUGAGUUCUUCUUCAGAAGCUUUCAGUUCCAAUAGAGUUGAUUUUUGUUGUUUCAUCAAAUCAACAUAUUUUUCUUUUAAAUCUGUCAACUCAUUGGUUCUGUGUUCAAACAGUGAUAAAAGUUCUUUUAGAGAAUCAACAAGUUCUUGUCUAGGGAUUUUGGAAUAUACCUCAUUUUCAUCUUCUGAAUCUGAUUCAGCUUCUGAUACUGCUUCUGAUGAUACUGUUGCCACUAACCCAACGGCUGCCUUAGCAUCAUCAUCAGCUUCUUCUUUAUCAGAACCAGAUUCACUAUCCAAAUCUUCCCAGGUCGCCAUCAAGCUCUUUUUGAUUUGCUUUCUGAAUUUACUGGAGUUGAAGCUUGAUUUCUUGGAUUUGCCUUUAAACUUCUCCUUCUGAAGAUCAGGGCAAUCAGCAAUGAAAUGACCAGGCUUCUUACAAUUGAAGCAUCCCUUCUGAUCUUCUUUCUUGAAGUUCUUGUAGCUACCUCUCUUGCUCAAAAAUUUCUUCUGCUUCCUUGCCAGAUACUCAAGCUUGUUGGACAGCAUAGCCAUCUUUACAGAUUGAUCUUCAUCAGAAUCUCCAUCAGGUGAUUCUUCUUCAGAUUCACUGGCUUUGUAGGCUUUGGAAGACUUUGAGGUCUUUCCUUUAGAUGGUAAAGCAAUGGAUUUACUCUUCUUAGAGGUUUCAUGCUCAUUUAAACUCAUUUCAUGCACUUUGAGUGAGCUAACAAGAUCUUCAACACUUAAAGUAUUUAGAUCCUUAGCUUCCUCAAUAGCAGUUACUUUGGGUCUCCAUCUUGAAGGUAAGCUUCUCAAAAUCUUACUAACAUGAUCAGAAGCAACAUAGCUUUUCUUCAGUAUCUGCAAUCCAGAAACUAAAGUUUGAAAUCUUGAGUACAUUUCUUCUAUACUCUCAUCAUCCUUCAUUCUGAAAAGUUCAUACUGAUGAACUAGCAUCAAAGCUUUAGCCUCUUUUACUUUCUUGCUGCCUUCAAAGUUUGCACAUAGAGAAGCAAACAUAGCCUUCGCAGUAGAUUUGUCACUCAUUUUCAUGUAUUCGGUGCGAGGUAUAGAAGCCACAAUGAUUCCUCUUAUCUUGUGAUGUUUCUUAUAAAGCUUCUUCUGAGCAGGAGUAUGUAUUCUUCUGUCUAUAGCAGCUCCUUCUUCAUCCAAAUCCAGAUCAUCAACUCCAUCUUCCAGUAUAUCCCAUAGCUCUUCAUCCAAUCCCAUGAUAAAGCUGUACAUAUUAGUUUUCCACCAUGAAAACUCUUCUGGAUCUCCAUUAAACUUUGGAGCUUUUCCAGAGUCUGUUUUCUUGUCAGCAGUAUCAUAGUCAUGCUUGACACUUGUGUAUUUUGUAGUAACUGAUUCCUCAUCUCCAGACAUGUUUUUCUAAUAGAUCUUGAACUGUAACACGGUUAAGUGCUGUGAUAACAGAGCAAGCUCUGAUACCAAUUGAAGGUGAAAAACACAAGAAGGGGGGGGGGUUGAAUUGUGUUUUCUUUUUCUCUUAAAAAAGGAUUCUUCUUCUGAUAAAACUUCAGAAGCAGUUUGAUUGCUUCUGAUGAAAUGAUCAGAGUCAGAUUGCAGCGGAAAAGAACAGAGCAGAGAAAAGAAAGACAAAGACACAGGCAGUUAUCCUGGUUCCUUCCACAACACGGAAGUAGUCCAGUCCCCCUUGCACUUCCAAGGAGAUUUCACUAUAAUCACAAGAUUACAACUGCUCAAUACUUUCAAAGUAUGAGACUUCACAAAACAAUGCUCAAGCACACACGCAAGAGUCUUCCAAUGCUCAAGCACUAAGCAAGAGACUUCUAAUGCUCAAGCACGCAGGCAAGAGACUUCUAAUCAAACAAAAAUACAGAGAAUUGAGUUUGAAUUGAACACUUGAUAUACAAUCAGUGGUGUUCACAAUACAAUACAGAAAAGACUCUAGACUUUGAAUUUCUAAGAUGUAUCAAAUCAGUGCAGAAAUUCAGUGUGCUUUUUAGAAUCAAAUUGACAGAGUUUUGGCGCUUUUAAACUUAUGUAUCUCUCUCUAUUAUCUUCAAGUCUUCACUCCUUUAUAUAGAGGCGUGAAAGAGACGUUGAGUAAUCAGCACGUCUAAAGAGUCGUUUGAAAUCCUUUGAUUAUCCACCAGUGAUCCUUUGCCUGAUUUGGGUGUAGUCCUUUGAAAAAUAACUUCAAAUUCAUUCCCAUCUUGAGUGUACAAUUCUGCAGGCAUGGCUGUUGUUUUGUCUUGUAGCGUAGACAGAAAACAGAGUAGUGGAGGUAGUGGUUGUACACUUGUACUUUGUCAACUCUAUUAACGAGAGACAAGAGCUCAGUGCUAUCCAUAUAUCCGUUGAUACCUCCCUUUCAAUUCUUCGUUCUUCUUUGAUAAGACUGAAUUGAAAAUCAGCUACUUUGAAUCUUCAGUUUGAUUAAAGGAUCAAACGUAGCUUCUGGUGAAGAUAUUGCUUCUGAUGAAAACUUUUGCUUCUGAUGACCUUCUGCUUCUGAUGACGUCAUCUCUUCAGGAGCAGUUUAGCUUCAGGAGCAGUUUUCUUCAGAUGCUCAGAAUUUCUUUUUUCUUUCCAUUGUUCUUCCAAGACCUAUUGAAAUAACUUAAGUAGCCUUUGGUCCUGUACACUUGAACAAUUAUUAGUAAUAACCAAUUGACAAUUUUUAAUACCUUGUUAUCAUCAAAACUCAAUAAGGUUCAUUGUGAAACACACUUUGUUCCAACACUUCUAACUACCUUGCUUUGUGUUUCUCUCUAGAAAAGCCCUAGUCUCUCUCUAAAAACCAGAAAAAUGUAAAAGACAAUGUAAUAAUCUGGAAAGAGGAGAAAAAACUAUUUAUAUGAGCUGAAAACGUGUCGUUCGCUUAAGCGAAGAAGCGUUCGCUUAAGCGAACUUCCAGAAAAUCUUCUAUUGGCCAUUGAGGAGCUGCCACGUGGUCCUUAUCUUCUGAAGAUUGAUGAACUUCGCUCAAGCGAACUGGGAGCGAACUUGUGAGCGAACUUCCUGGAGCUCUCUGGAACUGGUUCGCUUAAGCGAACUUGAGGUCGCUUAAGCGAACUGGCCUUUCUUCAUGAGCGAACUGGAAGCGUGCUAGUAAGCGAACUAAUCCGGUGCUCUCUGUAACAGGUUCGCUUAAGCGAACAGGGGUUCGCUUAAGCGAACUGACCUUGGUUCAAGAUCUCCCUUCUUUUGGUCUUUGCUUGUCAUUUCCUGCAUAAAUUGGGUAGAAUCAGGCAUGUAAGGCAUAAAUGGUAAAAAUACACUCAAAUGGUAACUUUUCCUUAGAUAACUUGCAAAACAAGUCACUAAUUUGCCUAAUUUAACACAUGAAAUAUGUUACUUUUGAGCACUUAUCAAGGUUGCAGAUCCAAGGUAUUCUCCACACGUUGAUUUUAGAAACAUCACCAAUCUUCCAUCUAUGGCCUAUGAUAAGUAAAUUUUGGGUACUCCAAAGACUCCUCCAUGUAUAGCUUGGAUUAUAGCCAAGGUUGGCAUCCAAAAAAUCCCGUCGGAGAAAAUAUUUAACUUUAAAAACUCUAGCAAGUAAAGAGGUAGAGUUGGUGAGAAGCUUCCAACUUUGCUUACCAAGCACUUUGCUUACCAAGCAUUGAGAGGGAGGGAAAGUCAUAAUGACUUUCUAUUUCGUAUAUUACUUUCUCUCUAAUCUUAACUGUUAUUUAUUUUUCAUGAAACACUAUAAUAUAUAUUAAACUCAUCAUAACUUUUCCUCCAUUCAAUCUCAAUGAUCAUCUCAAAAUGGAUGUGUUAGAGCAAGUGUAUUUAGCAUUAACUCUUUUUGGUAAACUUCAAAAACAAAAUUAAAUAACAGAAAUUAUAUACACACUCCCUCCCUCGUCCACAAUGAGUGAUCUGUUUAGAAAAUAAAUUGUCUCAAAAGGAUUGAUUCUUUUACUUUUCCAGACAAAAUUAUUUGUUAGUCUUUCAAUUCUACCAUCUAAUUAAUACUACCUUCGUAACUCUAAAAUCAAUAUAUUACAUGUAUAUUUAUGGUAAUGAGAUUACAUUAAUACAAAAUAUUUCUUCCGUUCCAAAUUAUAUGUCGCUUUGAAAUUUUUUUUGUCUCAAAUUAUAUGUCGCUUUAAGAUACCAAUGAAACAUUAAUAUUAUUUUUCCUAUUAUAUCCUUAACUAUUUAUUACUCUUUCUUUUUUCAAUUCUUUAAUUUAUCUUUUCAAUUUAUUUAAUAAGGACAAUUUUGUAAAAUAACUCGUAAUAUCUUUUUUUCAUACUAAAUUAAUUACAUUUCUUAAUACAUGUGAAAUUGUCAAAACGUCAUAUAAUUUAGAACGGAAUAAGUAAAAGACAUUUUAGUAAAACUAUAAAAAAAAAUUUUGACAAAAUUUUAGUAAAACUAUAAUCUCACUCAUUUAUUUAUACAUUUUUAUUUUAUUUUUACAGAAAGUUUAUACAUUUUCUAAAUCAGUGUGAAAUGAUCAAAAUGACCACUCAUUAUAAAAUAGAGGGAAUAAUAGGUAUCCCACGCUUAAAGCAUGGUGACCUUCAAAAACGUUUAAAUAAUAGAGACUUCAUAUAACCCAAAAAAAUGUAUUUAAUAGAGACGACAUAUAAUAUAUAAUAGGAAAUUUGUACCAUAAGAUACAAGAUAAAAAUCUAAAAAUUAAAUUGAAAAAUAAAUGUUUUAUUGAAAAAAAAAACAAGUUUUUAAGAUAAUCAAUGCACAAUUUCUAAAAUUAUAUGAGUAAAUUACACUCCUCUCCCCUCAAAGAUGUUUGAAUUACACUCUCCUCCCCUCUUAAGUUAAAAUAUACACUCCCAUCCCCUCUUAUUCAAAACAUAUUAGAAAAAAUUUCACUCCCCUCCCCUAAGAGAAGCUUGAAUUACAUUCUCCUCCACUCUUAUGUUAAAAUCUACACUUUACUCCCUCAAUAUUCUUUUUUAUUAUUUCUAAUAUUCUAGCAAAAAUUAAUAAUUUAACACACUUAAAAAAAUAGUAUUGCGGGUCUAUUUUAAUAUAAUAAAAAAUUGAAUACAUAUUUUUCGCUAUUUUUUAUUCACAAUUUCAUUAACAUGUAGUUUUAAACCCUAUUAUAAAAUAUGAAACAAGCCAAAACAAAAUUAAAAUAUGUGAAAAAUUACUAAAAUCAUUAAAGCAUGAUUAUUUAAAAGUUAAUUUUAUACUCUAAUUUAUAAAAUCAAUAGCAAUAUAUUUAAAUUUAAUUAUCAUAGACAUUUAAACUAGGCUUAAUUACAUUUUUGGUCCUCUAACUAUUUAGUUGGAAUCGGAUUGGUCCUCUAACUAAAAAUUGAUUUAUUUUGGUCCUCUAAGUUUCUCACCAUUACUACAUUUAUUCUUUUCUGUUAGUUUUAUUCAAAUAAACGUUAGGGUUUGUGUUAUGUGGGUAUCUGACCUCCUAUUUCACACAUACAUAUGAACCAUAACAGUUACCAAUAAUAUCGGUCACUAUUUGAUCAUAAUUCUUAUCAAGGAAUAGAACCAAAAUGAUGCUAAUAAAUAAAGUUAGAGGACCCACAUAACACAAACCCUAACGUUUAUUUGAAUAAAACUAACAGAAAGGACUAAAUGUAGUAACGGUGAGAAACUUAGAGGACCGAAAUAAAUCAAUUUUUAGUUAGAGGACCAAUCCGAUACCAACUAAAUAGUUAGAGGACCAAAAAUGUAAUUAAGCCUUUAAACUAUAAAGAAAUGAAUUAAUUUUUCUUAAAUGGUGAUUCAAAAUUAAUAUAUAUUAUAAGAAUAUUUAUUUAUGUUCAAAUAGAUUAAAGUGUAGUGCAUAUUUAAUUAUUAAGGGAGGAGUUUGUAAUUCAAGCAUCUUAUAAGAGAGGGGAGUAUAAAUUUUAACAUAAAAAAAAUAUUGAGGGAGUAAAGUGUAUAUGGGGAGUGUAAUUCAAACAUUUUUGAGGGGAGGGGCGUGUAAUUUACUCAAAUUAUAUUUAUAAAUUUAGUUUUUAUCAUGUACUCUUAAAACACAAGUUAUUAUGACCAUAUUUAAUAUGUAUUCUUAAGACACAAGUUAUUAUGACCAUAUUUAAUAUGUAUUUAUUUUUUUUUUUUUUUGUGAUACACCCUACUAAUAAGUAUACCAACAACCAAAUACCAUUCAUUAAAAAAGAAGGGACCAAUAUUUGGUUGAAGUUGCACAGAGCAUUUGUAGUGCUAGGCAUUAAAGAUGACGUAGGUUCAACGGCGUAUCCAGGAUCUUGGAUAGGGGUGCAAAAAAUUUAACUUAAUUUAAUAUUUAUUUUAUAUAUUUAACUAUAUAAGUAAUAAAACCAUAAAUUUUAAUAAAUAUAAUAAAAUUUAUUGCACACAUAUCUUAGAAAUAUUUCCAUGAUGGACUAAGUAUUGGGCGAUGCAGAACGUGAUAAGGUUGAACUCAUUAGAGGCUUUUAGAUAGAUUUCAAAACGAUGUAGAAGAUUACUAUUAUUGUGGAAGUGAAUAUGUUAUAAAAAGAGAUAAAUAGAGAGAGGAGCAUUCAUAAACUUUUGUAUGACUAACUCAUGUACAAUAUUAUGAAACUCAAACCAAUCAACUAGUCAAUAACAUGUAACUAGUAAAACCCAUAUGUUAAAUUAAAAAAGGGACCAAUAUAUGGUUGAAGUUGUUAACACGGUAGAUAAAACUUCAUUGUGCAGUAAAUAUUUGCGUGGUGGGCAUUCGUUAAAAUGUUACUUCAUCCGUUUUAAAAUGAGUGUCGCUUUAGUAAAAAGAAAUUGUUUUAAAAUAAAUGUCACUUUCACUUUCCAAUGCAAUAAUAACUUUUUCUUUUCAAUUGUACCUUUCAAUUAAUACUCUGCACACUACUUUUAAAGUACUACCUCCGUCCCUAAUUAUAAGACCCUUUUGAAAAAAAUAACGCGAAUUAAGAUAGUGGAUAUUUGUAUUAAAUAUGUUUGUAAUUACUAUUGUUUUUACAAUUUUAUCCUUUAAGAAAGAGGGUUUGGCUUAUGUUUUCAACAUUCUAUUUAUUGCUGAUUGAAGAAAAAGAUGUAUAAUAAAUAGGGGCAUGUAUGUAAAAAAAUAAUUAAUGUAGUUGGAAAUAGAAAAAGGAUCUUAUAAAAAGGGACAAAAAAAAUUCUCAAAAGGGUCUUAUAAUUAGGGACGGAGGUAGUAUUACUUUUAAAACUAACCAAUAGUUAAUAAGGAUAAUUUGGUAAAAUAACCAUUCGCUUUCUUUUAAUCAUUGCUUUUCUUAAUAUGUGUAUAAACACCUAAAACGACACUCAUUUUAAAAUGGAGGGAGUAUUAUUUCUCAUUUUUCUAAUUAUUGUUGUCAACUUUUGUUGGUUCAAAAGUUGCAUGCAUGCUAUCAAGGCGUUGAAUAAACAGGACAAGUCGGAACAAGUGGCUGUAUUUAGCCAGACACAAGCCAAUUCCAUUUACAAUAACUCGUUUGUGUUUGUAUUUUUUUAUGAAAAAGGCAUUUUAGUUUUUCAUGAAACUUGUACCAAAAAAACAAAAGUUUUUCAUGAAACAAGAAUCAUUAAAAAUAUGAUUUUAAUUCUCUAUCUAAAAGGUGUCAACCUAAUGGUUAGAGCUUAAUUUAUAAUUGGAGAAUGCUAACCAUUGCAUUUGGAGCAUUGGAUAAAGGGAUAAAAAUAGAAAUAUAGCAUUGAAAAAUGGUGAAAAGUGAUAAAUUUAACUUUUUAAAAGUCAAAAUGUUGUUGAAACCAAUGCAAACAUGUUACUUUUGGCUUCCUUAAGUUAGCAAGACCCUUUAUAAUUUUAUGAACAGUUAUACCGCAACAAUUAGUGUCAAUGUAUUAAUAAAAUUUCUCCUUUCAUAAAUAUAUGAGAAAUGCUACAAUACAGCCGCUCGUCCCGUGAGCUUAACUCAGUUGAUAAAAAAAAAAAUACAAUGCAUAAUAUAUGCAAGGUCUGAGAUUCGAAUCCCGGUCACCACAAAAAAAAACAAUACAGCCACUCAAAUUUAUAACGAUGUAUUUUAAAAUCUUGCACCUUUUCAUUUUAACAAAAUUAAAGGUCAAAGCAUUGUGUAAAAGAGUUAAUCAGUUCAAUUAUUUUGGGGAAAAAGAAAAAAAAAACAUCUUCCUUCUAUACAAAAAAAAAAAAAUAUAUAUAUAUAUAUAUAUGGAAAAUGCUUGUUCCUACAAAUCUGUUAUCCACGAAAACCACGACUUGAUAUCCGCCAUCCAUUUUCAUAAACACAUGGCCAUGAUUUCCAUUAAAUCCGGAAUUAAUAGUUUUCCAUCUCUAUAAAGCAGAAAUGCAAUACAUUCUUGGUAUUCGUUGAAAAAAUCUUCGUGGAAAAUAGCACUUCUCUAUAUAUAUAGAAAUCAUACCAUUUUUUGGUGGUGUUUGCGGCAGUCAUGUGUCCGCCACUAUGGCACUUGGGGCUUUCCGGUGGUCCAAAUUCCUCGUAACGGUUUGCGAGGACUAUAUUUGCAUGGGACUUUUGUUUGCCGCAAAUAUGUCUUUGUGUUACCUUUUUCUUGUUUGCGUGGAAAAUUGGCCGACAUGUAAUCCAGGACAUUCAUGUAGUGAAUAUAUGGUUGCAUGUGAAAGCAUUAAUUCGUGUAAAGUUCAACAAUUAAGGGAUCAUCAACCUAAUUUCUAAUUUUCCAAAGAUCUAGUCCUAUAAAAAAUCUUGACUAUAAACCUAAUUUCUUAUUAUUUCUCUUGUGAAAGCAAGAAUAAAUCAUGAAUAUUUUUUUCUCAAAAUUUAGAUUUCAGGCCAAAGAAAUUUAAUUUCUUUUUUAUGAUAUUGAUAUAGCAAUAUAAGCCCAACAACCCAACUUAUUUGAGCAUCAUUUGAUUUUAGAGGCAUAUAGAGAUCAAACACCGUUAGGAAAGAAUGACCUCCGGUGUGAGGGUCAGCAAUAUGAGCAGGUUAAAUUUUCUUCUACCCCACAACCUACUAAUAUAGCUAAAGAAGUUUAAAUUUUUAGAUUUACUUGCAUAUUACAUUUUAAAGUUAUUCAAUUUACAAACUAAUAAAGGCUAAAAAUUUAUUAAAGCAUCUAUUAUCAUGCAAGCUUCACAAGAGUACAAUUAUCAAGUUUGUUAAGGUUAAAAGUCAAGAAUUUGGAAAUUCAUGAAUGGCGUGUAUACCGAUAAAACAGAUUUGGGCAUAAUUAUGAUUCUUGAUCUUCUAUAAUUGUUCCUUCGGAGCAAUGCUUCUAUAGUGCAUUCAAGAAAGUUACUUUUUUUAAAAAGUUAAUUUUGAUUUUAAUGUUUGAUUCAUUUUCAAAUUGUUGAUUUCUGAUUAAUGAUUAAUAGUAAUUCAUCUGGUAAUGUUUGCAACAUUUUGGACUUAUAGGUACUAUUUUAUUGUCGGAAUCUUUAACAUGCAAAUAUAGUUGAUGAUAUUAUGUGAUAGUCUUAAGUGUUAUACUUUGUGGGGGUGUUAUACUUAUAACAAGGUAGGAUAAAAUUAGAUUAAGUGUAGUCUUGUUAAUCAGAUGAGUUGAUGAUACUAUGAGGACUGAACUUUUGAUGUCAUUGUACAAACAGUGAAGUGUUACUCAUUACAUUUUUGAUAUUAUAGUAUUAACUUCACCAAAAAAAAGUCAAUCUCAUGAAUUCACCAUAGAAUUUUCCUUGUUACUAUUCUUGAAAUUGAAUGAAUUCAUUUAUAUAUUGAUUUAUUUUAUUUCUAAUCUAAGCAUUUCUCUUCAAAUUGCUAUCAUCCUUCAUCAUAUUUUCAGAAGACUUACAACUUUUACCUCUCAAUUUUACAUGGCUAAUAAAGCUUCAAGUUCAUCGGUUUGUAAUUCAAGUCGAAAAUCAUUGACCUUGGACGAGAAAGUAGAAUUAUUCUUUGCUGAGACUCCUCUCAAUCAGUAGGCUGAAGCAUUUUCUAUGACCCUUCAUCGAGUACUAGAAGGUAUGUACAAGACCAAUUUAGAGAACAAGAAGUUUGAAGAACCGUGUUUUGAACUAGAGAAACUCUCUAAUCAUGUCGAUUUUCCGACUGAACUUGUAAAAGAAACCAGAAGAAGAAAAUAAUUUUCUACUUGGUAUUUUGAGUCCAGUUUAAUACAUCUUUAUAGUGUCUCAACUAUUACUAGAUCAUGGUAUAUCGAUUGAUGUGUUAAGUCGUAGUAUUAUAUAGUAUUCCAGACCCAUCUCUGUUGUAUGAGUGAGUAUAUUUACUUUCCUCGUAUUAGCUUAAUUUCAUGGUAUUUUUGUAAGGGCAUCAAAAUUUGUAUUUUGUAUUUAGAAUCAAAACUAGGACAGUAAAUUUUCAGUUUUGAUACCAAAAAUCAACACUAUUUAGGCAAAAUCAUUCUCAACGUGGAUGUUAAUUAAGAGUCUCACAAGUAUUUUUUAGAGGAUAUAAUCUCAAAGUUUUCUUUUACUAAAGUUCGAUCAAACAUAUAUUAUAGACUUAUUUACGGUCUGAAAUGGCUAAGUAUAAAUCAAUCAAACCAAUCAAUCUCACACAAUCAUAAAAUUUAUUUAUUAUAAUCUAGUGUCACAAAUAAAAAUAUUUAAAAUCUGCAGUACAUAGCAUUCUUUCUUGUCAAGUAAUUUUUAUUCAUGACACAUACACACACAAAACACACAAACACACACACACACAGAGUUGCCAAGUAGGAGAGUACAUAUUACUAUAGAAAACAAACAGCUUGGUAACUAGGACCACUUAUUCAGUACAUAUACAUUUCAUAACUCUCAUUUCAUACUUUAGAAAUGAUUGUUAUCUUCUUUUGGAGGGUGGUGAGGAUGUGGUUUGGGUAAGUUGGUAGGAUGUAUAGGAUGAGAAUGAUCACCAAAUCCUUGAGUAGAUAGUGGAUGGUUUGGAUGAUGAUGAGGUUGAGAAGCAAAGCCUUGAGGGAUGAGAAUAAGAGAUGCAAGGAAAAACACAAGCAAGUAUGAGGAAAAAGAAGUCAUCUUAAUCUUAAUUAGUGUGAUUUUAGUAUUGGUGCAUAAAACAUAAGAAAUAAUAUCAUGUUUUAUACUAGUUAGAUUAGAGACAUUGGUGGUGAGUGGGAGGUGCAAUUAUUGAUCAAAUACGUCAGGCUAUUGCCAUAUGCUUACGGAUUAACCUACACG